rnacentral:lncRNA from 1 species
AGGAGGGUGGCCAGGGUUGUGACCAUAAUGUGGUGGCUUCUCUCCCUUAGGUGGCUUGCCAACUGGGGUUGGUGGCUUGUGUUCAGGAAGUGGUUUCUCUCCCUUGGGAGGUUUACCAAUUGGGGUUGGUGGCUUGUGUUCUGGGAGUGGUUUCUCUCCCUUGGGAGGUUUAGUGGGUGACUUGUGUUCUGGAGGUGGCUUCUCCACCGGAGGCUUGUGCUCCGGUGGUGGCUUCUCCACCGGAGGCUUGUGCUCCGGUGGUGGCUUCUUGAUUGGAGGGGGCUUGGGGUAAUCAGCAAGAGAUGGGAUGGUGAGAACCACCACUCCAAGGAACAACACUAGCAAGUAUGUGGGAGACAUUUCUGAGUUUGAGCUGAUCAGAUGAUGCAAAACUAGAAGAAUUACGGGACCUUUUAUAGCAAGUAUCUCCCAAUACCCACAUGACACGUGUUACUAUGACCAUAAAUAUUAUAGGGUCCAUUUGUGCCCUACCGGGUUGAAAACUUGGACGCUUGGCCGAGGACACACCUGACUAUGGAGGACUAUUGACGUGUGAUCACAGCUUUUGGAUUUUUCUUCCUGUGCAGCUGUCUAGCGGUUGGCAUUAUUUUCUUAAUCUUAAAUAAAGGCAUAGUUAUAGAGUUGUUUAAUCUCUAAAUGGGAUUUUAUAUAUCUUCAGAUAGCCAUUAAUAUAUUUGAUGAAGAAAGACAAGUGCAUACAACAUGUAUACGGCUUGCUUCAAUCGAGUACAUUUAUGAUCAGUUUUCCUGUGCAAGUAAACCAGUUUUUUGUUCCACAACUAUUUUGGAAUCUUGUUUAUCAGUUUCUAUCAUUAUAAUGUCACAUAGGCUGCAAACUUGGGCACCCAAAGAUCUAGGUGGGCAAAUUUGUUUCAGACUUUCAAUGGUGGAUUCAGUAAUUGUUAAAAGGUGUUUCUUCAUUAAGGAAAGAGUCCGGUAAAAAUAUUGUUAAAAGGUGUCAUAGAAACUAUAAUAAAUAAAUAACUUCUUUUCCCCAUGGGUGGUGUUUCUUCUGGGGAUCAGUGACUGGUUAGGGUCACCCAAAAUGAGUCCAGAUUAAAAUUGGUUCGAGUCAAAGCAGUCUCUUUUGUCCAGAAAUCAACUAUUUUGCGCAUUGAAUGAAUCGAUAAAGAAAAAAUGAAAGCCAAAUCACACCUCCCCUGCAAAACCUAAACCCCGGUUGCUAACUUUCUAUGUUUCAGUCCUAUUCAUAUAGGAAUAUUGGUUCAAGUUUGAGAAAAAUGGCAACUUACCUAGGGUUUACUUGGUUUUGGUUUGCGACUAUUUACGCAACCAACCAUGAGUUUGACUUUAACGUCAUGGGUUGAAGCCUCCUACAAUCAUGUAUGAUAGUUCAAAGCUCGUGGAAGAAAUUAUACAGGAAGGAAGAAACCUCCAAAGCUAGCUCCAAAAGAGAAUUAUCACAUCGAUAGCUCCAGAGAUUCCCAAGGGAACUGAAUCAAAGACAAGUUCCUCACUUUUUCUUCUUUUGAGGCCAAAUAUGAACCAAGGAUCACACGACCUCAUUCAACUUCAUAAGUUUGAUUUCAUGCAGUUGAACACUGGGUGAAGGCCAUGACAAGAAUUGAUUAAAAAAUUCUACCACUCUUUUAAGUAAUGGAAGAUUAUUAUCUCUGAUUGGCACCACAACAGCACAUGCUGCUAGAUCUUUCUAGACACUCCAUGCAAUGAAAGCACAAUGGAUCUUGUAAUGAUAGAAACUAAGCCAUGCUACAGUACUAGAUGAGGGGGUAAAACUAGUAGACAUCUUUCUAGACACUCCAUGCAAUGAAAGCACAAUGGAUCUUGUAAUGAUAGAAACUAAGCCAUGCUACAGUACUAGAUGAGGUGGUAAAACUAGUAGACAUGGCUGGCAGUUGAUUACUACUCAAAAAGUACUCUUUUAUAGCUUGAAACUAACUGUUUUAAACACUUUUGAGUAGUAGUUAAUACCUUUUAACUUAAUUGGCACAUUAAGGAACCUAGCAAGGGUUACUAAUCAACAUUUGGCAAGUUUUGAUGUUUUUGGUAGCUAUUUGAUCAUUGAAACAAGCCAAGAAUGAGGGGGAAUUUUGUGAAGUCCAUGGCAAUGCAAGUUAAAGCUCAAAUACAUGAAGAAUCCAAGCUUUGGAGCACUUCAUAGCCCUUUGCCAAGCCAAUCAAAGAUGCAAGGAAGAAAACCAAAGGAAGAAAUCCAACAAUCAGCAUUUUGGCAUGGCUAUGUGAAAUUUCGCACACCAUGCGAAACCACAAGAGGCAGCCAAAGAAUUUCGCAUGGUAUGCGAAAUCUUCUUGUGCACUGACUCUGUUAGAUUUUUAUCUUCAGAUAUUUUGUGUAAUUUCCUAGUUUCUCCUUGUAACCAACUUAGAUAUUUUCUUUUAUAUCUUUUUUUAUAUUUUUUAGGUAACAUCAUAUAUAAGAGGAGAGACAUAAGGAGGAUAUGGAUGUUUUUCAUAGAACACUUGUAAAUUUUUGGUAGUAAGAAAUAUACAAAGCUUUUUGCUCUGCCUUACCUUCUCAAGGGAUGAGUGGCUAGGUUUUCUUGGAGUGAGGGAAGCUAGGUGAAGGACCUGAAUGCAAAGGUGGGAGUUUUCCUUACUUUAAAUGAAAGUAGUUGUUAAACAUUAAUGGUUUUUAUUUUAAGGUUUAGCUUUAAAUCCCUGAAAAACACCUUGAAUGGCCAAUACUUGGUAAGCUUUUUAGAUUCUAUGGAUGCUUAUUGCUAGAUCCAUGGAUGUCUAUUAGUUAUCAUUUACGAGCCAUUGGAAGGUGAUUCAAGGUGAGGGUCUUUAGUGUUUGAAGCCAUUAAUGGGAAGCAAUUACCAUUUUUUCAUGAAUCCUUUGGAUCAAAUCUUAAUUGCUAAAUAUAAAACCGGUUUCGAGAGAUAACCACCAUCCUUUAUGUUAUUAUCCCCAACGCGAGGAGAAGAUCCGAAAUCUUCCUUUUUAUCUAAGGAACCCGAUCCUAGUGACCUAAAGCUCCAAGAUACCUUUUCUUUGUAGUUAACUUCAUUUAUUGUUUUUGCUUAACUUAAAAUCAAUCUUUGCAACCACAAUUCCAUUUUCUUUAAAAGCUAAUUUUUAUAAGGAAAAACACCAUUUUAUUUCCUUCACUAAGUCAACUGUACGAUGAAAACCCAUCCCUGUGGACGAUCCUAGAGCCACUAUACUAUGUUAGCUAUGCUACCCUAGUGUGAGGUGAUUUAGGUUUUAUAAAUUUUUUUGAUAACACCCAUCUGAGCCAGAAUCAAAUGGCACGACUGAACCAGGGACGAAUCAAAUGACGCCGCUACCAAGGAUGGUGCCAAAGUACAUUGACAUGACUUUUGGUGAACACUUGUGAUCUUCACCACAAGUUUGGUGAUUUUUCUUUUACUAAUUUUUUUUAUUUUAGCUUAUCUUUUAUUUAGUUUUUAGUUAACCUUAAAUUUUUCCUAGAAUUGUAUUUCUUUUGUUUUCUUUGUUUUUGUUUCAGUGAUCUUUAGUUGUGCAUGCCCUAUUGGAUAAGAGAUAUUGAGGGAAUACUUGUGAAGAUUGAAACUCCUCGAGAAACUGAGUUAGAAGUGUGCUUGAACAUCAUGGAUGUUCCACCUGAAGACCAGAAUAGCCAACAUGGUUAAGAGGAUAAUUUCAACACAUACCGAUCCAUGAGGAACCGCAUACAUCCACCUUGUAUGAGUGCACCGUCAGGCAUAAUGCCUCCCACUGAGCAGCUAGUAAUCUGACCUCACAUUGUGCCACUCCUACCUACUUUCCAUGGGAUGGAGAGUGAGAAUCCCUACUCGCAUAUUAAGGAAUUCGAGGAGGUUUGUAAUACAUUCCAAGAAGGAGGAGCUUCAAUUGACUUGAUGAGGCUCAAGCUAUUUCCUUUCACUUUGAAGGAUAAGGCCAAGAUUUGGCUUAAUUCUUUAAGGCCAAGAAGUAUCCAAACUUGGAUUGAUUUGUAAGCCGAGUUUCUUAAGAAGUUCUUCCCUACCCAUAGGACCAAUGGUUUGAAAAGGCAAAAUUUGAACUUCUCAGUUAAAGAGAAUGAGAAAUUCUAUGAGUGUUGGGAGAGCUACAUGGAAGCUAUUAACGUUUGUCCUCACCAUGGCUUUGACACAUGGCUCUUAGUGAGCUAUUUUUACAAUGGUAUGUCUUCUUCAAUGAAGCAACUCCUAGAAACUAUGUGUGGAGGAGACUUCAUGAGUAAGAAUCCGGAGGAAGCCAUGGACUUUUUGAGUUAUGUGGCUGAAGUUUCAAGAGGAUGGGAUGAACCAAAUGCUAGAGAGGUGGGAAGAAUGAAGUCUCAACCUAAUGCUAAGGGUGAGAUGUAUGUUUUGAAUGAAGACAUUGACAUGAAAGCAAAGGUUGCAGCUAUGGCAAGGAGAUUGGAAGAGCUAGAAAUGAAGAACAUACAAAAAGUGCAAGCCAUUUCUGAGACAUCAAUGAAAGCUAUGCCUUGUUCCAUUUGUCAAUCUUAUAAGCACCUAGUGGAGGAGUGUCCUACAAUUCCAGCAGUGAGAGAGAUGUUUGGUGAUCAAGCAAAUGUUAUUGAUCAAUUCAAGCCUAAUAACAAUGCUUCAUAUGGCAACACCUACAAUUCAAAUUGGAGGAACCAUUCAAAUUUCUCUUGGAAACGAAAGCCACCUCAAUACACACAACCUACUCAAGCACCUUAGCAAUCCUCGAAUCUUGAACAAGCUAUUGUGAACCUUAGCAAGGUUGUGGGAGACUUUGUGGGAGAUCAGAAGUCCAUCAAUGCUCAACUGAAUCGGAGAAUUGACAGUGUGGAGAGUACAUUGAACAAAAGGAUGGAUGAGAUGUAAAAUGAUCUGUCUCAAAAGAUAGACAAUGUCCAAUACGUAAUCUCAAGGCUUACCAACCUCAACACAGUGUAAGAGAAAGGAAAGUUUCCUUCUCAACCUCAUCAAAAUCCUAAGGGUAUCCAUGAAGUAGAGGCUCAAGAGGGAGAAUCUUCAAAGGUGAGGGAAGUCAAAGUAGUUAUCACCUUGAAGAGUGGUAAAGAGGUUGAUCAACCCACAUCCAAGCCAAAGCAUAAUGAAGAGAGUGUAGCAGAAAAAGAAAAGAGAGGAAAAUAAAGGAAUUAGAAUAGAGAAAAAUACAAAGAAAGAUGACCAUGAGUCUAGUGUGGAUGAAGAGCCCGAGAGGAUGGUGAUCAAGGAAGAUAUGAUGAAGAAACACAUGCCUCCACCUUUCCCCUAAGCUUUGCAUGACAAAAAAAGAACCAAUAAUACAUCAGAAAAUUUUGAAGUAUUGAGGCAAGUGAAGGUCAAUAUCCCUUUGCUAGACAUGAUCAAACAAGUGUCGACAUAUGAAAAAUUCUUGAAGGACUUGUGCACUGUAAAGAGAGGGUUGAAUGUGAACAAGAAAGCUUUAUUGACCGAGCAAGUGAGUUCCAUCAUACAGUGCAAGUCCUAGUGAAGUACAAAGAUCCGGGUUGCCGUACCAUCUCAGUGAGUAUUGGAAGGACUUGUGUGGAGAAAGCUUUGUUGGACUUGGGAGCAAGUGUGAAUUUGCUAUCCUACUCUGUCUAUAAGCAGUUGGGAUUUGGAGAGUUGAAGCCAAUAUCCAUCACUCUAUCUCUAGCGGAUAGAUCAAUGAAGAUUCCAAGAGGGAUGAUCGAAGAUGUCCUGGUUCAAGUUAACAAAUUCUACUAUCCAGUAGAUUUUGUUGUUCUUGAUAUGGAUCCGGUUGUCAAAUGAACUAAUUAUGUUCCUAUCAUACUUGGAAGACCCUUCCUAGCUACAUCAAAUGCAAUCAUCAAUUGUAGGAAUGGAGUCAUGCAACUCACAUUUGUCAACAUGACAUUAGAGCUCAACAUCUUCCAUUUGUACAAGAAGCAUAUCCAUCAGGAGGAAAAAGAAGGUCUAGAGGAAGUGUGAAUGAUUGACACUUUAGUGGAAGAGCAUUGUGAUCGAGAAUGCAAAAAGAUUUAGUUGAGAAUUUUGGGGAUCUUGAUGAAAGGUUACUUGAACCCUCAGAUUUGCUUGCUACCCUACUCCAUUGGAAGAGAAGAGAAGAAAUUCUACCCUUAUUCAAUGAGGAGGAGACGCAAAGAGCUGCAAAGGAGAAACCCCCAAAACUUAUUCUUAAGCCACUACCCACAGAGUUGAAGUAUGUAUACUUGGAAGAAGACAAGAAGUGCCCUAUUGUUAUAUCUUCAACUCUUACCAUUCAUCAGGAGGAUUGUCUACUUGAAGUCCUUAGAAGAUGUAAGAAGACAAUAAGGUGGCUAAUUUCUUAUUUGAAAGGGAUCAGCCCUUUAGUCUGCACCCAUCAUAUUUACAUGGAGGAUGAAGCUAAGCUAAUUCAUCAACCUCAGAGAAGGUUGAACCCUCACAUGCAAGAGGUGGUUCGAGCUGAAGUUCUGAAGCUACUUCAGACCAGUAUUAUUUACCCCAUAUCAAAUAGCCCAUGGGUGAGUCCUACUCAAGUUGCGCCAAAGAAGUCUGGGAUCAUGGUGGUGCAAAAUGAUAAGGGAGAAGAUGUCUCUACACGCCUCACUACAGGUUGGAGGGUGUGUAUCAAUUACAGGAGGUUGAAUGCAGUGAUAAGAAAGGACCAUUUCUCAUUGCCCUUUAUUGAUCAGGUGCUUGAGAGGGUCUCUGGGCUUUUUUUUUUAUUGUUUCUUGGAUGGCUACUCCGGGUACUUUCAGAUAGAAAUUGAUGUUGAAAACCAAGAUAAGACCAUUUUCACAUGCCCAUUUGGAACCUAUGCAUAAAGGAGAAUGCCUUUCGGCUUAUGCAAUGCACCCGCAACUUUCCAAAGAUGCAUGUUAAGCAUUUUCAGUGAUAUGGUGGAGCGUAUUAUGGAAGUCUUUAUGGAUGAUAUCACCAUUUAUGGAAGUGCAUUUGAUGAAUGCUUGGUCAACUUAGAAGCUGUUCUGAACCGAUACAUUGAGAAAGACUUAGUGCUUAACUGGGAGAAGUGCCAUUUCAUGGUACACCAAGGGAUUGUCCUUGGGCACAUUAUCUCCAAGCAAGGCAUUGAAGUUGACAAAGCAAAGGUUGAACUCAUUGUUAAGUUGCCAUCCUCAACAAAUGUCAAAGGAGUAAGGCAAUUCUUUGGCCAUGUCGGGUUCUAUAGGAGGUUUAUCAAGGAUUUCUCUAAGCUUGCAAGGCCUCUUUGUGAAAUAUUGGUGAAUGAUGUUAAAUUCAUAUGGGAUGAUGGAUUUGAAAGGAGUUUUGAAGAAUUGAAGCUAUUUUUGACAACCGUACCAAUAGUGAGGGCUCCCAACUGGCAACUGCCCUUUGAAGUAAUGUGUGAUGUCAAUGAUUUUGCUAUAGGAUUUUUUCUUGGGCAAAGAGAAAAUGGAAAACCUUAUGUGAUCUACUAUGCGAGGAAGGCAUUGAAUGAGGCACAAAGAAACUACACAACCACCGAGAAAGAAUUGUUAGCUGUAGUUUUUGCCUUGGAUAAGUUUCGCGCUUACUUGGUGGGGUCCUUCAUCAUGGUUUUUACUGAUCACUUUGCUUUGAAGUAUCUGUUGACUAAGCAAGAUGCUAAAGCAAGGCUGAUUAGAUGGAUUCUCUUACUUCAAGAGUUCAAUCUCCAUAUCAAAGAUAAGAAAGGAGUGGAGAAUGUGGUAGCAGACCACAUUUCAAGGCUAGCUAUCGCACAUAAUUCCCAUGCUUUGCCCAUUAAUGACGAUUUUCUAGAGGGGUCUCUCAUGUUGGUGGAAGUUGUCCCUUGGUACGCUCACAUUGCUAACUACCUGGUCACGGGAAAAGUUCCAAGUGAGUGGAAAGCACAAGAUAAGAAGCACUUCUUUGCAAAAAUUCAUGCCUACUAUUGGGAAGAGCCAUUUCUAUUCAAGUAUUGUAUGGAUCAGAUAAUAAGGAAGUGCGUUCCUGAAGAAGAGCAACAGGGGAUCCUUAGUCAUUACCAUGAAAAUGCAUGUGGAGGCCACUUUGCUUAUCAAAAGACAGCCAUGAGGGUGUUGCAAUCGGGUUUCUGUUGGCCAUCACUUUUCAAAGAUGCCCACACCAUGUGCAAGAGUUGUGAUCGAUGCCAGAGGCUUGGGAAGUUGACACGCAGGAACAUGAUGCCUUUGAACCCCACUUUAAUAGUUGAUAUUUUUUAUGUUUGGGGCACUAACUUCAUGGGACCUUUCCCUAUGUCUUUUGGCUACUCUUACAUCUUGGUAGGAGUAGAUUAUGUUUCUAAGUGGGUUGAGGCAGUCCCAUGCAAACACAAUGACCAUAGAGUGGUUCUCAAGUUUCUUAAAGAGAAUAUCUUCUCAAGAUUUGGGGUGCCCAAAGCCAUAAUUAGUGAUGGGGGUACUCAUUUUUGCAACAAGCCUUUUGAAACUCUCCUAGCCAAGUAUGGGGUGAAGCAUAAGGUAGCUACACCUUACCACCCUCAAACUCAUGGACAAGUUGAGUUAGCAAACAGGGAGAUUAAAAACAUAUUGAUGAAGGUGGUGAACACAAACAGAAAAGAUUGGUCAGUCAAGCUUCUUAAUUCACUAUGGGCAUAUAGAACAACUUACAAGACCAUUCUCGGGAUGUCUCCUUAUCGCCUAGUUUAUGGCAAAGCAUGCCAUCUCCCUGUGGAAUUGGAAUACAAAGCUUGGUGGGCAAUCAAGAAGCUCAACAUGGAUUUGAGCAGAGCUGGGUUGAAGAGGUUCUUAGACCUUAAUGAGAUGGAGAAAUUGAGAAAUGAUGCCUACAUCAAUUCAAAAAUUGCAAAAGAAAAAUUGAAGAGGUGGCAUGAUCAGUUGAUUUCCCGCAAGGAUUUUCAAAAUGGACAAAGAGUCUUACUUUAUGACUCUAAACUCCACAUCUUUCCGGGCAAGCUGAAAUCAAGGUGGAUAGGUCAUUUUACCAUUCACCAAGUGCAUUCAAAUGGAGUAGUGGAACUACUCAACUCCAACAAUAUCGAGAACUUCAAAGUGAAUGGCCACCGUCUCAAGCCCUUUGUGGAGUCUUUUUCUCACAACAAGGAGAAAUUCAUCCUCCUUGAUCCACAUCAAGCUUAACAAGACCAAUUUUCUUGAUGGACUUAGUCUUUCUAAAGACUAUCGAGUCCAUAACUUUUUGUUUUAUUUUUUAUUUGAGAUUUUUUCGGUAUUGUUACUUGUUUUGUUUUUUAUUUUUCGUUUUAAUUUUAUUUGGUUUGAUUUAACUUAGGUUUUUGAUGAUCAAUUACAGGGGGGAUUUCAAAUAGAGGAAAAACCAAGAUAAUUCGCACACCCUACGAAAAUUUCGCAAGGCAUGCGAAAUUUAUGGCUUAUUUUGCAUGGGGUGAAAAUUUUCGUACAUCUUACGAACCAAUUUCGAACACUUUGCGAAAAUAAACCAACCCUGCGAAAUCAUUUCGAUUACUCUACGAAAUUUUCGUAGAGCAUGCGAAAAAUUUAGCACACCAAACACCAUUUCGCAUACUAUGCAAAAACCUAAGGGGUCUGCGAAACCAUUUCGCACCUCCAAAUCCAUUUCGCACAUUGUGCGAAAACCAAGAGGCGCUGUGCGAAAAUGAAAAGUCGCCCUGUCAUCCCUUUUUAAACCCCUCGAGCCCUAAAAUCUCCAUUUCGCAAGCACCCCUGUCCUUGCGAAUCCCUCAUUUUCCUCUACUACCUUGCAACCUCGUCCCUUUCCAUUUGAUAUUGUGCCCCGCGCACAUCUCAUUUCAGAGACUCGCACUCCGCGCCCCCUCAAAGCAUGGACUCGAGACCCACCUUCCAUUUCCGACGUGGCACGGACCCAAGGAGCCCUUUCUGCCCCUUCACUAAGACACACACCAAGGCAGAAAGCCUCCUUUGCUCAAGUGCCUAGUGAUUCUCCAUCUUAGGCCUCAGAGGCCUCGGAGGCCCCGUGGAUUCCACCUUCCGAGGGUAGAGCAGCCAUUGGUCCUUCCUCUUCUACUCCUUAGCGUAGAUACGAGACGAGGAGACCACCUACUACACAAGGGGCGACUACUUCGAGCCUUGAGAAUUCAGUACGAUGCCUUCCUGCCAAGAGGGUCAAGACUUCAGGUCCAAGUGAGUCAUCCAGAGCUUCAUAGCCUAAGCCUCCUGUAGAUUCCAAGGUUCCUACUGACAUAUCACCGGAGUCUAUUAUCAGAAGCCCGAUGCUCAUAGCACCGCCCAUUGAGGGCAACUCAGAUUAUAGAGCGAGAUCUUUCCACUUGGAGCUAUAUUUUGAUCAGGAGGCCAUACGACAGCAGCCUGAGCUCCGAGACUCUUAUGGCUUACUGCAGAGGUACCAUCUUGAGGAACUUAUGACUCCUCGUGAGUUUUUUUAUCCCAGAGUAGCACUAAACUUUUACCAGUCCAUGACUACUCGUGGCGUCCCGAGUCCUACCACGAUUCACUUCACCAUUGAUAGACGUCAUGGUAUCCUCAAGGCCAGACAUAUUACAGAGGCUCUACAAAUUCCUUUCGAGCUAGAGGAUCCAUCUGUUUUUCGCUAAUGGUCCCCAGUAUCUCAGAGGGACAUGGUCCGUAUUUUAUCUAGGGGAACAUCUACAGAUUCGAUCUUUCUACGGAAGGAGCUUCGACCUGGGAUGCUCCUCUUAGAUGUGGUGCUAUGCUCCAACCUCUUUCCCUUACAACAUUCGGUACAUAGGUGAUGAGCUAUUUUGGACGCUUUAUUCCGUAUAUCAGAGGGCUUCUACUUUGGCCCGCACCACUUGAUCAUGGUCUCCCUCAUCCACUUUGAGGAGAAGGUUCAUAGGAAGAAGCUUCAGAGGGUGGACACCAUUCCAUUACUAUUCCUGAGGUUACUUUGCCAGGUCUUGGAGUACAUGGGCUUUCCUACUGAGCCUCGGCUCGAGCUUUGCCGCCUUUGUCGAGAGUGAUCCACUCUCGACAAAUGGAAUUAGUUGGCGGGCUAUUCUGCACCUCCAGGAGCCCCUCCCAUGGUAGCACCUCCAAUGUCCCCACAGGCAAAGUAGGGCGAGCUCCCGGCAAAGACUGUACCACCAAUGCCCACACUUGAGGCUAUUUCUGCUGCUCUGCCUAUGACUCCUACUGUUCCACCAGUUGGUCCUUUUACAUCCGAGCCUUCCAUCACCAUCUCGGCUUCGGAGUUUCGCGCCCUUGUGCAUACCUUUCAGACACUCACCACCACACAUACUCCUCUCUUCUAGCAAAUGGUUGAGAUGUGUGCCCAUCAGGACCGGAAGACUACUAUACUCUGCCAAAUUCAGCAGCACCUAAGACUUUUGCCUCAACCUCAACCUAACCAUCCCAUAUCAUCAGAGCCUCUAGCUCCAACUGAGGAUACUAUUCCACCUGAGAACACUACCACAGUAGAGGUCCGGUUUCCACCACCUUAAGAGGCCACCACAGCUACAUCAGAGGAUGUGUCAUCUCCACUUGAGGCUCCCACUACUUGAUCAUAGGACAUAUCUUUAUCUUAUUGUAUUUACAUAUUAUAUUACUAGAGAUUUGUCCUUGUUUUGAUACUUUAUAUUCUGGGAUUGGAUGUAUUGCCUGAUGAUAUCUCAAUUGUACUUUCUCAUAUUAAUAUAUAGACAUCAAUUUUUUUUAGUAUACUUAGCAUUUUUCUAUUUCCUCUACUCAUUACUCUUUUGUUUUUUUUUACUCAUGUGGUUUCUCUUAUACAACUCAGACUCCAUUUCACUCAGGAGGUACCACUUCCUCCCUUUAUUUUCAAUUGCUCUUGAAAUAUUGAGUGCAAUGUUGAUCUUGGUUGGGGGGAGAGUUGAGGAAGGAAGUUUUGUUAAUAAUGCUAGGUUAAUUUGUUAAUUUAGUUACUUUCUGCUUAAUUUUAAAAGUUUUCACUCUACUUUCCAUGGUUAUUAAGGAAAAAUUCUCAAAAUGAAAUGGGAGAAAUCGAAUUCUUGCAUUUUUACUUGAAUCUUAGAAUUUGUAUCAUGCUUAUUAAAGUUGAUGAAUUAUUGAAACUCCUAUUGAAUUCAACCUUAUUUUUUCCACUUUAAUCUUACCACACACGGUGCACAUUAGGUUCCAGUUAUAAGAUAAAAAACUAUCUCACCCCCUAAACUUAGAAAAAUUUACACUUGGUACCUUUGACAUCGUUUUAAUAGUGUUGGGACACCUUAUAAAAGGCCAAUGAGCCUUUAAAAAAAAAAAAAAAAAAAAAAAGAGAAAGAACAAAGUAUUGCACUUGCCUUGAAACCUGAGCAAGAUCCGAGGGGUAUACAGUGAAAGUCUUUAAAACCUGGUGCCCUAAGCCUUGAUUGGUUGGGAGUCACCGACCUCAAUGCUCGUUAUAAGGGUGAAUAGGUGGAGUUUAACAUAUUGUAGGUGCUUGGGUAUUGAAUUUCAAUCUCAAAAGUCCGGGAAAAAAUCUAAGGAGUUAGUGGUCAAAAGAUCCUUAAAGCUUGAUGCCCUAAACCUUGAUUGGUUGAGAGUCAUUGAUGGAUCCCCGCUACAUGGACAUUUUAGAAAACAAUACCUUUAGCAUUGCACGCCUACAAUGAAAAAAAAAUGUGAAAUAAAAGAGGUGCGUUCUUAGCCUAUUGGAGGUUGGUCAGUUUGCUAAAGUUUGAGAAAUCUAGGUUGGGGGGAGAGAAUAGUCCGACAUACUAUAAUAAAAAACUAAUAACCUUAACACUUAGAUUUUUGUGGAAGAGUAAGGAUUGGACCUUUAGGGGUGGAAAUUCUUUUGAUGCUUAAAUUUGCAUAAUGCCUACUCUUUAUAAAUUAUGAUUAGGCAAGAGAUUUGAUGACUCUUGUUCAAAGUUGGGUUUUUCCUCUUUGAUGUUCCAUGAGAGAGUAUAAUCCUCAUCAUGCCACUUGAAAUCUUUUUGGAGUGAUUAACAUGAUUUUGUAAAUUAUUUUACUGUCUAUUUUUCUUUAUCUCUCUUUUAUUGCUAAUGGACUAGCAAUAUGUCAGUUGGGGGGAGUGAUUACUACUCAAAAAGUACUCUUUUAUAGCUUGAAACUAACUGUUUUAAACACUUUUGAGUAGGUGUUAAUACAUUUUAACUCAAUUGGCACAUUAAGGAACCUAACAAGGGUUACUAAUAAGUUUUUGGCAAGUUUUGGUGUUUUUGGUAGCUAUUUGAUCAUUGAAACAAGCCAAGAAUGAGGGAGAAUUUUGUGAAGUCCAUAGCAAUGCAAGUUAAAGCUCAAAUACAUGAAGAAUCCAAGCUUUGAAGCACUUCAUAGCCCUUUGCGAAGCCAAUCAGAGAUGCAAGGAAGAAAACCAGAGGAAAAAAUCCAACAACCAGCAUUUUCGCAUGGCUGUGCGAAAUUUUGCACACCAUGCGAAACCACAAGAAGUAGCCAAAGAAUUUUGCACACCAUGCGAAAUUUCGCAUGGUAUACGAAAUCUUCCUAUGCACCAACUCCGUUAUAUUUUUAUCUUCAGAUAUUUUGUGUAAUUUCCUAGUUUCUCCUUGUAACCAACCUAGAUAUUUUCUUUUAUAUCUUUUUUUUAUAUUUUUUAGGUAACAUCAUAUAUAGGGGGAGAGACAUAAGGAGGAUAUGGAUGUUUUUCAUAAAACACUUUUAAUUUUCUGGUAGUAAGAAAUAUACAAAGUUUUUUGCUCUGCCUUACCUUCUCAUUUUGUUUUCACCUAUCUUUCUAGCCAAACAACCUCUGAGAAUGAUUUCUCAGGGGAUGAGUAGUUAGGUUUUACGUUUCUUGGAGUGAGAGAAGCUAGGUGAAAGACCCAAAUGCUAAGGUGGGAGUUGUCCUUGCUUUAAAUGAAAGUAGUUGUUAAAUAUUAAUGGUUUUUAUUUUAAGGUUUAGCUUUAAAUCCCUUAAAAACACCUUGAAUGGCCAAUACUUGGUAAGCUUUUCGGAUUCUAUGGAUGCUUAUUGCUAGAUCCAUGGAUGUCAUUAGUUAUCAUUUAUGAGCCAUUGGAAGGUGGUUCAAGAUGAGAGUCUUUAGUGUUUGAAGCCAUUAAUGGGAAACAAUUACCAUUUUUUCAUGAAUCCUUUGGAUAAAAUCUUAAUUGCUAAAUAUAAAACUGGUUCGGGAGAUAACCAUCCUUUAUGUUAUUAUGCCCAAUGCAAGGAGAAGAUUUCGAAUCUUCUCAUUUGUCUAAGGAACCCGAUCCUAGUGACCUAAAGCUCCUAGAGACCUUUUCUUUGUAGUUAACUUCAUUUAUUGUUUUUGCUUAACUUAAAAUCAAUCUUUGCAACCACAAUUCCAUUUUCUUUAAAAGCUAAUUUUUAUAAGGAAAAGCACCAUUUUAUUUCCUUCACUAAGUCAACUGUAUGAUGAAAACCCAUCCCUGUGGACGAUCUUAGAGCCACUAUACUAUGUUAUCUAUGCUAUCCUAGUGUGAGGUGAUUUAGGUUUUAUAAAUUUUGUUGAUAACACCCGUCUGAGCCAGAAUCAAAUGGAACCACUGAACCAGGGACAAAUCAACAGCCUAUAUGGGAGGGACACAAGUUUAAUUGAUUUGCAUUUCAGCGUUAUAGAUAAGUAUGUUUUGGAAGAUUUGUUCUGGAAAUACUGCACCAAGUACGAUUCUUUUUCUCUUGAGUGAGUCCAUUUGCAUGCCAAUUAACGAGUUGAAAAGUAGGAGCACCUACCUCGUGCUCAUGGAACCGAAUGUCAGUGAAGUGGGGCUCCUUUUAGCCUCUUGUGUUUCUGUUCCAACCAAGGCGGCGUAGGGAAAAACAACAAUAUGUCUGUGCUAAAUAUCAACGCAUGAUAGAUGUUUUUUUUUUUUUUUUUGGUAUGUCAAGGCUAACGAAUGAAAUGCAUUAGCUUGUUUUGUGACUAUAACUGCAAAUGUCCAAAUUGGAGUAUCUCCAUUUCUCACUUCGGAUGGUUAACUUUAUAAACAAGAUAUAGGAAACAUGUGAACAUCUUGAGGAACAAUUCAAAUUAUUCAUUAGAAGUCCUGGGUUAAGUUCCAAGAUUUAAAUCAGACCCUUCUAGCAGCUUCAAGGGUACUUAGCAACCUAUAACAUAUUAAUGAAGAUUUAGGAUUUAGACUCCGGAAUACAAAUAAAUAUGUAUCUCAUGCUUUGACUAGCUUCCCUACAUAUGCAUAAAAUGGAGAUGACCCAAAAAAAAUAGCAGAAUCUAGCUUCCCUACAUAUGCACAAAAUGGAGAUGACCCAAAAAAUAGCAUAAUCGCCUUAGUUUCUGUGGUUAAGGUGAUUCUCCGCUUAAUAUCCACAUUGACUCAUUAUGCAAAAUCAACUGAGCUAAUUUUAUUUAUUUAUUUAAUGUCAAAUAGGAACUCCUAAUUAACUGAUUACUGUCGAAAAGUGCUAUUUUGUAGACCUAAUUAUAAGGGUUUUAAGCACCUUUGAGUAGUAAUCAUAUUCAUUUAACCUAAUUAAUUCAUUAAGCUCCUUAGUAAUUAGUUCUAACCAUUUUUAGUGGCAAGUUUACAUGUUUUUCAUCAGCUUAUGAACCAAUUCAAGCAUGCCAAUUGAUGGAGGAGCUACUUGGGCGAGUUAAGCAAGGAUUUUGGACGUUUACAGGCUUGAAUUUCAAGUGGAAACACGAGCACAAGCAAUGGGAACACCAUUUCGCAAGGGGAGGCAAUUCACCUUGCCAAAUGACCAAUUUCGCAAGGGGAUUUUCCUCAUGGUGCAAAAUUUGGUCAUUUCGCACCAUGAAGAAACCACCUUGCAAAAUUUCGCAAGGUGGAUUUAGGCACCUUGCGAAAUGCCAAAUUUCACAAGGUGGCUUUUCACCUUGCGAAAUUUGGACCUUUCAUCUUCCCCCCUUGCGAAAUGCCUUUGAAAUCCCCUGUUUUGAGACGCUGUUGAUGAUAUUCCACUGCCGGUUCUCCAAGAUAUUUUGCUUGACUUUUAGCUUUAUAAAUACCUAUUUUACCCUUGUAAUCAACCAAUGAAAAGGUUGCUUUUGUAAUAGCUCUUGUAAUUUAGCUUUUUAUUGUCUUUAAAUAGAGGUGAAGAGCCUCAGACACGAUCAUCUUGUAACCUGUAACUUUAUAAGUUAUAAGAGCACUUUUGUUCAUACGCUUCUUUUCUCUUUUCUUUCUCAUUUUCUUAGUAGCCAAACAUCCUUGGAGGAUGAAAUCCCCAAGGAUGAGAGGCUAAAACCUUUUAGUUUCUUGAAGUAAUGGAUGCCAUGUGAAGCUCCCGUGUCAGGAUGGAGAUUUCCAAGCCAUAAAUGUAAGUAGCUGAGCGUCAUAAAUGUUUUCAUUCAAAGUAAAGCUUUUAAUCCCUCUGACUUGCUUUGAAUGGCCAAUACUUGAUAACCUUUUGGUCUCAAUGGAUUCUUAUUGUUAGAUCCACUGACGUUCAUUAGUUAUCUCCUACGAGCCAUUGUAUUGCAAGUCGAGGAGAUGACCUAUACCAAUAAAAGAGCAUUUAUGAGGUUCAACUACCCUUUUUGUAAGUUUUCAAGGACUAAAACUCAGUUGUUAAACUCAUACCGGUUCGAGAAGUAAGCAUCACCUUAGUUGCUUCCCCAACUCGAGGUGAAAAGUCCCAAAAUCUCCAUUUUUACACAGUGAGUUAAGCAUGGCUAUCCAAAGCUUUAAGAAACUUCUUUUUCCAUCUUUUAACCUAUUUUCAUGUUAGUUUAGUUUACAACACCUUCAUCUUUUUAUGUUUUCAUCUUAACCUAAUUUUUAUUAAGAAAAGUUCACUCCAUCCUCCGAACUUCACCAGUUAAAGUAAAAACCCUUCCCAGUGUUCGAUCCUAGAGCCACUAUGCUAUAGUAGCUUUGCUACUUUAGUGUAAGGACCUUAGGUAUAAAUUUUGUUGAUACCCUUACAUGCCAAGCUACCAAGAGUCGGGUUAUCAUUAACCUAACCAUUGGCCUGUGUAAAUUGAUUUCACAUGCACAAUGUUGUAGUAGAAGUCCAUAUUUUGAAUUUUAUUUUUGUAAAGGUAAGGAAAAUGAAGCAUUGUGUAAUUAUAAAAAUAACUUCAUUGGAAUUCACAAGGUUCACCCAAAAUGGAGCUACAUCUGUAUUCUAUCCUACAGUAGACUAUAUAGAUUGUACAAUAGUAAAUUGCAAAUACAAUUAAUAAGUCUUGUGCUUCCUUACUAAUAAUCCUUUGACAUGAACAUUGCAGCACUAAGGUCCUCUUGGGAAGACACCUUGCACCCAUGAGAGCACUAAGAGGAAGCAAGGCAGAGUCAUGGGUGCAAUGUCAUGACUUGUUGUUGCACCAAGAGAGGCUUGGUGAUGCCAUGGUGUUGCAGUAGCAAGAAUGUUGCCUUGGCAGGGACACGAUCUAGGGAUAGAUGCCAAGAAAGGCUUAGCACUCACAUGAGUUGCACAAAGAUGAAUGUAAUAGAGCAUCAGAGAGACGUCUUGGCAAGUAAAUGAAUGGAUCCAAGAGACAACAACAUGAGGAGUUUCAAAUGGAUAAGGAAUGACUCAAAGACAUUUGAAAGCUACAAGUUGGAUUCUAAUUACGAUUGCAAUUUGAGUUUGAGUAGGAGUUUAGAUUUUGAUUGUAAUUGUAGUAUGAGUUGGACUAGGAUUGCUUAUCCUUAGUCAAUAUAGGAGCGGUUCGUGUCACCCUAUGAAAAGAGUUUGAGUAGGGACUAGGAUUGCUUACUCCUAGUCAAAUAUGGAGUAGGUGGUGCCACACCUAUAAAAAAAAGGGACAACAUGAGAGAGAGAGAGAGAGAGAAAGAGAGAGUGAAUUCACUAAAGAUAUUGUGGGAGUUUUGCUUUGUUACGUCUUGUAUUAUUACUUAGAAUAGGAAUAAAAUACAAGUUGGGGCUAGAGCCCCAUAAUUAAUCUCGUGUGCCUUUGUGGUUAUUCUUUAUUUGUCAUCUCGUGUGGAUUGGAUUAGGUUGACUUAGAGGGCUUCUAAGCACCACCUUUGUGGGUUAUUAUUUAUUUUCCAUCUCUUGUGGAUUAGAUUAGGUUGACUUAGAGGGCUUCUGAGCACCACCUUUGUGGGUUAUUAUUUAUUUUCCAUCUAUUGUGGAUUAGAUUAGGUUGACUUAGAGGGCUUUUAAGCACCACAUUUGUGGGUUAUUCUUUAUUUUCCAUAUCGUGUGGGUUGGAUUAGGUUGACAAGGAGAAAAAUUAUGUGGGAAAUUUGUGUUGGGACACUUACCAUAACCAAGUAAAAUCUACCAAGUCCUUUGUAAUAUCUUCAACAAAUAUUUUAGACUAGUUCUUUCAGUUAGUGUAAAGGAGGAAGAAGUGGUAUUGAUUCUAGAAAUAGGGUGUGUGUAUUUGAACUACAAUCCUUAUGAUCCUUAGGUCUCUAAACCUUCGUGAUGGGCUCCCUGACAUUUCAUAGGUUGUGCUACACAUGCGUUUGAAAUUUAGAGUGCGUUUGACAGUGAUUCCGGGAAGUGUUUUUGGCCUUUCUUACACUUGAAAAUUUUUAUUUUUCAAGUAUUAGAAAUGCUACAAACACUUUUGAAAAUUACUGUCAAACACACUCUUAGGAGCGCACAUAUAUAGUAGAAAACUAGAAAUUGUGGUUUUUUUAGGAUUUACUGUAAUGUCAUUAGGAGGGUAGUAAGUUGAAAUUGAGUAUGAACAAAUAUUUCUUUCUUUGGGAUGUUCUUCUAGUAGGUGCUGAUGAAACUGUUCUUUCUACUGCCAAUGUCACAUAUCAGCCAGAAAUUGAAAAUUUCAGUCAAGGUGUCCUCUGUUUUAGUGGUGAGGAAAGCUAGAAAUUUUAAGGUGAAGUUUUGUUAAAAACCUUAAGUAGCUGGGAUAUCAGGCCUGUUUUGCUUGAAAAAAAAAGUUGCAAGAUAACUCAUAUGCCAAACAGGUUCUGAUAUUGUGAAUCUAUCGGCAGACAUCAGUAAUCUCAUCUUCUGAGAUGGAUGUUGGGGGUGCAUGUGGUGGUGGAGGGGCAAGGUUUCAUUUGGUUUAUUUUGUUGAUGGAUAUUGUCUAGCCACCUGCGCCAAGUUUGAGGGGUGGUGGGUUGUGAUGACCCUACAAUUACUAUUAAUUUCUUCAUCUUUUACCGAUUAAAGUGUCCGAACAGUCGAAGUUACCCUUAUGCAUGUCAACUUGAUCACUUACCUCUUCAAUGGAGUUUAUGCUGGUUCAUUUAGGAACUGAUUUUUAUUGUUAUGUAUUAUAUGCUGAUGUUUAGGUCUCUCCAUCAUCACUAUAUACAAAAAUUCUAGGUUGAUACUAUAGGUUGAGAUUUAUUUUUUAAAUAAAAAAUAAUAAAAAUAAAAAUUAUGGUGAUGUUUAGUUGUUUUAUGGAAAAUUUUAACAAGUAAAAGUUAUUUUUGGGCAAGUUUUCAAACAAAAAGAAAAGUAAAAGUUGUUUUGACAAAAACAUAUAGAAAAAAAAAUCAUAGAAAAUAAAUAAUUUCCCCAUAUUCUAACUUUUUUGAAUUUUUCUCAAUGGGCAAAGGAAUAUCAAAUCAAGUUUGAGUAGGAUUUCUUAAUUUUUAAAAUAACUUACAAUUAAAAAAUUUUGGUGUUUUCAUUUUUGGACAAUUUUUUAUUAAGCAAAUGGACUCUGAGUCAUGCAAGAGAUAUGGUUCAUUAACCGGUCGAACAAUUUUUUUAAAUUAAUUUAAAAGUCAAAUACAUAAUCAAUUUCACAAAAUUUAUAAACAAAAAUAGGUUUAGAGAAGAUCUACACAUAAUUUUACUUUUCUAAUUUUAUUUUAUUUUAUUUUUUGUUGGAAAAUAGUCUUCAAAUCAUGUAAGAUUUAAUAGGUUAAAUUUGUUAACAAUAAAUUUUAAAUUAUAAAAUAUAAUCUGGAACUCAAAAAUCAAUUCAAGUAAUGCUAAAAAAAAAUCAAAUUUGGUAUAGAAUGACUUUGUAAAUUUUUUUACAAAACAAAUGAAUUUUAAAUCAAGUGAGAUUUAAUGCAUUAGAUUUUUAUCAAAUAUAGUAAUUUUAAAAAUAAAUUUGGAACUCAACAAUAGACACAAUAAAUACCAAAAAAUAAUGAACCAAAAUUGGUUUGGAAUAACUCCACAACCUUUUUUUUUUUUUUUUGGUGCACACGAAUUUUCUUACUAGGUAUAUUGCUUUCAAAUUGAGAAAGAUUUACCAUUUAGAUUUUUUUUUAAUGAGUUUAAUGGUAUUUUAAAAUAAUUCAAAAUUUAAAAAAUUGACUAAUUAAUAUUAUAAAUUGAUAAACCAAGACUAUUUCAAAAUGCAUUGGGGGCUAAGGGGGUUGAAAAUAGGGACAAUGGGAUGGGUUUGGGACAUGACACUCAUAUCUCAUUUCCAUUCCAAUUACACAGUUAUCUCCCAUCCUUAUCCCAAACUUGUGUUGGAGCAAGUUGAUUUGUUCCCAUCUUUGUUGACGAAAUGACUAAUAACCUCAUCCCCUCCUUAUCUUAGAUGUACAUUUUGUCAAAUUUGAUCAGGUAUGAUUGAUCCAAGCCCUAACCCUAAUUGGUAAUGAGUGAAUACUACACCUAAUUGCAUUCUUCUUUCAUUGCAAAAUAAUGAGAUUAUAAUAAUCUAGCAAAUAAGAAAAAAUAGUAUGGAAGUUCAAAUUAACACCAUAACUAUCAAUAAUUUUAAGCUUAUAGAUGACUUAAAUGAUUAAAAACUAAUGCAAAAUCCUAAAAAAAAUAAAAAUCAUAUAAAGAAUUCACAAGAGAACAGAAUGAACAAAAACCAAAUAUGAACAUGGGUCAACAUUAGUUAUGGAUUUGGAUUCCUUUCAAGGCCAAUCUUUGAACCAAGACUUCAUCAAAUCAACUACUUCAAAGGCUUUUGUGUUCUUCUUGGGUUGUGCUCUCAAACAAAGACUUCGAGGUGAUGUUCUAGAUGAUUGAAUUACACAUAUUUAGGGUGGAGAGAUUGGAGAAGCUUGAAGAUGCCAACGAUGGGUACAAUUGAGUGGUCAAUAAGAACAAUGUAGCCUAUGACUAGUUUGAUGUCAUGGUACAAGAGUUUUAGGCAUUGAGGUUAAAGCAAGAGCAACAUGGAAUUGAUUUCGGAGUCUUUCAGUUAGUGUAAAGGAGGAAGAAGUGGUGUUGAUUCUAGAAAUAGGGUUUUAAGUGGUGCGUGAUUACUACUCAAAAAGUGCUAUUUGAUAGCCUUUAAUUAAUCCUUUUUAACACUUUUGAGUAGUAGUUUAGGCCUUUUAACUCAAUUGGCAUGUUAAGGAUCCUUUAAAGCAAUUUUGAUCACUUUGUGCAAGUUUUGGUGUUUUUGUUAGUAUUUUGAUCACCAAAGCAAGUCAAGAAUGAGGAGAACUAUGAGGAAUCAUGGGCAAAGCUUAGAAUUCAAUUGCCAAGAGUGAAUCCGGAUUGCAAGGAGAAAAAGCAAAGAGAAUCUGUCAUGAAGCCUAUUCUUGAUGACAGUCGUAGCAGCCACUUUUGGAGCACUUUCUGAAGUCCAAAUGAUGCAAGCUAUAUACCAUUUCAAAGAUCAGGAAGUCAACAAUCCAAUGCUUCAAACGGUGCGCGAUUCGGAGUUGAAACGAAGAAGUUGCAGCCAUUACAAGCCAGUCACUCUAAAGUGUUGCGGAAUCAGCCUUUUGUUGCGAGAAUUUCGCAGCACUUUUGUACAGUAAGGUGUUUCUCCUUCUGACGAUGCACGAACCAUGCCGCGAGAGGGAAGCUAGGAACUUCAAGAUGGAAGCCAACUUUGCAGCCUGGUGAAGAUAGCUUGGUCUUGCGAAAUAAUUUCGCAGCCCUCUUGGGUGUCUGCGAAAUUUCGCAGGCACCACUUUUUUCCUGCGAAAUGGCUCCGGAAGCCUCCCGAAGCUUGCUACCGACAUUGGGAGAUAUUUUCCAUUAGAUUUUUGUUGUCUAAAUUCCAAAAUACUCCUUGUAAACCACCAAUUACAUGAUUCCUUAGUUUUUAAGUUAGUAAAAAGACCAAAUAUCUAUGUAAUAAUUAGUUUUAUAUUAGUUUGCUAUAAAUACCUCUCGGGAGCAUGUUCUCAGAGAGGAGUUCCUUCUGUAACCAUUUUGGUAAGCAAGUAAAGUCUUUUCUUUCUACUGCCUUACCUUCUCACUUUGUAUUUUCAUUUUAUUUCUAAGUUAUGAAUUCUCUGAGGAGCUUUCCCCAGAGAAUGAGUAACUAAACCUCCAAUUCCUUGGAGCUAAGGUUGCCGGGGAAGGUUCCAAGUGCAAGAAUGCAAAGCUCUGUGGUUUUAGCUAGUAAUGAAGAGGAAGUGAAAUCCUUUAGUGAUUUCAAUGUUUUUAGUUAACUUAAAACACCUUGGAGUCACCUGGGCCAACACUUGGUAAGGCAAGUGAUUUCCAACCGUGGAAAUGCACUAGUUUACCCCUUGCGAGCCUCUGGUAGGUGACUUCAAGGUAGGAUUUUCUGGAAUUACCAACACUUGGUAAGCUUUUGGACUCCUAGGAGACAUCCAUUAGUUAUCUCUUGCGAGUUUGUGAAGGGGAAUCCAAGGUUAAAGAUCACCUUGAAUGGUAAGUGCUCGUGAGAGGCAUGAACCAUUGCAAGUUGUAUCAGUGAGAGAAUUAAAGUGAAAUCUAAUUGAAGGAGUCUCUGUACAUCACCGGUUAGAGAAUUGACUAUAAGUUGAAUCUCUAAUGCGAGGAAAUGAACCAUCUGACCGGAGCUAUGUCUUUUGCAUGAGGAACCACCCCAGUGAACCUAAAUCUCCAAGGAAUGCUUUUCUUCCUAAAUUAUUCCAAACUUCUGUUAAGUUAGUUAGUUUAAGUCUAAACCUUUACCAAUCAAACUUUGUGUUUUAUUUCUUAAGCUAACCGUGAAAUGAAACAAAACCAAUUCACUUGGAAUUGGUAUCCUUGAUUGCUUGCAAAUCAUUCCCAGUGAACGAUCCUUAGAGCCACUAUACUAUAGUAGCUUUGUAUUUGCUACCCUAGUGUAUGGUGUUAUAGGUAUAAAUUUUGUUGAUCACUUCCUCAAUCAAGGAACACCAGCUGAACACAAAUCAGCUGAGACACCAAUUGGGCAUGAGUCAAAUGGCGCCGUUGCCGGGGAAUGAGUGUCAAGAUCAUUGUGAUACCAUUUUUGAGCACUUGUGAUUUUCAUCACAAGUUGGUAAAGUUUCUUUCACUUUACUAAUUUUCAUUCUCUCUUUGUUUAUUUACAAUCUAAGUUUAUCUUUUUAAAAUUUAGUCUAGUUUAAUUUUGCUAUUGUAGCCUUGUUUCUCUUGUUGUCCUCUGUUCUUGUUGUCCUCUGUUUUCAUUUUAGUUGCAGCUGAAUACUAGUUGUGUAUGCCAAAGUGGAUACGAGACAUUGGAGGUAGGCUUAUUAAGUGUGAUACACCUCAGAGAGGAGAAUUGGAAGUAAUCUUGAAUAUCAUGGAGGCUGCACCUGAAGAUCAGCAUAGUCACCAAGGUCGUCAAGACAAUCUCAAUGAAUUCAGAUCAAUGAGGGACCGUAUGCAUCCACCUCGUAUGAGUGCACCAUCAUGUAUAGUGCCCCCUACAGAGCAACUAGUGAUCAGACCAUAUCUUGUUCCACUUCUACCAACUUUCCAUGGGAUGGAAAGUGAGAAUCCGUAUGCACACAUCAAGGAAUUUGAAGAUGUUUGUAAUACAUUCCAAGAGGGAGGAGCUUCAAUUGAUUUGAUGAGGCUUAAGUUAUUUCCUUUUAAUUUAAAGGAUAAGGCCAAAAUUUGGCUUAAUUCUUUAAGGCCAAGGAGUAUCCGCUCUUGGACUGAUUUACAAGCUGAAUUCCUCAAGAAAUUUUUUCCUACUCAUAGAACAAAUGGCUUGAAAAGGCAAAUUUCAAACUUCUCAGCUAAAGAGAAUGAGAAAUUCUAUGAGUGUUGGGAAAGAUACAUGGAAGCUAUAAAUGCUUGUCCUCACCAUGGCUUUGAUACUUGGCUACUGGUGAGUUAUUUUUAUGAUGGUAUGUCCUCCUCAAUGAAGCAACUCCUCGAGAAAAUGUGUGGAGAAGAUUUCAUGAGCAAAAAUCCAGAGGAAGCUAUGGAUUUCUUGAGCUAUGUAGCUGAUGUUUCAAGGGGAUGGGAUGAACCAACUAAAGGAGAAGUGGGAAAGAUGAAGUCUCAGUUGAAUGCUUACAAUGCAAAGGCUGGGAUGUAUACUUUAAAAGAGGAUGAUGACAUGAAAGCAAAGUUGGCAGCUAUGACAAGAAGAUUGGAGGAGCUGGAGCUGAAAAGAAUGCAUGAAGUGCAAGCUGUUGCUGAAGCACCAGUGCAAGUGAAGUUGUGUCCCAAUUGUCAAUCGUUUGAACAUUUGGUAGAGGAAUGCCCUGCAAUUUCAGCUGAAAGGGAAAUGUAUAGAGAUCAAGCAAAUGUUGUUGGACAAUUCAGGCCCAAUAACAAUGCUCCUUAUGGAAAUACCUACAAUUCAAGUUGGAGGAAUCAUCCAAAUUUUUCAUGGAAGGCCAGAGCAACUCAAUACCAACAGCCGGAUCCACCAUCUCAACAAUCUUCAAGUAUUGAACAAAUAAUAGCUAAUCUCAGCAAGGUAGUGGGAGAUUUUGUGGGAAAGCAAGAAGCCACCAAUGCUCGAGUGGAUCAAAGAAUGGACAGAGUGGAUCAAAGAAUGGACAGAAUGGAGAGUAUGUUGAACAAAAGAAUGGAUGGAAUGCAAAAUGAUAUGAAUCAAAAAUUUGAUAACAUCCAAUAUUCAAUUUCAAGGCUUACAAAUUUGAAUACACUGCAAGAAAAGGGAAGAUUUCCUUCUCAACCUAACCAAAAUCCCAAAGGUGUCCAUGAAGUGGAAAGCCAUGAGGGAGAAUCAUCACAGGUGAAAGAUGUGAAAGCUUUGAUCACUCUAAGGAGUGGUAAGAAAAUUGAGCAGCCAACACCCAAGCCACAUGUUGAGAAAGAAGAAGAGAUGAAGAAAGGGAAGGAAAUGGAAGAUAAAGGCAGUGAGAUCAGUGAAGAAAAGAAGGACUCUGAUGCAACAAUGAAAGUAAUUCCAGAGAAGGAGCUUCUGAAGGAAGAAAUGCUGAAGAAAUCAACUUUUCCACCUUUUCCUCAAGCAUUACAGGGGAAAAAGGGGGUUAGAAAUGCAGCUGAAAUCCUAGAAGUAUUGAGGCAAGUGAAAGUUAAUAUUCCACUGCUGGAUAUGAUCAAACAAGUUCCAACGUAUGCAAAAUUCCUAAAGGACUUGUGUACUAUCAAAAGAGGGUUGACUGUAAACAAGAAAGCCUUCUUGACUGAGCAAGUAAGUGCAAUCUUACAGUGUAAGUCUCCUUUGAAGUACAAAGACCCUGGAAGUCCUACCAUUUCAGUCAUGAUUGGAGGAAAGGUAGUGGAGAAAGCCUUGCUAGACUUGGGAGCAAGUGUGAAUUUGCUUCCAUAUUCUGUCUACAAGCAACUGGGACUUGGAGAGUUGAAGCCAACAGCAAUCACUUUGUCUCUGGCAGAUAGAUCAGUGAAAAUUCCAAGAGGGGUAAUUGAGGAUGUAUUGGUUCAAGUAGAUAAUUUCUACUAUCCUGUAGAUUUUGUUGUUCUUGAUACAGAUCCUACUGUAAAGGAAGCUAAUUUAGUUCCUAUCAUCCUUGGAAGGCCAUUUCUUGCAACUUCAAAUGCAAUCAUCAACUGUAGAAAUGGGCUUAUGCAACUCACUUUUGGUAACAUGACACUGGAUCUAAAUAUUUUCUAUAUGUCUAAAAAGCAAAUCACUCCAGAAGAAGAAGAGGGUCCAGAAGAGCUAUGUAUUAUUGAUACUUUGGUGGAGGAGCACUGCAAUCAACAUAUGCAAGAUAAGUUGAAUGAAAGUUUUGUGGAUAUUGAGGAAGGUUUUUCUGAAUCUCCUAAUGGGCUUGCUACUCUACAAAGUUGGAGAAAGAUAGAAGGAAUUCUACCUUUGUUCAAUGAAGAAGAGGAGGCAGCUGUUGAAAAAGAAAUUCCAAAACUCAAUCUGAAGCCUUUACCUAUGGAGCUGAAAUAUACAUAUCUUGAAGAAAAUAAUCAAUGUCCUGUCGUAAUAUCUUCAUCUCAAACCAAGUCUCAAGUGAAGGAUGCAAGCUUCAAAUGGGAUCCGGGCAAACUGAAUCAGGAAGGGCAAAAAGUUUUGAUGUAUGACACAAGACUCCAUAUCUUUCCUGGGAAGCUCAAGUCAAGGUGGAUUGGUCCAUUUGUUAUUCACCGAGUAUAUUCCAAUGGAGUGGUGGACUUAUUGAAUUCCAAUGGCAAGGACAGCUUUAGAGUCAAUGGAUAUCGUCUUAAGCCGUUCAUGGAGUCAUUCAAAUCAGAAAAGGAGGCAAUCAACCUCCUUGAACCUCAAAAAGCCUAAGUGAAAUGGGUUUGCUGGACGUGGUUUUACCACAGUCCAAAAAUUUUUGUAAAUUUUGUAAAUUUUCAAGUUGUUUCCAUGCUUUUAAUCUUAGUUUUUGAUUUUAAAUCAUGUUUUUAGGUGUGUUUUAAUCGUUUUAUAUGAUCCCAGGCGGAAGAAAUUUCAAGGGGAUUGAAAAGAAAAAAAUCGGGUCGAAAUUGGAGCCGAAACAGAGCAAAAACAGGGGAAAAACAGAGCUCUGCGAAAUUUCGCAGGGUGAAGGAAACUUCUGCGAAAUUGGCAUUUUGCUGCCAAACCAUUCCGCAGCACUGUAGAAGCCUCUGCGAGUGUAUUUCGCAAUUGCGAAAGUGGAUUUGGCACACGAGUGCCACUUCGCAGCACAGUGACAUCAAUUUCGCAGCUGCGAAACUCACUGCGAAGUUGCUGCGAAAAUGGCAAGUUGCUGCGAAAUUGGCGUUUUGUUGCGAAACGUAAUCUGACCCCUGGGCUUCCGUUUUUCCUAUUUAUACCUGUCAAAAGUGCUGCGAAAAAGGUUUCAAAAAUUAGAGCACCAUUCUCGCAGCCCUUUCAUCUUCUUCGCCAAGCCACGCCGUCCGUUUCUCCGGUCGUCUUCUCCGUUUAGCAGCGCCGGCCAAAGAUCGAUAGCCCAAAAAUGGCACGAACGCGAGGGGCAAAGUCUUCAUCCCCUUCGAACCGCAAAAGGAGUCUGCGAAAGGAGCCAAGUUCAGGCUCUGUUCCAGAACCUGCUCCAAAGCCUUCGCCGUCGAGACCACAACCUUCUCCAGUGAAGCCGGCGCCACCAAAGCCGCCGGCAAGGCGAUAUUUAACCAGGUCAGGUGGUCAGCCAUUGAAGAAGAAAGCCAGAGUUGAGAGCUCUGAACCAAUCGAUUUGACUGAGCAAUCCCCUGAGAAAUCACCAAAUCCUUCACCGGUACAAAUUCCAGUGCCAUCACCGGUUCCCUCGCCAAUUCCCUCACCAGAAGCAACUCCAAUUCCAUCGCCGGUACCAUCUCCGGCACCCCAAGAAAAAGCUCAGGAGCCUCAAGCGCCAAUUCCAGAGCCCCAAAUUGCAGCUGAAGCACCUCUGGAAGAAGUGAUCCGAAGGCCAAUGCUGCCUCAGCCCCCAAUCGAAGGAAACCUGGAUUGCCGAACUCGGGCAUUCCAUUCUGAGCUUUGCUUCGAUUUAACAGCAUUCAGAGUGAGGCCAGAGCUUGCCCAAUCCUUCCAACUGCUGAGGAGAUAUCAUAUGGAGCAUCUGCUAGCUCCAAGGGAUUUUUUCUAUCCCCGGGUAGUCACGGAUUUCUACCAAACCAUGACAACCAAAGAAGUAAGAAAUCCAACUCUGAUUCAUUUCAUAAUUGAUGGAAGGCAUGGUAUUUUGGGAGCAAGACAUAUUGCUGAAGCCCUGCAAAUUCCUUUUGAGCCAACUCAAUUCGACAAUUUUAAAGCUUGGACAAAUCCUACUGAGUUAGAGAUGGUUAGCACACUAACCAGAGGAGCUGCAAAUCGAUCGCAUUUGUUGAGGGGGGAGCUACCUCCAGUUAUGUUUUUGAUUGAUGCCUUUUUGAGGCAUAAUAUCUAUCCCCUGCAGCAUUGGACCCAAAGAAGGGGAAUUCUCCUAGAAGCCUUGUACAAAAUGUCUGAAGGAUUCUUCUUUGGGCCUCAUCAUCUGAUCAUGGCAGCCCUUCUAUACUUUGAGGAGAAGGUUCACAAGAAGAAGCUUCAAAGAGCAGAUUGCAUUCCACUCCUCUUCCCAAGGCUGCUAUGCCAAGUUUUGGAGCAUCUCGGAUACCCCUCUGAGCCUCAGCAGGAAAGAAAGAGAAUAUGCCGUGAGCCUUUUACCCUUGAUAAAUGGAAUAAUAUGACGGCCUACAAAAUUGAUCAGCCUGGGCAGCCUCAGCCAGCAGCAAGGAGAGUCUCCCCAAGACAUAUACCUGAAGGUAUAACACUUGCUACUCCUGCCAUCCCUCGAGCUCCACCAGCUGCACCUGCUCCAUCACAGCCAUCCACAUCAGCUGAGCCGAGGAUGGCCAUCCCUAUAUCCGAAUAUCGAGAGCUGUGCCGUGCAUUGGAGACUCUUACAGCUUCUCAGAGCAAUCUUGCUCAGGAGUUGGCAGCCAUUAAAGCAUGCCAGGAGCAGAUGUUAGCCUCUCAGACUCAACAAGCUGCCAUCCUAAGGCAGCUUCAAGUCCAUUUCGAUCUGCCACAAGCUGUAGAGCCCUCUAUUCCUACUCCACCAGAGCCACACUCUCAGCCUUCAGAGUCUCAUCCUCCAGAACCCGAAGCACCAGCUGAUCCACCUACUGAGGAGGCAGAUCCUUCUGCCUAGCACCAUCACCCCCCUCAUCAGACAUUAUAUAUAUAUUUGCUGUUUAUGUUUUUAUGCAUGUUUGUUUUGUUUUAGUUGAAAAGAAAUCCCAGUAUUUUGGUACUAUAUAUGGGAUUCCUUGUGUUACUUGUCUUUAGUAUUGUAAUCACAUGAACUCAAAGUAAUACAAGUUGACUAUUUCUUGUUAAAAGUUAGCAUUAAAGUUUCCUUAUUUCCUUUUCUCACAUAUUCUAUUCUUUUUGAAACAUGUGGUUUUCCCCAAUCAAUAUUCGAAUUUGAUAUCAGCAUGGAGGUACCACUUCCUCCCUUUUAUUACAGUCACUCAAAUCACAUUGAGGACAAUGCUCAGUUCGGUUGGGGGGUAUGAGGAAGGAAGUAUUCUAAACCUUUUUGGUAUUGCAAUUAUAUUGGUUAAUUAGUUGUAGAUUUUACUUUUUACUAGUGUUACUCUAUUCUCCAUGAAUUUUGAGGAAAAAUUUUCAAAUUAAACCAAGAGAAAUUGAACUGUUGUUUUUCACUUGACUUAGAGUAUGGAUUAUGCUUACUAAAGUGGUUCAAUUGUUGAAACUUCUACUGAAAUUGAAUUGAGUUCUUCCACUUUAAGCUAUCCACACACUGUGCACAUUAGUUUCCGAUUAUAAGAUGAAAAGCUAUUUCCCUCUUGACUUAGUAUAUUUUUGGGACUUGGUAUAUUUGACCUCAUUUGAUAAAAAUUGAAACACCCUGCAAAAGGCCAAUGAGCCUUUGAAAUAAAGAAAGUUGUUUGCUUGCCUUGAAACCCGAGCAAGGUCUGAGGGGUAUAUGGUGAAAAUCUUUAAAGCCUGGUGCCCUAAGCCUUAAUUGGUUGGGAGUCACCGACCUCAAUGCUCGUUACAAGGGUGAAUAGGUAGAGUUAGCAUAUGGUAGAUGCUUGGGUAUUAGAAAUUCAUUCUUAAAAGUCCGGGGAAAAAUCCGAGGAGUUAGUGGUUGAAAGAUCCUUAAAACUUGGUGCCCUAAACCUUAAUUGGUUGGGAGUCAUCGAUGGACCCCCAUUACAUGGACAAGUCAGAAAGAGUACCCCAUAAAGCUACCUUAAAAAAAAAAAAAAAAAAAAAAAAAAAAAAAAAGAUGAAAGUGUGUUCUUUUCUUAUUGAUUUUGGUCAGUUUGCUAAAGUGUUGAAAAGAGAUAGGUUGGGGGGUGAGAUUAGUAGCAUAUUAUUCUCGGAACCUAAGGAACCAAUACACAUAGAUUUUUGUGGAAGAUUGAAGUUUAGUUCUUAGAAAAUGAAAUGAUUUUAAAACUUCAGUUUGCAUAAUGCACUCCCUUGAUUGACAGUGUUUAGCAUAGGUGUUAUGACUCUUGUUGAGAUUUGGGUUUGUAUUUCUUUAAUGAUUCAUGUGAGAAAUAGAUCAUCAUGCCACUUGAGAAUUAUUUUCCUUUUAGCAUGAUGUUGUAAAUUUUAGAUUAGUUUGCUAUUUAUUUUUUAUUUUCUCUCCUAUAUUGCUAAGGGACUAGCAAUAUGUCGGUUGGGGGGAGUGAUUACUACUCAAAAAGUGCUAUUUGAUAGCCUUUAAUUAAUCCUUUUUAACACUUUUGAGUAGUAGUUUAGGCCUUUUAACUCAAUUGGCAUGUUAAGGAUCCUUUAAAGCAAUUUUGAUCACUUUGUGCAAGUUUUGGUGUUUUUGUUAGUAUUUUGAUCACCAAAGCAAGUCAAGAAUGAGGAGAACUAUGAGGAAUCAUGGGCAAAGCUUAGAAUUCAAUUGCCAAGAGUGAAUCCGGAUUGCAAGGAGAAAAAGCAAAGAGAAUCUGUCAUGAAGCCUAUUCUUGAUGACAGUCGUAGCAGCCACUUUUGGAGCACUUUCUGAAGUCCAAAUGAUGCAAGCUAUAUACCAUUUCAAAGCUCAGGAAGUCAACAAUCCAAUGCUUCAAACGGUGCGCGAUUCGGAGUUGAAACGAAGAAGUUGCAGCCAUUACAAGCCAGUCACUCUAAAGUGUUGCGGAAUCAGCCUUUUGUUGCGAGAAUUUCGCAGCACUUUUGUACAGUAAGGUGUUUCUCCUUCUGACGAUGCACGAACCAUGCCGCGAGAGGGAAGCUAGGAACUUCAAGAUGGAAGCCAACUUUGCAGCCUGGUGAAGAUAGCUUGGUCUUGCGAAAUAAUUUCGCAGCCCUCUUGGGUGUCUGCGAAAUUUCGCAGGCACCACUUUUUUCCUGCGAAAUGGCUCCGGAAGCCUCCCGAAGCUUGCUACCGACAUUGGGAGAUAUUUUCCAUUAGAUUUUUGUUGUCUAAAUUCCAAAAUACUCCUUGUAAACCACCAAUUACAUGAUUCCUUAGUUUUUAAGUUAGUAAAAAGACCAAAUAUCUAUGUAAUAAUUAGUUUUAUAUUAGUUUGCUAUAAAUACCUCUCGGGAGCAUGUUCUCAGAGAGGAGUUCCUUCUGUAACCAUUUUGGUAAGCAAGUAAAGUCUUUUCUUUCUACUGCCUUACCUUCUCACUUUGUAUUUUCAUUUUAUUUCUAAGUUAUGAAUUCUCUGAGGAGCUUUCCCCAGAGAAUGAGUAACUAAACCUCCAAUUCCUUGGAGCUAAGGUUGCCGGGGAAGGUUCCAAGUGCAAGAAUGCAAAGCUCUGUGGUUUUAGCUAGUAAUGAAGAGGAAGUGAAAUCCUUUAGUGAUUUCAAUGUUUUUAGUUAACUUAAAACACCUUGGAGUCACCUGGGCCAACACUUGGUAAGGCAAGUGAUUUCCAACCGUGGAAAUGCACUAGUUUACCCCUUGCGAGCCUCUGGUAGGUGACUUCAAGGUAGGAUUUUCUGGAAUUACCAACACUUGGUAAGCUUUUGGACUCCUAGGAGACAUCCAUUAGUUAUCUCUUGCGAGUUUGUGAAGGGGAAUCCAAGGUUAAAGAUCACCUUGAAUGGUAAGUGCUCGUGAGAGGCAUGAACCAUUGCAAGUUGUAUCAGUGAGAGAAUUAAAGUGAAAUCUAAUUGAAGGAGUCUCUGUACAUCACCGGUUAGAGAAUUGACUAUAAGUUGAAUCUCUAAUGCGAGGAAAUGAACCAUCUGACCGGAGCUAUGUCUUUUGCAUGAGGAACCACCCCAGUGAACCUAAAUCUCCAAGGAAUGCUUUUCUUCCUAAAUUAUUCCAAACUUCUGUUAAGUUAGUUAGUUUAAGUCUAAACCUUUACCAAUCAAACUUUGUGUUUUAUUCCUUAAGCUAACCGUGAAAUGAAACAAAACCAAUUCACUUGGAAUUGGUAUCCUUGAUUGCUUGCAAAUCAUUCCCAGUGAACGAUCCUUAGAGCCACUAUACUAUAGUAGCUUUGUAUUUGCUACCCUAGUGUAUGGUGUUAUAGGUAUAAAUUUUGUUGAUCACUUCCUCAAUCAAGGAACACCAGCUGAACACAAAUCAGCUGAGACACCAAUUGGGCAUGAGUCAGUGCGUUAGAGGAUCAAGAAGAAGAAAAAGAAGGAACUGUUGGAAUUAGUAUGAGUGUGAAGAGAAAAGUAUAUAAAUAAGGGGAAGUAAAAGCAAAGUUCAAAAAGCUAUAUUUUUUUAUUGUUGGUGUAUGGUUGCAUGAUUAUCCCUAUAAAUAAUAGGAGUUUUUUGGUAUUCUACUAGUAGUUGAAGCAUAAUUUCAUAAAUUAAUAUUUAGAGCGGGGUGGGGUGAGUUGUGACAAAAUUCAUACCCGUCCCAAACCUUGGUUCAGAUUUUUAAAAUAUUCUCAAACUUAUCAUAUACCCAACUUUUAUAUUUCAUACUUGUCCUAAUAGAGGCACGUUAGGCCGGGUUACUUGAGUAACCUACAUAAUUGUCAUCCCUAGUUGAAAUACACUUUUUGGCAGUGGCCACCAACUGAGCUAGAAGCUUGAUUGAUUGACCUACAAGAUUAGUUCUCAUCAUUUUAAAAAAAGUUCUGGCUUUGGUUGUGAGUGCAAUUGAAUCUAAACUGGCAUUUGCUUAAUGCAUCUACUUCAAUCCUAAACUUCUUACUUCUUAAGCCUCAAUUGUUGUUAGGAUUUUGGAAAACCCAUUUCCUUAAAUUGUAAAUUUAAGAUAAAAUAAAAUAAAAGUGAGACAUUUCUUGAUUGAAUAUUGUUAAAGGUCCCUUGGCAUUAAGACUUGGUUGAAGCCUUGGAAGAUUAGUGGAACUCUCAACAUGUGUUUGAAUCUUGAGGAGAGUGGAUGUAAGCCAAAAUUUUGUCAAACCAUUAUACAAAUUGAGUUUGAAUCCUCAUUUCUUGAUUUCUUAUUUAUUUGCUUUUUCUUAUUAUUACUUGAAUUGUCAUUUGCAUUCAUUAAUGUUAAAAUUGGUUAUAAUUAACCAACACUAAUUCUCUUUCCCCUUCCCUUUCUUGGGUGUAAACCUAGGUUGGAUUAACUAGAUAAAUCUAUUAAGAUGGUAAAAGAAUAAUUAUUCUUAACAUACAUAAGAUCAUCUUCAAUCAAAUGACUCAUUGGCUAAUAUGUUGAAUUUGCUUAUUACUUGCAACUCAAAAUUGUGUUCUAGUUGUGUCAAGUCCCCAGUGUAUGGACAUUAAAUUUGUAGUACGUGAUGAGUAAUUAGAUGGUCCAACUCCAAGAAAGUGAUUGAAAAGUAGUUCAAGAAAGGUGCAAAAGGGAAUUGUUUUGGUAUUUUCGUUUUUAUUCUUGAAGGUGGCAGAGCUAAAAUUUGAGAAAUCAAGCAAAACAUACUGAAAUUACAUUGAAAGAAAGAAGAUGGGAGUUAAUGUCUUGCAGUACAUGAUAAGGACUUCAUGCAUGUAGUGUGACCCAUGUCUUGGACUGAUGCCAACUCACGGUUACACUUAUACCCUUGGUUCUCUCUUUACUACCUUGGCUAACCUAGAUCAGGCUAUGAGAUAGGCUCCUCACCACACCAUUACUUGCCCAUUAAUUAGAGACAUUUUCAAGCAAUGAGGUAACAUGGUGACACCAAGAGGGUCUAUUCCUCGCCCGGAACAAGUCUAGACUUGGUCUCAAAAAAAUGGAGAAAAAUGAGGUGUCGUUAUGUAGAAAUACAACAACCAUGCCUUCCUCAUUACUUAGAUUCAGAAUGUGAAGGUGAAAUUGAGAAACAGAAACUCUUGAAACCAAAAUGAAAAUUGAUACUUUUACGAAGAAUUACAACAACAUUAGAGGAAGACUACAUUCUUCCUCUUUAUUCCUACAUUUCUACACUACUUCUACUCCACUCCAUAUUUCUACAUACAUCUUUAAUCAGUCUUCCCUCCUUUAUAUAGAGCCAUCUUCACACAAAUUUCGCAAGGUAGAAAAGAGGAAUGAAACUUGGAGCAAGGUUCGACUACUGGUUGUAGCUUGUCAAGGCUGGAAGUGAACUUUUCUUGGCUUUCUGGGCAUGGGUAGUAACUUGUGGGUUCCUGUUUGGCAUAAAAAUGGCUAGAACAUGUGGCACUAUCUUGUUGGAUGAUGUGUCAAGCAUGUGGCAGCCAUCUAGUGGCGAUUAUGUCAAUUUUGGGAUGGAGAGUUGGCAUCCAAUUGCAAAGAAAUAUGACGUCUACCAACAUGCAAUGUAAACCUAUGUAGAUCAUAUGAAGAUAGAGAGGAAAAAUAUAGAAAUGGAUAUAUACCUAGAACUAGCUUUUUAUUAAAUGAAACGGAGAGACAACAAUGAAGGAAAAUAAAAUUUUUUGGCUUAUAUCAAAGAGUUCACAUUGUGUUACCCUAGGUUUUCUUAAAACUUACUUUUAUGAUAACAAAAAAGAAAAAACCAUUAUUGUUUAAUCCUUUGUUUUAAACGCAUGUAAGGUGUAAUUAAGUUAGUUCAAUGCAUUAAUUUAAGAAACUUGACCUAUCAAAAGUACAAAAUUAGAUGAAAUCCAUUUCAAUGGUUAAAAUGAUCAAAAUCAAACUUUUUCUAAGUAUUUUUUAAAAGCAUCAAUAGUGAAAGACAAUUUUAUAUUUAGUCGGAGUUUGGACAAAACUGAAAAACACACAAAAUCCAAGCGACCAUCUCUAGCUUGGAUGGUCGCUUGAUCCCACCUAGAGAUGUGCAUGAGUAAAAGGAUUUGAAAAUGGAAAUUGACUAUGUAGUCGAUCAAUUAACUUUGCAACAUCAUAUGCAAUCCUAAUUGCUAGUCAUCUAAUCAAUUAGGUAGUCAAUCAACAGGCCAAAAAUAUGUUUAUAAUGACUAUUUUGUACAAAAACCACCUGUAUAGUUAAAUAUAAUGCAUUUCAUUUAUAAAUCUUCUAAUUCUUGAAUAACGAUCCUAUCAUCCUUUGAAAGUUUUUAUUACACUUUUUUUACUUUUGUUCUAAAACUUACACAUCACCCUUAAUUGUACCAUGAGAACCUAGCUAUUUUUUAUUUUUUUUUUUGUAAUUCAUCAAAGUUAGCUUUUGUAUUCAUUGUUGUAUUAUUUUUAGUAUAACUUAGAAAGCUAGUGUUUUCAAGUGAGUAAAAUUAACUUGUAAAUAUUGUAAAGAUUCAUCGACAUGUAUCUUAAACUAAGUGUACAAGUUAAAACAUUUGCUAGUAGAUUUUCUCAAAAUUUAGAAUAGAGCUUGAGACUAUUGAAAUAGGUGGGGUUGCACCAAACCACAUCACAUCGUUGUUUGCACCUUUUUUCACUCUCUUUUACUUAGUUGCUCUAUAUUUGUUGUCUAGUAAUAUCCUAUAGGCUUGAUGGGUUAGGGAGCAUCCCUUUGUGAAAAAAUUUUAUUCAAUCCUUAGUUGUAUCACGCAUAUAUAAAAUGCCUCAUUGUUUUAAUGGUAUUCAGUCGUGGCAUCACAGAUAUGGGCAUCUAAAUUUUAAAAGUUUGAAACUUUUAUCUAAAGAAAAUAUGGUGCUUUGCCUUUUUGUAAAGCAUGUUGAUGAAAUCCAUGAGAAUUGUGUACUUGGGAAGCAACACCGAGAUGACUUUUUUUUUUUUUUUAUAAUAUUGUUUGUCCAAAUUCCCUACAAAUUAGGCCACCAGAUGUUCAUAAUUCUCCCUUCUUGAAUUUGAAAACUCGGACAAUUGGACAAUGCGACACCUAAGUCCGGUUUCUAAAUGCUAAAGUGAAAGGGUAGGUAUGGACCAUUGAAAUGUGAUCACAACUUUUCUCUGUAGCCAUGUUGUCUCUUUUUUCUUUUGCAUGAUUUUCUUACCUUAACAGAAUCAUAGACUUGUUUAGUCUCUAAAUGGGAUUAAUUUCAUCCAGCUUUAAGCUACUAUAUUAUAUCUAGGUGGAGGACUUUUAAGAGUGCAACCGACAUAGAGCACAUGGAAGUGGGUAUAUGGGACAUGAAAUUUCUUCUUAUAAAGAUUGCAUGAUUUUUAUAUUAGAGUUGUUGAGGCGCUAUGUAUUUAGCUUGUUUUGCAGUUAAAUUAAUUGGAUAAGUAGACAUUGGCGUUUCUAAAUCUACUGUGAAGUGCUUCAUGUACGUGUGAAGUAUUAGAAAUUUCUUUCUUGGCAACUUGUUUUUCUUUGCGGUCUACUGAUAGGUUUGACUAAAAUUAUAUUCCCUGUCAUGCUAAUUAAUUUUCACGUGCAUGCUCAAAAGAAAAGUAUGACCUUAGUGCACCAAAAUCACUUUGAUUAAUUUGUGAUAGGUUUUUGUGCAUCAUGACAUUAGCCUUAUUCAUUUAGAUAAUGUUUAGUUUUUAGAAAGUAUUAAGAAAAGGAAAAUAAAUAUUAAGAAAAAUAUUCUUAUAUUUGAUUGUAUUAUGAAAAAUAUCAUAAAAAAAUCAAAUAUAAUUUAAAUUAAUUAAUAAUUUAUACAUUUUCAAAUUAUUUAAUCUUUAUAUUGAAGAUAUAAUAUAAAUGAAAUGAGUUUUAAGUAUUAUAUAAAAGUGAUUUAUUGAUCUUACAUAUAUAUAUUUCUUUUUUUUUUCCUUCUAUUUUUUCUCUUUAUUUUAUUUUCCUUAUGUUUUCCUCAACAUUUUCCGGAACCAAACAUAGCCUUAGGAAAUCCACAAUUACCUUCAACUGAGUAGAUUCUGUUGUUUUAGCAAUGUUAGGCUGCUAACUUGUGUUGGUACGAACCUAUUAAGCCUAAAGAUGUAAUUAGUUAGGAUAUUCUUUUCCCUCUAGUCUUGUAGCUCCACGUGUACAGUUGGUUAGGACCUCAUUGUAUAUAAUGCUUGCCCUGUUAUUGUAGAAGACAACAAAGAUAAAUAAUAUUAACAUUUUUCCUCUCAUCUCUCUCUGUUUCCCUCUGUUUUCAUCUCCUCUCUCAUCUUGGUAUCAGAGCCUCCAUGGCUUCUUUCAAAGAAACCUCCGAAUCACCUUCUGCUAGCAUUGUUAAUGUGCAAAACCCAUUAUCUCAAUCAAACAACCUUCCUUCACCAGUAGCCACACCCUCUUUUUCUUUCUCGUCUAUGAAUCAACCUCUCACAGUGAAGCUGGAUAAUGGGAACUACCUCAUAUGGAAGAAUUAGCUUCUAAAUGUCAUCAUUGCUAACGGACUCGAUGAUUUCAUUGACGGAUCUCGACCCUGCCCUCCUCGAUUUCUCGAUCUGCAACAACAAACCCUCAAUCCAGAGUACUCAGCUUGGCAGAGAUACAAUCGACUUCUGAUGAGUUGGCUGUACGCAUCCUUGUCCAAAGAUAUAAUGGCUCAGAUUGUUGGGUAUUCAACAGCUAUGGAGAUUUGGAAUGCCCUUAAUCAGAUUUACUCUGCCUCUUCUAUGGCGCGGUUUACUGAGCUUCGCACCAAGCUUCAAACGCUCAAGAAAGAUGGACUCUCAGUUGGUGAAUAUAUUCAAAGGCUCAAAUCCAUUUGCAAUAGUCUUGCAGCAAUAGGAGAACCAGUUUCUGAGAAAGACCAUCUUAUCUAUUUGUUCAAUGGAUUAGAUUGUGAGUAUUAUUCUUUUGUUACCUCCAUUCAAAAUCGAUCUGACCAACCAACUAUUGACAAAAUCCAUAGCCUAUUGCUUAGCUAUGACUUCCGGCUUGAACAACAAAACUCUGUUUCUCUCCAUUCUGCCCAAGUCCAUAUGGCUCAUCUGAACAAGAAACCUUAUAAAUCAACUCCUCAACCUACAUUCAAUCAUAUUCACAUUCAACCUAGAUACUCUUCUCCACCUUUUAAGCCAACCACUAGUCAAUAUCAACCCAACAUUUUGGGCAAACCACAACCACAACCAUGACAGCCUCAACCUCAAUGGAAACCACAUUUUUCAAUCUAAAAUCAAAAGCCUCAGCGCCAAAUUUGUGGUAAAUUUGGACACACUGCUCUUAUUUGCUUCCAUCACACAAAUUUGAACUAUUCACCCCAACCUUCUCCUAAAUCUUUCAAUACUGUUCUCACCACAAAUUCCCAGCUCCCUAAUCCUCCAAAAUUUUCUUACCCUACAAUGGCUCAUCCUGCUGCUACGCAUAACACGGUUCCCGAUACAAAUUGGUACAUGGACUCAGGUGCUACACAUCACUUUACUCUGGACAUCAACGUGCUUGACACUGUGACACCAUUUAGUGGUUCAGAACAGGUGACAGUUGGGAAUGGUAAGCAACUCUGUAUCUCACAUCUUGGUACUGCAAAACUACCAUCUUCGUAUUCUCCUCCUGUUCUACAUCAGGUAUAUCACACUCCAAAAAUUUCAAAUAAUCUUAUUAGUGUUAAAAAAUUGUGUUCUGAUAAUAAAGUUUUUGUUGAAUUUUAUGCCACUCAUUUUCUUGUCAAGGAUCAGGUUUCGAAGAGAGUUCUCCUUUAGGGUCAACUUGAUAAUGGCUUAUACAAAGUUCAGUCGUCAUGCUCUCCUUCUGCUGUUUCCUUUCCUCCUCAAGUUUUCAUAGCCAACAUCAAGUAUCCAAAUCUGUGGCACAAGAGACUAGGCCACCCAGCUUUAUCUGUUGUUAAUCAAAUCUUGGAUUCUUGUAACAUUGCUCGAACACAGAAAAUUUGUUUUAAUUUUUUAAAUUCUUGUCAAUUAGCAAAGAGCCACAGGCUUCCUUUUUCUCUGUCUCCAUCCAUUGCAGAAAAACCUUUUGAGUUAAUUCAUACAGACCUAUGGGGUCUUUCGCUCGUUCGCUCUAUUUCUGGUGCUCUUUAUUUUUUACUUUUCAUUGAUGAUCAUACUCGUUUUACUUGGUUUUAUUUGCUCAAAACAAAAGAUGAAGCAUAUCCUACUUUUCUCAAGUUUCAAGCUCUCAUUGAAAAUCAAUUUAAUACCAAGAUUAAGGCUGUCCAAUCUGAUUGGGGAGGUGAGUUUCGAUCUCUCUCCAUACCGUUUUCAAAUAUGGGCAUUGUCUAUUGUUUAUCGUGUCCAUACACCUCACAACAGAAUGGGCGAGUUGAGCGAAAAAAUCGCCAUGCGAUUGUCCUUUCUUGCUUGCUCUAUGCCCUUAUCUUAUUGGCCUUAUGCCUUUCAAACUGCCACUUACCUUAUUAAUCGUCUCUCUACCCCUGUGCUGCAUCAUCAAUCCUCUUACUUCGCACUCUAUCACAAACUCCCAACUUAUACUCAUCUUAAGGUCUUUGGUUCCUCUUGUUUUCCGUAUUUGCACCCUUAUAAUACCCAUAAACUCCAAUACAGGUCACUAGAGUGUGCUUUUCUUGGUUACAGUUCACACCACAAAGGUUAUCUAUGUCUUGACAUUCAUUCUAGCAGGGUGUAUAUUUCUCGCCAUGUGAUUUUUAAUGAAGAUUCUUUUCCAUUCAAGAAUUUGAAAUCUUCUCUCUCUCAGUCUAUUUCUUCUUCCUCUUCUUUAUAAGUUCCUCUGUUCAUUCUCUUGCCUCCCCUUUCCCCAUCUCCUCUUAUUUCUUCAUCUAUACCUCAUUCUUUUCCCUCUUCUUCUUCUACCUCUAGUACUUGUUCCCCUCUCGUUGCUCCUACCUCUCUUCCUUCCUCUUCACACUCUGUGUCUCCAUCUAUUCCACCUCCUUCUCCACCUUCUCCGAGUGUGGACCUGCUUGCACCUUGUGUGAAUACAAAUUUACAUACUUCUUCUCGCACUCACAAUAUUCAUCCUAUGGUGACUAGAUCUAAGGUUUGUAUCUAUAAACCUAAGUUGUUGUUGAGUGUCUCCAUAGGUUCUCUCACUAAGCCUACUUCCUUUCUUCAAGCUAUUAAAGAUCCUUCAUGGAAGCAAUCCAUGGAAUUCGAGUUUGCUACCCUUCAACACAACAAGACCUGGCAUUUGGUUCCUUCACCUUCCUCAGGCGAAGUAAUCGGUUGUAAAUGGGUCUAUAAGCUAAAGCUUCAGCCUGAUGGCUAAAUUGAGAGAUACAGCCUGCUUAGUAGCUAAGGGUAUCAUCAAAUUGAAGUAUGGACUACUUCGAAACAUUCAGCCUGAUNNNNNNNNNNNNNNNNNNNNNNNNNNNNNNNNNNNNNNNNNNNNNNNNNNNNNNNNNNNNNNNNNNNNNNNNNNNNNNNNNNNNNNNNNNNNNNNNNNNNAGCUUCAGCCUGAUGGCUAAAUUGAGAGAUACAAGGCCUGCUUAGUAGCUAAGGGUUAUCAUCAAAUUGAAGGUAUUGACUACUUCGAAACAUUCAGCCUGAUUGUCAAGCUUUCUACUAUCUGUAUUGUGCUCAGUCUUACUUUUUCCCAGAAUUGGUGUAUUAGACAGCUGGAUGUUCAUAAUGCCUUCUUACAUGGUGACUUAGCUAAAGACGUUUUCAUGGAACAACUGCCUGGAUUUGUUGAUCCUCUCUAUCCUACUCAUGUCUGCAAGUUGGAUAAGUCUCUCUACUGUCUUAAAUAGUCACCUCGGGCUUGGUAUACUAAGCUGAGUACUUCUCGCUACACUUGGGAUUUGUUACUUCUAAGAAUGACUCUUCCUUAUUUAUUUGUCAUUCGUCUCAUGGGUUACUUCUUGUUCUUGUCUAUGUGGAUGAUAUAAUCGUCAUUGGGAGCCACUCUCCUCAGGUUACUCACCUUAUCCAACAGUUGCAUCAUUAGCUUUCUUUAAAGGAUCUUGGUCCUUUACAUUAUUUUCUGGGCUUGGAGGUUCAUCACACCCCUACUGGUAUUCACCUCAGCCAAGCAAAGUAUAUCACUGAUCUCCUUACCCGGGCGGCUAUGUUGGAUGCCAAGCCAUGUCCCACUCCUAUGUCCUCCAACACAUAUCUCUCUUUUCAUGAUGGAGUGGCUCUUGAAAAUGGUUCAGAUUAUCGAAGUUUUGUUGGUGCCCUUUAGUAUUGUACCAUGACACGCCCAGAUAUAGCUUUUGCAAUAAAUAAAGUGUGUCAAUUCAUGCACCAUCCCUCUAAUGUUCACUGGCAGGCUAUAAAACGUAUUCUCCGGUACUUAAAGGGCACAUCUCAUUUUGGUCUCUUCCUACAGCCUUCCUAUGACUUCAACAUCACUUGCUAUACAAAUGCCGACUGGGCUUCCUGUCCUGAUGACAAGUGUAGCACCAGUGGCUACUGCCUCUUUCUUGCCUCUAAUCUGGUUUCUUGGUCAUCUUCCAAACAAAAAGUGGUCUCCCGCUCCAGCGCCGAAUCAGAGUACCGAGGGGUAGCAAAUGGGGCUGCUGAAAUUGCUUGGACUGAAUCUCUUCUUUGUGAACUUUCCAUUACUCCCCCUCCCCUCAUUCUCUGUGACAAUAUCAGUGCCACGUACUUAGCUGCCAAUCCUAUUUUGCAUGCCCGCACCAAACAUGUGGAAAUCGACUAUCACUUUGUCACGGAACGUGUUCUUCAAUGCUCUCUUUUUGUCCAGUUUACACCUUCUGAUGAUCAACUUGCUGAUUGCAUGACCAAGCCUCUCUCCACCCAACGUUUCAUCACUCUACGCUCCAAGCUCACUGUUCUCACUAGACCAAUGAGCUUGAGGGGGGAUGUUAAGCCUAAAGAUGUAAUUAGUUAGGAUAUUCUUUUCCCUCUAGUCUUGUAGCUCCACGUGUACAGUUGGUUAGGACCUCAUUGUAUAUAAUGCCUGCCCUGUUAUUGUAGAAGACAACAGAGAUAAAUAAUAUUAACAUUUUUCCUCUCAUCUCUCUCUCUGUUUCCCUCUGUUUUCAUCUCCUCUCUCAUCUGAACCAAAUGAUCCAUGUUAACCUUGGCUUGGUUUGAUUUGGCUCUAUCUUAGAGAGCUCAAGGAUCACGUCAACUCUGGUUUCUACUAUUCAGGUCCAUUCCCAUAUGAACUGGUUCAAAUUUGAGAAAAUGGUAACAGACCUUUAGUGAUGUUGGUUUGGAGCCAGUUGCCAAACCCGCCCUGAGCUUUACCACUAAUGUCAAGGGAGAAAGCCAUUUGAACAAAAACAAUAGCUUCAAGGGACUGAAUCGUGGAUGAAAUCUGAUCCACAUUUCUUCUCAUUUUGGAAACAAAUGAGAACUUAACUAAGAAGAUUCUACGGCCUCAUAGUGCUUUUCCUGAUCUAAGGUUGGUUCGUUUCCCAAACUGUGAGAUGCACGUGCCAGACUUCAGAACUCUCACGCUCAGGAGUGUAUCCACGUGGUGGACAUAAGAUGGUGGCUUAAGAUCUGGUGUCGGUGGCUUUACUUUACUAGGAGAGUAGUGUGUCUUCAUCUCAUUCACUGCCGGAGGGUGGCGUAAGCAGUGACGCUAAGGUGGGGCACAGUCAAUAUCAUUUGCAUUUGACCAUUAUAGUUUUCUCCCGGCUUUAAAGUAACCUUAUCGUGAUAAAGGAUUACUAGCACUAGUUCAGAUGAUAGUCAUGUUAAAUUCGGACCAUGUUUGUGUCACAUUAUCAGCAACCAUGUGUUUAUGGUUCAUGCUUUCUGCAACUAAAAUUGAUAUAUAACCAGGUGAACUUCAAUCUAAAUUCUGAAAGUACUCAUGUGAUAGAUGGUGCCCGUCUGCAGAGUCCAUCAAUUGAAAAAUGGAGUGAGUGUAUCUAUAAGAGGGAAGGCUUGGAAAAUGUUCAGUUUUCUGGGAAUUCAACAAGGAUCUAAAAUAGAUUGUUUUCUUUGCUGAUUUCAAUGGUUGAAAUUUGAGAAGAUUGUGUCCACAUAACACAACUAUUACUGGUCCUUCUGUUGCAAUUUAUCCUCUAAAGCUCUAGCAUGUCUUCCAAUUCCCACUUCCCUGUUACUCCAGGAAAGCUAUUUCUGUCAUUGUGAAGAAGAAAAGAGAAUGUACAUAUCGAUGCUUUUAAGUGACUGGAGCAUUUAUAUCAGGUGGUCUGCAGCCAUAUAUGCCACUUUGUGAAGAUUGGAACAGUCAAUCACUAGGCUAUAUAUUAGUGUGGCCCAGCCACUUUAAUCAAGGACAAGUCUUCAUACUUAAAGUCAAAUUCUGCCUUUAGUCUCAUUAUAAAUUUCUGUUUAAAUAUUAAGCAAACAUUUGUUUAAUGCGAUUAAGACAGUACUAACUCAAUACCUGUUCUAUUUUUGGAUGCAAAUGCUUGAUGGUUUCAUCAUUGGAUGGGAUAAAGGUGCAUUCAUGAUUAGGAAUACUAGUAGUUAUAUUUUAAUUCUCUUUUUUCUCAAUGAGACUUGUUGGCACAAUUUUGCUGUUGAGAAACCUACCUCUCCAUGGAAAAUAAGUUGUGAUUGAUAGUACUGGAUAUAUUCAAGAAAUCUAAAUAUAGAUAGCACAAAAUAUUAUCGACAUAAAUAGCAUUAACAGCGUACGUAUGUCUCAGUGCUCAUCAGCUAUAAGCAUGGGGCAAACACUUACUAUGAGCAACUUACGUCAAAAUUCCAGAAUAGGACAUAGAAGUGACAGAUAUAGAACAUUGCAUAUGAGUCACAAGAAAGGAAAUUACGGGUGCAUAGCAGCUCUUAUUUUACAUACUACUACUCAUACUGAUCAAAGUCACUCAGUUGGGAUGGGUGGGAGUAGGAGGUUUGUGGGGUGGCUUGUGCGGAGGAGUUGGCAGCUUCUUUCCAGGACCUGGUUGCUUCUCUGCUGGAGUUGAAGGAGGCUUAAUCUUCCGAGGUGGCUUGUAUGAGUCUUCAGCAUUCUCAGCUGGAGGGUGACCAGGGUUGUGACCAUAAUGUGGUGGCUUCUCUCCCUUAGGUGGUUUGCCAACUGGGGUUGGUGGCUUGUAUGAGUCUUCAGCAUUCUCAGCAGGAGGGUGACCAGGGUUGUGACCAUAAUGUGGUGGCUUCUCUCCCUUAGGUGGUUUGCCAACUGGGGUUGGUGGCUUGUGUUCUGGGAGUGGCUUCUCCCCCUUGGGAGGUUUUUCCAAUGGGGUUGGUUUGUGUUCAGGAGGUGGCUUCUCCACUGGAGGCUUGUGUUCAGGAGGUGGCUUCUCCACCGGAGGCUUGUGUUCAGGUGGUGGCUUCUCCACCGGAGGCUUAUGCUCUGGUGGUGGCUUCUCGAAUGGGGGAUGCUUAGGAUAAUCAGCAAGUGAGGGGGCGGUGAGAACCACCAGGCCAAGCAACACCACUAGCAAAUAUGUAGGAGACAUCUUUGGGUUUGGGCUCAGAUGGUGCAAAACUAGGAGAAUUGGCUAGCCUUUUAUAGCGGAUCGUACCCAAUAAUGAAAUGACACGUGUCAUUAUGACCCAUGUGUAAUGGGGUCGAUUUGGGUCCUACAGUGUUGAAAACUUCGACAUCCACUUUUGGCCUUUUGCUUUCUCUACAGCCGCCUUGCUUUUUCCCUCUUUCCUUUUGUUUUCCUCCUGCCCCAUUCUAUCAACUAAACACAAUUAUGUAGUUGUUUAAUUCUUAAAUGAGAUAUUAUCCGUCAAUCGUAUUAUAUUUUAUCAAGAGAGAACGGAGUGCAAUGUGGCUGUAAUUUUAUCGUUUAGUUUUAUCUCUUGGACCACUGCAUUUUUGUUAAGAGGUGCAAUAAUACACGUCUUUAUCUGCCAUUCAAUAUUUACAGUAAAGAGAGGGCACAAAACUCUUCACUUCGCACCAUAAUUAUUUUGUUUUCUGGACACCCCGGGGCCCUUUGGUUGGUUUGGGGGUCAGAAAGUGAACAUCAUAGGGGGUUUUUCCCUUAUGUGCAUUUGUAUCUGAUGGCUUUAACUCGCCUUGUUACUACAAAGAAACUGUCACAGAUAGGAACUUAUUCCAGGCUGAGUAUCUCCUCAUAGACCCUAUAAAAGAAGACAAGUCAUAAUGAACAUCUAACCUUUGUUCAAUUUGAUUCAAUGCCCCCAUUGUGUCCAUCUCACAAAUCUGAAUUAUUAUAUCCAUUGAAUACAUAAAUUAAUGAAGAAAAUAUGAAACCCAAGAUACAUCUCUGCACAACCUCAACCCUGGUUGCUAUGUUUCCCUUCUAUUCACAUGAUUUGAUGCUAAUUGCCAAACUUGCAACAAGCCCUGAGUUUGACACCUAGUAUCGAUGGGCGAAUUUAAAGUCUCCUCCAAACAUAUAUUCCACAGCUUGAAGCUCACAGAAGAUGUUACAGGCAGGGAAAAACCUUCAGAGUUCGCUACCAAAGAUAAUUAUUAAGGAGAUAUCACAAAGAGAAUUCCAAGGGGUCUGAAUCAAAGACAAAUUGGUCGUUCGUGGGGGUUCUUACUUUCUUUUGGGUAUAACUCACUGAGGGCACUGUCUUUGUUAUUUGCAUUUCACAUUUAGAGUUCUGUUCUGGAAACAUAUAAAAGGAGCAUCAUUUUGUUCUUGGGUAACCCAUAGUCGUGAGUGGGUCCAUUUGCAUGCUACUUAGUUGAAAAGUUGGACCAUUUGCUCCGACGCCUACCUCCCGGAUUCCAUGCUCGGAUAAAACAAGAAUAAAAAAAAUAUUUAUAAUUUACAAAUGGGGGAAAGAAAAAAAUGUCAACAACAAACCAGGAAAAAAGAGUAGUAAAAUUCAUGUCACAUGCUAGUGAGAGAAGGGGUUGUUACACUCACUCGAAGUUCUUUCCAAAAUAUCGCAUGGUAUUUUAUUUUAUGUGUCAGCGCAGUUGUGAAUGGAACGUGCAAAAGUCCAAAUUGGCGUUUUUCCUUUUCCCGUGUAGGAUGGCGACCUUUAAUAAAUAUUUAAAACAAAAAACGAAAAAAAGGAGGGAAAAGGGAUCAGAAAAGAUAAAACAAUGUGUACAAGAGCUCAAUUAGUUUGCAAAUUACUGUUUGGAUUUUGAUAGUAUUUUAUUUGUCCAUCUAUAUUUGAUGGAAAAGAGAAUUUAAGAUAUUUCUGAAACAAAAGCAUUAGUGUAAAACUAAAUUAAGGUAUAAUUAAGUUAGUUCAAUGCAUUAAUUUAAGAAACUUGAUCUAUCCAAAGUACAAAAUUAGAUGAAAUCCAUUUCAAUGGUUAAAAUGAUCAAAAUCAAACUUUUUCUAAGUAUUUUUUAAAAGCAUCAAUAUUAAAAGACAAUUUUAUAUUUAGUCGGAGUUUGGACAAAACCAAAAAGCACACAAAAUCCAAGCGACCAUCUCUAGCUUGGAUAGUCACUUGAUCCCACCUAGAGAUGUGCAUGAGUAAAAGGAUUUGAAAAUGGAAAUUGACUAAAUAUUUAGUUGAUCAAUUAAAUUUGCAAUGUCAUAUGCAAUCCUAAUAGCUAGUCAUCUAAUCAAUUAGGUAGUCAAUCAAGUGUUUGUAAUGACUAUUUUGUACAAAAAACCACAUGUAUAGUUAAAUAUAAUGCAUUUCAUUUAUAAAUCUUCUAAUUCUUGAAUAACGAUCCUAUCAUCCUUUGAAAAUUUUUAUUACACCUUUUUUACUUUUGUUCUAAAACUUACAUAUCACCCUUAAUUGUACCAUGAGAACCUAGCUAUUUUUUUUUUUUUUGUAAUUCAUCAAAGUUAGCUUUUGUAUUCAUUGUUGUAUUAUUUUUAGUAUAACUUAGAAAGCUAGUGUUUUCAAGUGAGUAAAAUUAACUUGUAAAUAUUGUAAAGAUUCAUUGAUAUGUAUCUUAAACUAAGUGUACAAAUUAAAACAUUUGCUAGUAGAUUUUCUCAAAAUUUAGAAUAGAGCUUGAGGCUAUUGAAAUAGGUGGGGUUACACCAAACCACAUCACAUCGUUGUUUGCACCUUUUUUCACUCUCUUUUACUUAGUUUCUCUAUAUUUGUUGUCUAGUAAUAUCCUAUAGGCUUGAUGGGUUAGGGAGCAUCCCUUUGUGAAAAAAUUUCAUUCAAUUCUUAGUUGUAUUACGCAUAUAUAAAAUGCCUCAUUGUUUUAAUGGUAUUCAGUCGUGGCAUCACAGAUAUGGGCAUCUAAAUUUUAAAAGUUUGAAACUUUUGUAAAGCAUGUUGAUAAAAUCCAUGAGAGUUGUGUACUUGGGAAGCAACAUCGAGGUGACUUUAUUUUUUUUUCCUUUUAUAAUGCCACACCUAAGUCCGGUUUCUAAAUGCUAAAGUGAAAGGGUAGGUAUGGACCAUUGAAAUGUGAUCACAACUUUUGGCCUUUUCCUUUCUCUGCAGCCAUGUUGUCUCUUUUUUCUUUUGCAUGAUUUUCUUACCAAAACAGAAUCAUAGACUUGUUUAGUCUCUAAGCUACUAUAUUAUAUCUCGGUGGACUUUUAAGAGUGCAACCGACAUAGAGCACAUGCAAGUGGGCAUAUGGGACAUGAAAUUUCUUCUUACAAAGAUUGCAUGAUUUUUAUAUUAGAGUUGUUCACGUGCAAUGUAUUUAGCUUGUUUUGCAGUUAAAUUAAUUGGAUAAGUAAACAUUGGCAUUUCUAAAUCGACUGUGAAGUGCUUCAUGUACGUGUAAAGUAUUAGAAAUUUCUUUCUUGGCAACUUGUUUUUUCCUUGCCAUCUACUGGUAGGUUUGACUAAAAUUAUAUUCCCUGUCAUGCUAAUUAAUUUUCAUGUGCAUGCUCAAAAGAAGAGUAUGACCUUAGUGCACCAAAAUCACUUUGAUUAAUUUGUGAUAGGUUUUUUUGCAUCAUUUAGAUAAUGUUUAGUUCUAAGAAAAAUUUAUAUAAAAAUGGUUUAUUUAUCUUACAUAUAUAUAUAUAUAUAUAUAUUUUUUUUUUUUUCAUUUUUUUUUCUUCUAUUUUAUUUAUUUAUUUUAUUUUCCUUAUGUUUUCCUCACAUUUUCCGGAACUAAACAUAGUCUUACGAAAUCAACAAUUGCCUUCAACUGAGUAGAUUCUGUUGUUUUAGCAAUGUUAGGCUGCUAACUUGUGGUGGUACGAACCAAAUGACCCAUGUUAAUCUUGGCUUGGUUUGAUUUGGCUCUAUCUCAGAGAGCUAAAGGAUCACGUCAACUCUGGUUUCUACUAUUCAGGUCCAUUCCCAGAUGAACUGGUUCAAAUUUGAGAAAAUGGUAACAGACCUUUAGUGAUGUUGGUUUGGAGCCAGUUGCCAAACCCGCCCUGAGCUUUACCACUAAUGUCAAGGGAGAAAGCCAUUUGAACAAAAACAAUAGCUUCAAGAGACUGAAUCGUGGAUGAAAUCUGAUCCACAUUUCUUCUCAUUUUGGGAAAAAAUGAGAACUUAACUACAAAGAUUCUACUGCCUCAUUCAUAGUGCUUUUCCUGAUCCAAGGUUGGUUCGUUUCCCAAAUUGUGAGGUGCACGUGCCACUCUCACGCUCAGGAGUGUAUCCACGUGGUGGACAUCAGAUGGUGGCUUAAUAUCUGGUGUCGGUGGCUUUACUUUACUAGGAGAGUAGUGUGUCUUCAUCUCAUUCACUGCCGGAGGGUGGCGUAAGCAGUGACGCUAAGGUGGGGCACAGUCAAUAUCAUUUGCAUUUGACCAUUAUAGUUUUCUCCCGGCUUGAAAGUAACCUUAUCGUGAUAAAGGAUUACUAGCACUAGUUCAGAUGACCGUCAUGUUAAUUCGGACCAUGUUUGUGUCACAUUAUCAGCAACCAUGUGUUUAUGGUUCAUGCUAUCUGCAACUAAACUUGAUAUAUAACCAGGUGAACUUCAAUCAAAAUUCUGGAAGUACUCUUGUGAUAGAUGGUGCCUGUCUGCAGAGUCCAUCAAUUGAAAAAUGGAGUGAGUGUAUCUAUAAGAGGGAAGGCUUGGCAAAUGUUCAGUUUUCUGGGAAUUCAACAAGGAUCUAAAAUAGAUUGUUUUCUUUGCCGACUUCAAUGGUUGAAAUUUGAGAAGAUUGUGUCCACAUAUCACAACUAUUACUGGUCCUUCUGUUGCAAUUUAUCCUGUAAGGCUCUAACAUGUCUUCCAAUUCCCACUUCCCUGUUACUCCAGGAAAGCUAUUUCUGUCAUUGUGAAGAAGAAAAGAGAAUGUACAUAUCGAUGCUUUUAAGUGACUGGAGCAUUCAUAUCAGGUGGUCUGCAGCCAUAUAUGCCACUUUGUGAAGGUUGGAACAGUCAAUCACUAGGCUAUAUAUUGGUGUGGCCCAGCCACUUCAAUCAAGGACAAGUCUUCAUACUUAAAGUCAAAUUCUGCCUUUAGUCUCAUUAUAAAUUGCUGUUUAAAUAUUAAGCAAACUUUUGUUUAAUGCGAUUAAGACAGUACUAACUCAAUACUUGUUCUAUUUUUGGAUGCAAAUGCUUGAUGGUUUCAUCAUUGGAUGGGAUAAAGGUGCAUUCAUGAUUAUGAAUACUUGUAGUUAUAUUUUCAUUCUCUUUUUUCUCAAUGAGACUUGUUGGCACAAUGUUGCUGUUCAGAAACCUACCUCUCCAUGGAAAAUAAGUUGCGAUUGAUAGUACUGGAUAUGUUCAAGAAAGCUAAAUAUAGAUAGCACAAAAUAUUAUCGAUAUAAAUAGCAUUAACAGCGUACGUAUGUCUCAAUGCUCAUCAGCUAUAAGCAUGGGACAAACACUUACUAUGAGCAACUUACGUCAAAAUUCCAGAAUAGGACAUAGAAGUGACAGAUCUAUAUAUAUAGAACACUGCAUAUGAGUCACAAGAAAGGAAAUUACGGGUGCAUAGCAGCUCUUAUUUUACAUACUACUACUCAUACUGAUCAAAGUCACUCAGUUGGGAUGGGUGGGAGUAGGAGGUUUGUGGGGUGGCUUGUGCGGAGGAGUUGGCAGCUUCUUUCCAGGACCUGGUUGCUUCUCUGCUGGAGUUGAAGGAGGCUUAAUCUUCCGAGGUGGCUUGUAUGAGUCUUCAGCAUUCUCAGCUGGAGGGUGACCAGGGUUGUGACCAUAAUGUGGUGGCUUCUCUCCCUUAGGUGGUUUGCCAACUGGGGUUGGUGGCUUGUAUGAGUCUUCAGCAUUCUCAGCAGGAGGGUGACCAGGGUUGUGACCAUAAUGUGGUGGCUUCUCUCCCUUAGGUGGUUUGCCAACUGGGGUUGGUGGCUUGUGUUCUGGGAGUGGCUUCUCCCCCUUGGGAGGUUUUUCCAAUGGGGUUGGUUUGUGUUCAGGAGGUGGCUUCUCCACUGGAGGCUUGUGUUCAGGAGGUGGCUUCUCCACCGGUGGCUUGUGUUCAGGAGGUGGCUUCUCCACCGGAGGCUUAUGCUCUGGUGGUGGCUUCUCCACCGGAGGCUUAUGCUCUGGUGGUGGCUUCUUGAAUGGGGGAUGCUGAGGGUAAUCAGCAAGUGAGGGGGCGGUGAGAACCACCAGGCCAAGCAACACCACUAGCAAAUAUGUAGGAGACAUCUUUGGGUUUGGGCUCAGAUGGUGCAAAACUAGGAGAAUUGGCUAGCCUUUUAUAGCGGAUCGUACUCAAUAAUGAAAUGACACGUGUCAUUAUGACCCAUGUGUAAUGGGGUCGAUUUGGGUCCUACAGUGUUGAAAACUUCGACAUCCAGUUUUGGCCUUUUGCUUUCUCUACAGCCGCCUUGCUUUUUCCCUCUUUCCUUUUGUUUUCCUCCUGCCCCAUUCUAUCAACUAAACACAAUUAUGUAGUUGUUUAAUUCUUAAAUGAGAUAUUAUCGGUCAAUCGUAUUAUAUUUUAUCAAGAGAGAACGGAGUGCAAUGCAGCUGUAAUUUUAUCGUUUACUUUUAUCUCUUGGACCACUGCAUUUUUGUUAAGAGGUGCAAUAAUACACGUCUUUAUCUGCCAUUCAAUGUUUACAGUAAAGAGAGGGCACAAAACUCUUCACUGCUCUGCAUGUGUCCCAAAAAUGCGAUUGGACAAAUUAUGAUUUGCAUGCUAAAAAGAGGCAAAUGAGGUUAAUUCGCACCAUAAUUAUUUGGUUUUCUGGACACCAUAAAAAGAUGUUAUACAGGCAGGGAAAAACCUUCAGAGUUAGCUACCAAAGAUAAUUAUCAAGCAGAUAUCACCAAGAGAAUUCCAUAGAGUCUGAAUCAAAGACAGAUUGCUCGCUCGUGGGGGUUCUUACUUUCUUUUGGGUAUAACUCACUGAGGUCACUGUCUUUUUUAUUUGCAUUUCACAGUUAGAGUUCUGCUCUGGAAGGUUUGUUCUGGAAACAUAUAAAAGGAGCAUCAUUUUGUUCUUGGGUAACCCAUAGUCGUGAGUGGGUCCAUUUGCAUGCUACUUAGUUGAAAAGUUGGACAAUUUGCUCCGACGCCUACCUCCUGGAUUCCAUGCUCGGUAAAACAAGAAUAAAAAAAAAUAUAUAAUUUACAAAUGGGGGAAAGAAAAAAUGUCGGAAAAAAUAGUAAAAUUCAUGUCACAUGCUAGUGAGAGAAGGGGUUGUUACACUCACUCGAAGUUCUUUUCAAAAUAUCGAAUGGUAUUUUACUUUAUGUGUCAGCGCAGUUGUGAAUGGAACGUGCAAAAGUCCAAAUUGGCGUUUUUAUUUUUCCCAUGUAGGAUGGUGACCUUUAAUAAAUAUUUAAAACAAAAGACGAAAAAAAAAAGGAGGGAAAAGGGAUCACAAAAGAUAAAAUAAUGUUUACAAAAGCUCAAUUAGUUUGCAAAUUACUGUUUGGAUUUUGAUAGUAUUUUAUUUGUCGUUCUAUAUUUGAUGUAAAAGAGAAUUUAAGAUAUUUCCGAAGCAAAAGCAUUAGUUUGCUCUGUGAUGUCCCACAUCGAAUAGGGGAGAAAGUUUCUGGCGCUAUAUAUGUAGAGGCUCCUCUUAACCAAGUAGAUGCGUUUUAAAACCAUGAGGGCCCCCUUAGGUCCAAAGCGGACAAUAUCUACAUGAUUGGGUGUAAGUCAUUACAAAUGGUAUCAGAGCCGAUCCCCGACCCCGGUGUGGGGGUUUGUUUGGCCCUGUAAGGGGUGUUUGUCUGUUUGACCCCACAAUCCCAUGGGACACAACGAGGACGUUGUGUCUGCAUGGGGGGGCGUUUGUGAUGUCCCACAUCGGAUAGGGGAGAAAGUUCCUAGUGCUAUAUAUGUAGAUGUUUCUCUUAACCAAGUAGAUGCAUUUUAAAAUUGUGAGGGCCUCUUUGGGCCCAAAGCGGACAAUAUCUACAUGGUUGAGUGUAAGUCAUUACAUGCUCCAUGUCAAUUUCAGCAUUUCUCAUAUGUUUCACACAUACACAGAAGAGCAUCGUUUUUUAAAGCAUGCAUUUAUGUUGGAUUAAUUUGGAUUUUGUGGGAACUGGGGCAAGGAUCACAUGGAAGAGAGGUUGACUUUUUUCAGUACUUCAAUGGUUGAAAUAUGUGAAGGCUUGAUUGAUACUAAAGCUUGAAAUUGCGACUCUGUCAUUUGUAAAAAAAUAUGACAGCUUCCAUGCUCUCGUUUGGUUGCAUUGUCCGGUCGAGAGGUGCAAAAAGCAUUCUCUCUCUUCUAAUAGUCUUUUCGUUUAAAUCAAGGGAUUUGCCUUCCCGGUCGAGGUCCAAUAGAGGGUAACGGUCACCUACUAAACAUUAAAUGCUCCAACAACUAGUGAACUGAUCGACCCCAGCUCGACUAGUUGAGGUUACUUUUUGGUUUUCUUGUCUCCCGAGGUUAGAAACCUAUAAAUAGAGAGCUUCACUUCAUUUAUGAGUAAGAGAACACCUAAAUUUAUUUGUUUACCUACUUGUUUUUGCCAUAAAAGCUCUCAUUUCUUUUCUUGGUGUAUUAAAUCUCCAUUUGCAUAUCCUUUAGUGCACCUUUGUGAUUCAUUCUAGCCUUGAGUUGUAUUUAAGCCUUUGUUGAGCUAGGUUGAGAGUUUCAUACUUGUUUAUUGAGUGUUAAAGCCUUCAAGUGAGUUAAAACUUGAAGAGAUUGUGUAAGAGCCCAUUGGAGUCGGAAUCCAAGUGUAAAGGUGAUUAAAAGCUUGGUUGAAGCUUCAAGUUAGUGGAACUCUCACUCGGUUAUGAGCUUGAGAAGAGUGGACAUAGACAAGGCAGUGUCGAACCACUAUAAAAUCUGAGUUUGAUUUCUCUAACCUUAUCUCUUUAUAUUUGCUUCUCUUGUGCUUAAAUUUUUUGUGUUUAAAAAGAAUUUUUAAAAACUCAAUUCACCCCCUUCUUGGGAGUUUUUCUCUUUUAAGAUCAGCUUUUAUUUUCUCAAUUGGUAUCAGAACUAUGCCUCUUGUUUAAGACUUAAUCGUCUAAGAGGAAAUGGCUAAUCCAUCAAGUUCAUCUCACAUUGAAAGUUUUGCAACCAAUAGACUUCUUUUUUUUUUUUUGCGGGAACUGAUUAUCCCUAUUGGAAAACUAAAAUGACUUGGUUUUUACAAUCAAUUGAUUUAGAUGUAUGAGAUGCCAUUGAAGAUGACCUAACUUUUCCUUCAAAACUAGUUGAUGGAGUCAUGGUUCCAAAACCUAAGCAAGAAUGGGAUGAGCGUGAUUGAAGAAAUUUUCAAUUAAAUGCUAAAGUCGUUUAUACUUUGCAAUGCUCUAUGGACAGAAAUGAAUAUAAUAGAAUAUGUCAAUGCAAAUCGGUUAAAGAAAUUUGGAGAUUGCUUGAAAUAACUCAUAAAGGAACAAAUCAAGUUAAAGAGUCAAAAAUCAAUUUACUUGUUCAUAGAUAUGAAUUGUUUUUUAUGAAAGAUAAUGAAACUAUUGUUAAGAUGAUCACUAGGUUCACCAACAUUGUUAAUGGUCUUAAAGCCUUGGGAAAGACCUACAAGGAAUCCGAAAACGUGAUGAAGAUCUUGAGGUCACUUCCAUCAAAGUGGCAUACCAAGGUCACCGCAAUUUAAGAAGCAAAAGACUUGAUCAAGCUACCUUUGGAGGAGUUCAUAGGGUCAUUGAUGACAUAUGAAAUCAAUUUGGCAAAGAAGUAACAAAAAGGUGAAGACAAAAAGAAGAAGAACAUAACUCUCAAAGCUACAACUAAGGAAGAAGAAGUUGAAGAAGAAAAACAAAUUGAAGAAGAUGAAGAUUUAGCCCUCAUCACAAGAAAGUUCAACAAAUUCAUGAGGGGUGAAAGGUUUAGAAGAAGAAGGUUCACUUCUAGAAGAGACUUUUCUAAAAAGGAAUCUUCAUCUAAUGGUGACAAAAAGAGAUGGGAAGAGAAAAGAGACUUGGUGUGUUUCAAGUGCAAGAAACCGGGACACAUUAAAUAUGAUUGUCCUCUCUACAAAAGUGAAGUCAAGAGGAAAAAGAAUAAGGCAAUGAUGGCCACUUAGAGUGAAAGUGAAGAUGAAUCAUCCGAAGAAGAAAAUGAGAAAGAAGUGGCAAACAUGUGUUUCAUGGCAAUAGAUGAACUUGAUGAGGUAAAAUCUAACCUUAGUGAUUAAGAUAUACAUGAUGCAUUUGAAGAAUUGUAUGAGGAUUUUUAAAAACUUAGUUUGAAAAAUAUUUCUCUUAAAAAGAAAGUUCAACAACUUGACAAAGAACUUAGAGAAGUAAAAGAAAAAUUUUCAAAUGUUAAAGUUUCUAAAACUCAUCUUGAAAAAGAAAAUGAGAUUCUAAGAAAGAAAAAUGAAUAGUUGAACUCCUCUCUUUCAAUCUUUUCUUCUAGACAAAAAUCUUUUGAAAUGAUUCUAACUAGCUAAAAAUGUGUUUUUGACAAACAAGGGUUAAGAUUUAAAUCUUCAAAAAAUCAAAAGUAUUUUAAAAACUAUUUUGUAAAGGAAUCCACAAGUGCAAGUCCUUCCACUACUUGCAACUUUUGUGGAAGAGAAUGGCACAUUAGUAGUACGCCCUUUAAGAAAUGGUUCUCAAAAGAAUUUAAAUGCAAAAACUAAAAAAGAUUUGGAUUGAGAAAUCCAAGGUCACUAACCCUCAAGGACCCAAAAAGAUAUAGGUACCUAAAUCAACUUGAGUUUUAUGUUGUAAGGUUCAAAGAAUGAUAAGUGGUUCUUAGAUAAUGGUUGCUCAAGACACAUGACCGGAGAUGAAUCCAAGUUUGCUUUUCUUAAAAAGAAAAAUGGAGGAUAUGUUACCUUUGGAGACAAUGCAAAAGAAAGGAUGAUUGGUCAAGGCAACAUUGGUAAUGGCACAUCCUCUCUCAUUGAAAGUGUUUUAUUAGUAGAUGGUUUCAAACAUAACCUUUUAAGCAUUAGUCAAUUUUGCGACAAAGGUUUUUAAGUGAUUUUUUAAGCAUCUCAUUGCAUCAUCAAGGAUAUUCAAAAUGAUAAAACCAUUUUCAUGGGCCAUAGAUGUGAUAAUGUUUAUGCUAUAAAUAUUUCAAAAUAUGAUGGCCAUGAUAGAUGUUUUUCAAGCAUGCAUGAUCAAAGUUGGUUGUGCCAUAGGAGAUUGAGACAUGCUAACAUAGACCUCAUUUCCCAACUCAACAAAGAUGAACUUGUUAGAGGCCUUCCCAAAAUAAUUUUUUAAAAAGAUAAAGUUUGUGAAGCUUGUCAAGUGGGAAAGUAAAUCAAAAACUCUUUUAAAAACAAAAACUUCAUUUCCACAUCUAGGCCACUUGAGUUGUUGCAUAUGGAUUUAUUUGGUCCCUCUAGGACACCAAGUCUUAGAGGAAAUUCUUAUGCAUAUGCUAUUGUGGACGACUUCUCUAGAUACACAUGAGUCUUGUUUUUUAGUCAAAAGAAUAAAGUUUUUUAUGAGUUUUCAAAGUUUUGCAAUAAGAUUCAAAAUGAAAAAGGUUUUUCAAUUACUUAUAUAAGAAGUGAUCAUGGGAGAGAAUUCGAAAAUAUUGAUUUUGAAGAGUAUUGCAAUGAGCAUGGAAUUGACCACAAUUUUUUGGCUCUUAGAACUCCUCAACAAAAUGGGGUAGUUGAAAGGAAAAAUAGAACUCUUCAAAAAAUGACAAGAACCAUACUAAAUGAAAACAACUUACCAAAAUAUUUUUAGGCCAAAACGGUUAACACUUCUUGUUAUGUUUUAAAUAGAGUAUUAUUGAGGCUCAUACUUAAGAAAACUCCCUAUGAGCUUUGGAAAAACAAAAAACCCAACAUUAGUUAUUCCAAAGUCUUUGGAUGCAAUAUUUUAUAAUAAACACCAAAGACAAUCUUGGAAAAUUUGAUGCAAAAUUGGAUGUUGGAAUUUUCCUUGGUUACUCAACUUCAAGUAAAGCUUUUCGAGUUUUAACAAAAGAACCAUGGUUGUAGAGGAGUCCAUCCAUGUUAUUUUUUAUGAAUCUCCAAGAAAGAGAGAGGAUUGAUGAUGAUUUAGGUUUGAAGACCUCUAUAGGAAGAUUGCAAAUCGAAGAUAGAAGACAACAAGAAGAAAAUGGAGAGAAUCCAAAGAAAGAAGGAUCACCAUUGGCACUACCCCCUCAUCAACAAGCGCAAGGUGAAUCAAGUCAAGAGCUUCCUAAAGAAUGGAAGUUUGUCAUCAAUCACCCACAAGAUCAAAUUAUAGGCAAUCCAUCUAGUGGGGUAAGAACUAGAUCCUCUCUUAGAAAUAUUUGCAAUAAUCUAGCUUUUAUCUCUCAAAUUGAGCCUAAAAAUAUAAAUGAUGUUUUAGAUGAUGAAAAUUGGAUAAUUGCAAUGCAAGAAGAGUUAAAUCCAUUUGAAAGAAGUGGAGUAUGGGAAUUAGUACCAAGACCUUCAAAUCAAAGUGUUAUUGGAACUAGAUGGAUCUUUAGAAAUAAAAUGGAUGAAAAUAGCAUAAUUGUUAGAAAUAAAGCAAGAUUGGUAGCCCAAGGUUUUAAUCAAGAAGAAAUGAUAGAUUAUGAAGAAACCUUUGCCCCCGUAGCUAGGUUGGAAGCCAUUAGGAUGCUACUUGCCUUUGCAUGUUUUAAAGACUUUGUUUUAUAUCAAAUGGAUGUGAAAAGUGCUUUUUUAAAUGGUUUUAUAAAUGAAGAAGUAUAUGUUGAACAACCACCCGGUUUUCAAAGUUUCAACUUUCCUAACCAUGUUUUUAAACUUAAAAAGACACUUUAUGGUUUGAAACAAGCACCUAGAUCAUGGUAUGAAAAAUUGAGUAAAUUUCUUUUGAAAAAAAUGUUUUAAAAUGGGAAAAAUUGACACAACUCUUUUUAUAAAAACCAAAGAAAAUGAUAUGCUCUUAGUUCAAAUAUAUAUUGAUGAUAUCAUUUUUGGUGCUACUAAUGUCUCUCUUUAUGAAGAAUUUUCUAAGUGCAUGCAUAGUGAGUUUGAAAUGAGCAUGAUAGGAGAACUCAACUUCUUCCUUGGACUUCAAAUCAAGCAACUAAAGGAAUGAACCUUCAUCAAUCAAGCAAAGUAUAUAAGAGAUCUUCUCAAAAGGUUCAACAUGGAAGAAGCCAAAACAAUGAAGACUCUAAUGAGCUCAUCCAUUAAGCUUGAUAAGGAUGAGAAAGGUAAAUCCAUUGACUCUAUUAUGUAUAGAGGCAUGAUAGGUUCUUUGCUCUAUUUGACCACUAGUAGACCUUACAUUAUGUAUAGUGUGUGUUUGUGUACUAGAUUUCAAUCUUGUCUUAAAAAAUCUCACUUAAGUGUCGUGAAAAGAAUCCUCAAAUAUUUGAAAGGGACAAUGGACAUAGGCUUAUGGUAUCCUAAGAGUGAUAACUUUGAAUUAAUUGGUUUUUUGGAUGCUGAUUUUGUCAGUUGUAGGGUUGAAAAAUAAAACACUAGUGGCACUUUUCAUUUCUUAAGACACUUACUUGUCUCAUGGCAUAAUAAGAAGCAAAAUUUGGUAGCUUUGUCAACAGCAGAAGCUAAAUACAUAGCAACUGGUUUAUGUUGUGCACAAAUCCUUUGGAUGAAAUAAACACUUAGUGAUUUUGAUUUAUCUUUUGAGCAUAUUCCUAUUAAAUGUGAUAAUAGUAGUGCCAUAAGUAUAUCAAAAAAUCUCGUGCAACACUCUAGGACUAAGCAUAUAGAGAUUAGACAUAAUUUUCUUAGAUAUCAUACACAAAAGGAUGAUAUAACACUUGAAUUUGUAAGCAUAAAAGACCAACUUGCCGAUAUCUUUACAAAACCUCUAAGAACAUUUUGUUGAUAUUAGAGGACAAUUAGGAGUGAUUUCUUUAUGAUCUAAUGUGAUGAAUUCUUGAUGAAUAUACUUUUUGAUUGCAUGAAUUUCAUGUCAUAUAUGCAUCAUAUAGAAAUAUACUUAGAUAAUGGUCAAAUUUCGACCAAAAAUCAAAAUUCCCAUGGCAUUAGGCAUAAAAAUUUUGGAAUUUCAACUGAAAAUGGUAGGAGGAGGAUCACAAAAUGAGAAAGUAUGCAAAAAUUGAAAAAUCAAAACGUUGACCAAGCGGUCAAUCGGACUAGACCGAUCGACUAGUUUGUCGAGAUUUAGGAUUUUUAAGAGACUCCAACGCUUCAAUUUUUGCACCGUUCUCCUCUAUUUCUUCACGGUUUCUCUGAUUUUGUCUUUUAGAGACUAAUUUGAGUGCGUUUUGGAUCAAUUGAAGCAUUUUGGAUUGGAUUUUAGGAAGAUUGAAAGUUAAGGUUUCGGAUUUGGGUCGCCUUCUCUUCCUCUCGCGUGUCACAAUCAGCUUUAGCAUUGUUCUCUUUCCAUUUUCACACACCUAGGGUUUCAGUUGUGAGCAUCUCUCUCUCUUUACCAACCACUACUCCCUUGCUUCUUCCAUAUGGCUCCUAGGCGAGAGUCCGCUACUUCUAGGGCACAAGGCAAGCACCCAACUGAGUCGUCUCAGUCAAAGGCACGUCGAAAAGUGAGAUUUGACAUUGCCUUGUUCAGUUCCAUGGAGGACUACCAACUAUACAAGCAACACUUUGCUUAGAGACGAGUAGUUCCCAAGAGAAAUAUUAAUUUUCCUCAACUUCAGCAUUUCGAAUUUAAGGGUCUAUUUACUAGGAUGGUUGGUUGUCUAUUGUCACAAUUUCGGAGCCGGUUUUCCUGACCUUAGUGCGAGUUUUUUACUCGAGGGCGACUUAUGGCAUGGGUGGCAUGAUCAUUUCUACUGUUGGAGGAGUUGAGAUCUGUCUGGACCCAGAGAGCAUCUGCCAUAUUUUCGAUAUUGCUCUGGUUGGACUCAAAGUAUACAAGUCCAAAAUGUGGCCCAUUGUGCCAGGAUUUGAGCUUAGAGAGGUCAUUCAGAGGAUUUGUGAACUUCCAGACGCCCAGGAGAUGGGCAAACCAUUGCCACACAGUUUGACGGUCAUCAACAGGGUGCUACACCAUAUAUUGUGCUCUAUCUUUCUACCACGAAGUGGACAUUGAGAUGAGGUCUCUUAUUAUGAGGCAUUCCUUAUUGACUCCAUUCUAACGGAGAGACGAAUUCAUCUACUAUGUCAUCAUUCACUAAGCCUCCUCACAGUGACAUACCACCUCAUCAGGCACCUCUUGCUCCUGACCAUGCUCCAUUGAUGGAUUUAUUUACUCAUAUUAGCUCUCUAGGCACUCGCAUGAAGGAGUUUGUUGUAGUUAGUGAUACAUGGUUCUACUCCAUAGAGGAUCGCAUGGAUCAGUAUCAGACUGGCUUCACGUCACAGUUUGAGUAUCUCCAAUAGAGGAUUGAGCAUAUUGAGGAUCACUUGAGCAUGAGAAGAUGAUGGCUUUUCUAUGCUCUGUGUUUCCACCUCCACCUCGUCAACCUUGAUUUCUUAGAGACCCAUUGUUUUCAUUUUGUAAUGUUGCCAAAAGGGGGAGAUAUUUAGGAUCUAGGACUCUAUAGGAGACUUACAUGCAUAUCAUUUUCAUAUCAUUGUUUGGAUCGUACAUAUUGGAUAGUGAUACUUUUUACUUAUAUAUGAUAUGCCUAUAUGUUUCAUGUCUUACAUUGUUUCUUAUUGCAAAUUAUCUCUAACAUGUCUUGAUUAUCUUUUUUUUAACUUCAUAAAUUUUGAUUGUUAACCCAUGAUUGGUUUGAGGGGAAGAUUCUUCUUCUCCUAGAUAACCAAGGUUUGUCAUCAUAAAAAAAUUGGAGAUUGUUAGCCCAAGGGUUCUCCUAAUCAUGUUUUGAUGAUAACAAACCAUGCUUAAGUUACUAAUUGGUUUGAAUUAUAAAGAAUUUCAAGUGUUAAUUUGAAAAUUCAUCAAAGAACCUAAUGGAUGCAAGAUCAAGAUUUUUGGAAGACCUUUAAUCAUAAGAAACAUAUGUAAGAUGAAUGCAUGGGUGCACUUAAGAUUUGCAUAUCAUUUCAUGCAUAUUUGGAAAACACGGUUUAUGCUUUAAAGUUACAUUUCCAUCAAAAUUUGAGAUCCAUCAAAUGAACCUUAGGAAAAAUGUUUUAAAAUUGGCAUAUAAUUUUACCUAAAGACCUUGCCUAAGUGUUAGAAGCAAAAGGACAAAAAAAAUAUAGGUUUUCUGGUCAAAAAUGGUGAACCAGUCAAGGCAUUGUCUAAAUCAGCUCAAUCGGCCAAGGUACCGGUCGAUCGGUUUCCCUUUCCCUGUCGAGAUCUAGUCAAGAGGUACAAAAAUCACAAUCUCUGUCUCUUUCUCUCUUUGUCUAUCUUCCAGUAGUCUUUCCUUCCCGGUCGAGGGAUUUGCCUUCCCGAUUGAGGUCCGAUUGAGAGUAAUAGUCACUUGCCAAAUAUUAAAUGCUCCAACAGUUAGUGAACUGGUCGACCCCCACCUUGCCCAGUUGAGGUUACUUUUUGGUUUUCUUGGCUCCCGAUGUUAGAAACCUAUAAAUAGAGAGUUCCACUUCAUUUAUGAGCAAGAGAACACUUGCAUUUAUUUGUUUACCUACUUGUUCUUGCCUUAAAAGCUCUCAUUUCUUUUCUUGGUGCAUUAAAUCUCCAUUUUGAUAUCCUUUAGUGCACCUUUGUGAUUCAUCUUAGCCUUGAGUUGUAUUUGAGCCCUUUUUUUAGCUAGGUUGAGAGUUUCAUACUUGUUAAUUGAGUGUUAAAGCCUUCAAGUGAGUUGAAACUUGUAGAGAUUAUGUGAGAGUCGAUUGGAGCCGAAAUCCAAGUGUAAAGGUGAUUAGAAGCUUGGUUGAAGCUUCAAGUUAGUGGAAUCCUCACUCAAUUAGGAGCUUGAGGAGAGUGGACGUAGCCAAGGAAGUGUCGAACCACUAUAAAAUUUGAGUUUGAUUUCUCUAACAUUGUCUCUUUAUAUUUGUUUAUCUUGUGCUUAAAUUUAUUGUGUUUAAAAAGAAUUUUUAAAUACCCAAUUCACCCCCCUCUUGGGUGUUUUUCUCUUUUAAAAUUAGCCUUUAUUUUCUCACAAACUAUUGUAGUAUAGUGGUUUUUAGGUGUCAUCCAUUAGGAUGAAUUGUUCUCGGUAAUUAAGGCGUGAAUGAGAGGAGAAUUAAUGAUUGUGAUUAAGUAAAAUUGAUUUGAAAAUUCAUGGUGAAAAAUCAAUUUAACAAUGGUUUCUAAUUGAGAAAAACAAUGAAAUGUGAAAUAAAAUAAAAUUAAUAGGAAAUGAAAUUCUCGAAGUUAGAAUUUUCUAAAAAACAAAUUCCAUGGUGAAUGGAUGUUGAGAUCUAAUUUUCAUCAAGUUAGAUUGAAAACCGAAAUUUUCAUAUAAACUGAUUUUUUAUUUAGUUUUAGGUCUAGAUUUAAUUUCCCUUAAAAUUAGGUUAUUUAAUCCAAGAAAUCAAUUCAAAUCAUAUAUUCAAUUCAUCUUAAAUUAUCUUCCAAUUAUUCACACAAUGCAACUAUUCAAUCUCAUCAAAUCUAGCUUUUAAGAAUUUAAUGAAUCUACCUAGUUUGCAUUGUAAUAGUCAUCCAUGACAAUUUGAAGAGAAAAAUAAUUCAAUUAAUCAAUCACUUGGAUCAAAUUACCUUUGCAAUUAAAGUUCAUUUCUCUAAUUCACCACAGAUUUUGUCUCUAGAUCCUCCUUUCUCAAAGAAAAAUGAGAUUUAGCCACACAUGAUUGGAGAUUUGGUCUCAUAAGGCAUGUUUAGCUAGUGAUAAAAUGAGAGAAAAUAAAGAAAAAUAGAGAAUUCGAUUAAGAAAGAAAAUCUAAAAAAUUCUACAAUUAGAAAUGUCCAAAAAGCUUUUUCAUGAGAAAAUCAAGUUUCUAUUUAUAGGCCAAGGUCAAGUGGACACUUGACAUCAUCUAAGAGGUCUUCCGGAAGCUUCUUCAUCAAGAAAUCUGGAGUUUAAUAAUAAAAUGGUCAUUUCACAAGAGCUCAAACAAUUUCGCAUGAUUAUGUGAAAUAAAAAAUGCAACAACAGCAAUUUACAUCUUCUUGGAGCAUUUCGCAUGACUGUGUGAAAUUUUCACAUGAUCAUGUGGAAUCGACUUGACAACUCUCAUUUAGCCUACAACAUAAUUCCACCUUUUGGUCCAUUUUUCAUAGUCAUGCGAAAUGGAAAUAUUUGAUUUUUAAGUUUUCUUUUGUCAUUUCUUUCAUUUCCUUCUCUUGAUUCCACUUCAACUACCUCCGAAUCCUGGUCCAAACCAAUUGCAUUACUUCUUUCAUUAUGCAUUUGGAUCAUCAUCAACAUUAUUUGUUCUCUUCAAUUUGAUUCAUCUCUUUUGUCACCAAUUUAUCAAAAUCAUACCUUGAAAUGACUCCAAAACUUCAUAAAACUUGUUAGUAACUCUUGCAAGGGCAACAACAUAUUAAUUAAGUGUUUUAGGCAUAGUUACUACUCAAAAGAUGCGAAACUCAUGAUAAUUAUUAUAUAAAAUAUGCUCUUUUUGAGUAGUAAUCAACUUUCUUGCAUAAGCAGACCUUUUAGGGUGGAGUACUAAAGACCAAUAUGCUUGUCCUUGUUGUAAUAAAGAAACUUGCUCUUAUUGAUUGCACCAUGGGAGAAAAUUUUGCUACAUGAGUUAUCAUCAAUUUCUUCCCACCAAUCAUAGAUUUAGACGUGACAAGAGGCCUCUUAAUGGCAAGGAGGAACUGACACUCACACUUAUACAAUUAUCGGGCAUUGAUGUGUUGCAACAAUUAGAAUAACUUACACCAAUUAUGUUGGGGAAGUCACAAAAGGCAAACAUGAAAACUAAAAGGAAAAAAGAAAAAUGUUACAUAUCACCACAACUGGAAAGAAAAAAGUAUUUACUUUCAUUUGCCAUAUUGGAAAGCACUUAUUUUACAUCAUAAUAAUUUAGACAUAAUGCAUAUUGAGAAAAAUGUGUGACAAUAUAAUUGAGACAUUGUUCAGUAUUGACGAAGAAACAAGGACAACCUAAAUAGUCAUCUCGAUUUACAAGCUCUAACUAUUAGAAAUGAGAUUCACCCAAUAGAAAGCAGGACCAAAUUUAUUUUGCUUGCAACAUGCUACUCACUCACCCCAAAUGAGAUUAAGGAAUUUUGCAAGUUUUUGAAAUCAAUAAAGGUCCCCAAUGGCUAUUCUUUCAAUAUCUCUCGUUAUGUGCAACUCAAUGAAAGGAAGAUAUAUGAGCUCAAAUUGUAUGAUUGUCAUGUCCUAAUGCAACAACUUCUCUCACUUGUAGUUCGUGGAGUUCUACAUAAGAAUGUUUGUGGAGUUAUCAUAGAAUUGCGUAAUUUUUUCAAGCAAUUGUGCUCAAAGGUGUUAGAAACAAAUCACUUACACCAACUUGAGAACAAUAUUAUUGUCAUACUAUGUAAAAUGGAGCAAAUAUUUCUUCCAUCAUUCUUUGAUAUUAUGGUGCAUUUACUUGUGCAUCUAGUAAGGCAAAGGUUGCAAGACUUGUGCAAUAUUGUUGGAUGUACCUAAUUGAACGAUAUUGUUAUAAUUUCAUAUGAAUCAUUUAAUUUUAUUUUAUAUUAUGUUCAGUUCAUUAACAUGUACAUUGGUCUACAUAUGGAUGAUGAUAGGUACCUAAGCACUUUAAAGUCAUAUGUGCGUAAUAGAACUUUUCUAGAAGGUUCUAUUGUAGAAAGGUACCUUGCAAAAGAAUGUACAACAUUUUAUUCUAGGUACUUGAAUGAUGUGGAAAUAAAGUAUAAUCACAAUGAUAGAAACUUUGUUGGUUUCAACACUAGAGGAGAUGAAAGGGGUUAUCUUUAAACAUAUUGGACAUGCAUUGGGAAAGCCCAUAUUUCAUUAACUUAGUUCAAAAGAGUGGUCACAAGCACAUUUAUAUGUGUUGACAAAUUGCGAAGAUGUCAUACCAUUCAUUGAGUAAAAAAUUUAUUUGAAUUUUAAUUAAAGCUCUAGUUUAUAUCCUUAAUCAAUGUUUUUUAAAUUCACAAGGAGCACAAGCAAACCAUCAAGGCUAGACCACAUAUACGUGUUUGAGACGUAGAUUUAAUUCAUAACAAGGAAUUUAUCAAGUGGUUUGAAAGACAUGUAAGUAUAUUCCUUAUUAUAAGGGAUUUAUUUCACAUUAUGUUUAUAUUGAAUCCAAACCUAUUAUUGAAUUGUAGGUUGAACAAUUACAUAAUGAAGGUCAUAUAUCUGAACACCUUCUCACAUUAUCAUGUGUUCCAAAUUCAUUAGUUACAUGCUUCAAAUGAUAUAUUGUCAAUGGAUUUAGAUCCCACAUUAAAGAACGUGAUAAAAAAGUUUUUAAAAAAAGACUCAGAAUAAUGGAAUUGUUGUAGUUGCAAAAACGUCAAGCUUUACAAGUGCAUGUGAUAUGAGUCCAAUUAUUAGUGAUGCUCUCUACUAUGGUGUUCUAACUAAAGUUGUUGAGUUACAUUAUCUUGGUGAAAAUAAGGUUGUUUUAUUCGAGUUUGAUUGGUGGGAUGUUACAAAUAUUGGAAAAUUGAUAAAAGAUGAUGAGUACAAUUACACAUUUGUUAACUUUGCAUGAAUUCUAACCACGAACGAACGAUUUGUACUUGCAUCUCCAGCAAAGUAAGUGUUCUAUGUGAAGAAUGCGAAUGAAUCAGAUUGGCAUACUAUCAUGGAGAUGCAACCUCAAGACCUCUAUAAGAUGAACGGGAUAGGAUCCAAUGGUGAUUUUGAACCAUUUCAACAAAGUGAACUACAUGAUCACUAAUAUAUCUCAGAUUUAGUUGAUGAAGAUAUAAUCAAGUGGAACAAAAGUGAUGUUUUAGGACUAAUCAUCCUAAAAAAUAUUGUAGUUUCUUAAAAAAAAAAUGAAAAUGAAGAAGAUAAUUGAACCUUUGUCAUACUUUAAAAAGCAACUAUGCAUUGUUCAUUUUGUAUGUUUUGGUUUUCUUCAUUUAAUUUCCUGAUUUUUGUGAUUCAAUGUCAUAUUAUUGAUCUUGAAAUAUUUUUCUAAUUUUUCAUUCUACGAUGGUUUCAACAAGGAUGACAUCAAGUCAAAAAAGGAAAUGUGGUCCCACACACAAUAUUGCAUUACAGGGAUUAAGGUCAGGGAAGAAGGUAAAAGUUGCAUUUAAUGAGUACAAUCAAUUGGUUAAACAGAAAAAUGGAAAACACUUAUCGAGCUACAUAGGGACACUUGUAUCUAACCAACACAAUGUACCUCUCCAAGCUAGUGAUUGGAAAAAUGUUCCAAAUGAUGCAAAAGAGAAAGUAUGGCCUUUGUUUUGGUAUGUUGUAUUUCUCACUAUAUGAUGUCAUUUCACUGUUAUUCUAUUUUGUGACUAACGUUUGAAUCAUAUGUAAGAAAAAUUUGAAGUAGAUAAAGACUGAAAAGAUUACAUGUUGGGUAUAGCCUCAAAUAAAUAUAGAAGCUAUAAAAAUAUGAUGAAUGCAAAAUACUAUGACCCUUGGCAUAAGGAUGCAUGAGGAGAGGUUAAUACAUAAAUCACCAUUUGUCUCUGAUGUUGAUUGGAAGUGGCUUGUCUCUGAUGCAUAAACCAAAUCCCCCACUGAAUGUUUGAUAUUUGAUAGCAGGAAAAACACACCCGCAGCUAUACACCUCCAUCAUUCAGAUAAUUAUAGUGGGGGAGAUGAUUCAUGGUUGCCCUUAUACCCUUUAUUUGCACCAUCUAUUGAGAUUCUUUAUCAUGGCCAGGUUUUACUGCAGCAAUAAGAUAUGGUGGCAACAAUUUUAUCUAUAGGUGCGGUUCCAGACCGCCUCCAUAGGUGCGGUUCCUGACUGCCUCCAUAGGUGCCUCUUCUUGUAAUGUUUGUUCUGGGAAUUACACUUGAAAGCCUUAUCGUGAUAAGGGAUUACAAACACUAGUUCAGAGGACAGCCAUGUUAAACUUCCACUAUGUUUGUGUCACAUUAUCAGCAGCCUAGUGUUUAUUGGUCAUGCUAUCUGCAACUAAUAUAACCCGGUGAACUUCAAUCUAAAUUCUGAAAGUACUCAUGUGACAGAUGGUGCCUUUCAGCAGAUAUCAUCAAUUUAAAAGUAGUGUGUGUGCCUAUAGGUGGGAAGGCCUUGGCAAAUGUUCAGUAUUCCGGUAAUUCAAGAAGGAUAUAUCUAAAAUAGAUUUUCUUCUUGCCCAUUUCAAUAGUUAAAAUUUGAGAAGAUUGUGUCCACAUCACACAAAUAUUAUUGGUCCUUCUGUUGCAAUUUACCUCUGAACAUGUCUUCCAAUUCCCACGGUCCUGUUACUCCAGGAAAACUAUUUCGGUCAUAUUGAAAAAAAAAAUAUUAAAGAAGGUACACAUGCUUUUAAGUGGACUGGGGCAUUCAUAUCAGGUGGUCUGUAUCCACAUAUGCCACUUCGUGAAAGGUGGAACAGCCUAAUCACUAGGCUAUUUAGUGUGGCCCAGCCACGUUAAUCAAGCACAAGUCUUCAUACUUAAAGUCAAAUGGUGUCUUUAGUCUCAUUACACAUCGCUAUUUGAAGAUUAACUCAUCACUAGUGUAAUGCGAUUAAGACAGUCCUAACUCAAUAUUUGUUCUAGUUUUGGAUGCAAAUGCUUGCUGGUUUCAUCAUUGGAUGGGAUAAAGGUGCAAUCAGGACUAUGAAUACGUGCAGUAAUACUUCAUUCUCUUUUUUCUCAAUGAGACUUCUUGGCACAAUUUUGCUGCUCAGCAACCUACCUUUCCAUGGAAAAUCAGUUGUGACUGAUAGUAAUGGAUAUAUUCUAGAAAGCUAAACAUAGAUAGCAUUCAAUAUUAUCGAUAUAACAUUAACAGCGUAUGUCUCAAUGCUCAUCAGCUACAAGCAAUGGACAAACACUUUGAGUAACUCACAGCAGUCAAAAUUCCUAAACAGGACAGACGUGACAGAUCUAUAUAUAGAACACUGCAUAUGAGUCACAGGAAAAGAUAAUACGGGUACAUAGAAGCUCUUAUUUUACAUAUUACUCAUACUGAUCAAAGUCGCUCAGUUGGGAUGGAUGGGAGAAGGAGGUUUGAGGGGUGGCUUGUGCGGGGAAGUUGGCAGCUUCUUUCCGGGAGCUGGUUGCUUCUUUGCUGGAGUUGAAGGAGGCUUAAUCUUCCGAGGUGGCUUGUAUGAGUCUUCAGCAUUCUCAGCAGGAGGGUGACCAGGGUUGUGACCAUAAUGUGGUGGCUUCUCUCCCUUAGGUGGUUUGCCAACUGGGGUUGGUGGCUUGUUUUCUGGGAGUGGCUUCUCUCCCUUGGGUGGUUUGCCAACUGGGGUUGGUGGCUUGUGUUCUGGGAGUGGCUUCUCCCCCUUGGGAGGUUUUUCGAAUGGGGUGGGUUUGUGUCCUGGUGGUGGCUUCUCUCCCUUGGGAGGUUUACCAAUUGGGGUCGGUGGCUUGUGUUCUGGGAGGGGCUUCUCUCCCUGGGGAGGUUUAGUGGGUGGCUUGUGUUCUGGAGGUGGCUUCUCCACCGGAGGCUUAUGCUCUGGUGGUGGCUUCUCGAAGGGGGGAUGCUCAGGGUAAUCACCAAGUGAGGGGGUGGUGAGAACCACCAUGCCAAGCAACAACACUAGCAAGUAUGUAGUAGACAUCUUUGGGUUUGGACUCAGACAGUGCAAAACUACGAGAAAUCGCUAGCCCUUUAUAGCGGCUCGGACCUAAUACUGACAUAAUAUAAAAUAAAUAUUAUAUUUUAUCAAGAGAGAACAGAGUGUAAUUUUAUCAUUAAUACCGAUCGAGGCCAAAGAAAGAAGACCCAUAAUCCAUUUCCCACAAGCAUACACAAUGCAGCUGUAAUUUUAUCAUUUACUUUUAUCCCUUGGACCACUGCAUUUUUGUUGAGAGACACAAUAACACAUUUUUAUCUGUCAUUCAACAUUUACAGUAAAGAGAGGGCACAAAACGCAAUUAGAUAAAUUAUGUUUUGCCUGCUAAAAAGAGGCAAAUAACUUUAUUUGCAACAUAAUUAUUUUGGUUUCUAGUGACCCCGGGGCCUUUCGGUUGGUUUGGGAUCGGAAAAUGAACAUCAUAGGGGGGGUUGUGCCCUUAUGGGCAUAUAUAUCUGAUAGCUUCAACUGGCCUUGUUCCUAGAAAGAAAUUGCCAAAGAUAUAAACUUAUUCCAGGCUGAAAGUAGAUGAGAGUCAUAAUGAACAUCAACCUUUGUUCAGUUUGAUUCAAUGCCCCCAUAGUGUUCAUUUCACAGAUCUGAAUGAUUAUAUCCGUUGAAUACAUAAAUUAAUGAAGACAAAUAUGAAACCCAAGAUACAUCUCUGCAUAACAACCCCAACCCUGGUUGCUAUGUUUCCCUUCUUCUAUUCACAUGAGGAUACUGGUUAUAAUUGUCAAACUUGCAACAAGCCCUUUGACACCUAACGUCAAUGGACGAAUUAAAAGUCUCCUUCAAACGUCUAUUUCACAGCAUGAAGCUUAUAAAGGAUGCUGACAACCUUCAGAGUUAGCGACAAAAGAUAAUUAUCAAGGAGAGAUAGUUCCAUGAGAAUUCCAAGGAGUCUGAAUCAAAGACAAAUUGCUCACUCAAGGGUUCUUAUUUUCUUUUAGGUACAAAUCUCUUGAGUGUUGUUAAAGAAACACGUCACUGUCAUUUUGAUUUGCAUUUAACAUUUCACUUUUGUUCUGGAAGGUUUGUUCCGGAAACAUAUCAAAUGAGCAUCAUUUUCUUCUUCGGUGACACAUGGUCGCGAGUACGUGGGUCCAUUUUCAUGCCACUUAGUUGAAAAGUUGGAAAGAAAAAACAUGCCAACAAGAAGAUAGUGAGAGAAGGGGCACUUCAAGCCUUUAACAUGAACAAACAGUAAAUAAAAGAUGUUUCUCCACUCAUAAAAGUGUGUUAGAUAGCAAUAUAACGAAUCACAUCCAAAAUCUUUACUAGGCUCAAACAUAAAGAAGACUCAUUUUUAAGAAAAGAUAAAAAUGGCAUUGUCUGAUAGUAUCCAAUACACGAGAUGGCACUUAAUUUGUACAAGAUCUGUCAAUGCUGACGCACAUUUUCUGAUUAAAAAAAAACUGAUCAGUCAAAAGCAAUGAAGAGAAGUGAUGACAAUGAAUGAUGCUUCCAAUAUUUUCACCCCUUAUAGUGUUCUUCAUGAUUCAGAUAUAUAAUUGGAAAUAGAACAACCCUAUGCCAUACAUUCGUCUAAGUAUGGUGUCUAAUUUUUUGUGUCAGCGGUUGCGAAUGGAGCGUGCAAAAGUCCAAAUUGGCGUCUCUCCAUUUCCACAUAGGAAGGUGACCUUUAUUGACAAAUACCCAAUAUUUGUAGACAUUCCUUAAAUAUCAUAACUUCUUGUUGAUUUGAAAAUCAUUUUUCAACUACCAUGUUUUAAUAAAUAUUUUUUAAAAUGUAUUUUUAUCAAAGUCCACCAUGAUGGAUAAUAUUCACCAUGCAAUAAUUAAUAAAGUACAAACUAAGCGAAAUGAAAAGCAUUUUCUUUGCUUUGAGUUGAUUUUGGUUGCAUUGAGUUGAUUUUGGUUUCAUGGUUUUUUCAACUCUUAUUUUGAUUGGAAGAUGUCAAGAAAAGAAAACAUAAAGAAAAAUUAAAAGGGAAAAAAGAAGAAAAAUAAAAAAAAAUAGAUUUAAAAGUUAAUAAAUUAUUUUUUAUAUUUAUUUUAAUUCAUUUCACUUAUUUUUCUUUUACUAUAUAAAAUUUAAAUAAUUUAAAUUUUAUAAUUAAUUUAAUUACAUUUCAUUUUCUUCUAUAUUUAAAUAUUGGAAAAAUAUUUUACUUAAUAUUUUUUUCUUUAAUUUCUUUGGCAUUUUGGGAACCAAACUUAGCCUUUAAAAUAAAAAACAAAAAAAAAAUGAAAAUAAGGAGGGAAAAGUGAGAAAAGAUAAAAACAAUAUGUAAAGGAUUUGAAAAGUAUUAGUUUGUAAUUACUAUUUGGAUUUCAAUAGUAUUUUAUUUGUCUUUCUAUAUUUCAUGUAAGAGAGAAUUUAAGAUAUUCCCCAAGGCAAAGCAUUAGUUACCUGCAAUCAGUGGUGAUAAGGCUCCAAGCCAAUUUUGGGCCCCAUAUCUUAAGACAGUACAAUUUCCAUUUCAACAUUUCUGAUUUCUCAGAUGUUUCACAUACCACAGAAGAACAUUGUUUGUGAAAAUAUGCAUUUAUGUUGGAUUUUGUAUGCUGUGGGGACUGGGGCAAGGAUCAUAUGGAAGAGUGGUUGACUUUUUCUGUACUUUAACGGUUGAAAUAGGAUAAGCACGGGCAUUUGUGAGGCUUAAUUGAUUUUGAAGCCUGAAAUUGCGUUUCUGUCAUUUUGUCAAAAAAAUGGCAGAUUCCAUACUCAUAUGUUUGGCCUGUGGCCAUGUACAGAUGCCAUUUAGUGACCAGUUUGUAACUGUCAAUCGUUGCGUUUUGACUCUGCCUCAACAACAUCUGCCAUUGACGGGUUUUCAUACUUGCAAAUCAAAUAGUCUUUCGUCCCAUCAGGAAUUUCGGUUUAAAUAUUAUUAAGCAUACGUUUGGCUGACAAUCAUUAUCCAGUUCAUGAUUUGGUUUCUUACCCUUAAUCAAUGGUUUCUAAGUGAAUAUAUGUAGAAGGAAAUCCGAAGUGUAGACAGUAGUAUCGAUAACUCUCAAUAUUCUCUAUAUAAUAGAAUAAACAGCGUCAUAGUGAUCGUCGCCUACAAGCAAGGUACAAAUACCAAAACGAGUGACUCACAUAGACAUCUCCCAACAAGAUGUAGUAGUGACUGACACAUGGACACAAUUAACUCGUAGAAAAGGAUAAGACCAUUGCACAGCAGCUCUUAUUUUACAUACUACUUAUGCUAACCAAAGUCAAUUAGUUGGGAUGGGUGGGAGAUGGAGGUUUGUGCGGUGGCUUGUGGGGCGGAGUUGAUGGCUUCUUUCCAGGAGCUUCUGGCUUUUUCAUCGGAGCUGAAGGAGGCUCAAUCUUAUGAGGCGGCUUGUAUGAGUCUUCUUUACUCUCGACAGGAGGGUGGCCAGGGUUGUGAUCAUAAUGUGGUGGCUUCUCUCCCUUAGGUGGCUUGCCAACUGGGGUUGGUGGCUUGUGUUCAGGAAGUGGUUUCUCUCCCAUGGGAGGUUUAGCAAUUGGGGUUGGUGGCUUGUGUUCUGGGAGUGGCUUCUCUCCCUUGGGAGGUUUAGUAGGUGACUUGUGUUCUGGAGGUGGCUUCUCCACCGGAGGCUUGUGCUCCGGUGGUGGCUUCUUGGUUGGAGGGGGCUUGGGGUAAUCAGCAAGAGAUGGGGUGGUGAGAACCACCAGUCCAAGGAACAACACUAGCAAGUAUGUGGGAGACAUUUUUGAGUUUGGGCUGAUCAGAUGAUGCAAAACUAAAGCAUUACGUGACCUUUUAUAGCAUGUAGCUCCCAAUACCCACUAAGUAUUGUGGGGUCCAUUUGUGCCCUACGGGGUUGAAAACUUAGACAAUUGGGCAAGGACCCACCUGACUAUGGAGGACUAGUGAGGUGUGAUCAUAGCUUUAGGAUUUUUCUUCCUCUGCAGCCGUCGUGCCGUUGGCAUGAUUUUCUUAAUCUUAAAUAAAGGCAUAGUUAUAGAGUUGUUUAAUCUCUAAAUGGGAUUUUAUAUAUAUCUUCAGAUAGCCAUUAAUAUAUUUGAUGAAGAAAGAAAGACAAGUGCAUACAACAUGUAUACGACUAGCUUUCAUGGAGUUCAUUUAUGAUCAGUUUUCCUGUACAUGUAAACCAGGAUCAUAUAUAUGUUUCUGUUCCACAACUAUUUUGGAAUCUUGUUUAUCAGUUUUUAUCAUUAUAAUGUCACAUAGGCUGCCAACUUGGGCGCUAAAAGAACCAGUUGGGCUAGUUCGUUUCAGAAUUUCAAUGUGGAUUCAGGAAUUGUUUUGUAAGAUAUGCGAAAUAGUAGAGGGAUGAAUAGUGUUUCAUUAAUAAAAGUGUCCUGUAAAUUAGAAGGUGUCAUAGAAACUAUAAUCAAUAAAUAACUUUUUUUCCCCACGGGUGGUGUUUCUUGUGGGGAUCAGUGACUGGUUUAGGUUCACCCAAAAUGAGUUCAGACUAAAAUUGGUUUGAGUCAAUGCCGUGUCUCUUUUUUCCAGAAAUCAACUAUUUUAUGCAUUGAAUAAAUCAUACAAAGAAAAUAUGAACGCCCGCAAAACCUAAACCCUGGUUGCUAACUUUCUAUGUUUCAGUUCUAUUCACGCAAGAAUAUUAGUUUAAGUUUGGGAAAAAUGGCAACUUACCUAGUGAUUACUUGGUUUUGGUUUGCGACUAUUUACGCAACCAACCAUGAGUUUGACUUUAACGUCAUGGGUUGAAGCCUCCUACAGGAAGGGAGAAAGCUCCACAGCUAGCUCCAAAAGAGAAUUAUCACAUUGAUAGCUCCAGAGAUUCCCAAGGGGACUGAAUCAAAGACAAGUUCCUCACUUUUUCUUCUUUUGAGGCCAAAUAUGAACCAAGGAUCACACAACCUCAUUCAACUUCAUAAGUUUGAUUUCAUGCAGUUGAACACUGGGUGAAGGCCAUGACAAGAAUUGAUUCAAAAAUUCUAUCACUCUUUUAAGUAAUGGAAGAUUAUUAUCUCUGAUUGGCAUCACAACAGCACAUGCUCCUAGAUCUUUCUAGACACUCCAUGCAAUGAAAGCACAAUGGAUCUUGUAACGAUAGAAACUAAGCCAUGCUACAGUACUAGAUGAUGAGGUAAAACUAGUAGACACGGGUGGCAGCCUAUAUGGGAGGGACACAAGUCUAAUUGAUUUGCAUUUCAGCAUUAUAGAUAGGUAUGUUUUGGAAGAUUUGUUCUGGAAAUACCGCACCAAGUAGGAUUCUUUUUCUCUUUAGUGGGUCCACUUGCAUGCCAAUUAACGAGUUGAAAAGUAUGAGCACCUACCUCGUGCUCGUGGAACCGAAGGUCAGUGAAGUGGGGCUCCUUUUGGCCUCGUGUAAACUUGAUUCAGAAGUGAAGUUAAUAGUCUUCCAUUCAGAUGGAUACAUGGGAAUUUUUCUCUUUUAUUUAUUUAUUUAUUUUUUUUUUGUGUGUGUAUGUCAAAGGAUAAUGAAUGAAGCGCGUUAGCUUGUUUUCUGACUGGAACCGCAGAUGUCCAAAUUGGAGUUCCUUCAUUUCUUACUUAGGAUUGUUACAUGUAUAAACAAGGUAUAAGAAAUAUGCCAACGUGUCUUGAGGAGUUAUUGAUUAGAAAUAACAAGUCACCCGACUGUAGAGUUCCAAGAUUUGAAUCUUCAGACCCUAUAGCAGCCUCUGGGGUACGUGGCAUCCUAUAGCAUAUUAAUGAAGGCUUUUUCGAUUUAGACUUCACAAUACCAAUUAAUAUGUAUGCACAAAAUGGAGAUGACCCCAAAAAAAACAGAAUCGCCAUAGUUUAUGAGGUUAAGGUGAUUCUCCACUUAAUAUCUACAUUAGCUAAUUAUGUAAAUCAAAUGAACUUCUAUUUUUCCUUUUUUUUUUUGGUUUAUGUCAAAUAGUAGCCCAUAAUUAACCCAACCAUUAGCCUGUUUGAAUUGAUUUCACAUGCACAAUGUUGUAGUAGUUCAUAUUUUGAAUUUUAUUUUUACAAAGGUAGUUAAGGAAAAUGAAGUAUAAUAAUUAUAAAAGCAGACUAUAUACACUACAAUAAUUGUUAGAAUGGUAUCUCAAAUUCUAAUUUAAAAUAUUAUUUUUUGUAAAAGAAAUAUUAUAUAGAAUAUUUCCUAAUUUUAUAAAUGAUUAUAAUUAGAUCUUUAUAAAAUAAGGAAAGUUGGUAAGAAUAUCUUUAUAAAUAUUUUAGGUCAUGAGAGAAAGAAAUGGGAUAAAAAUGUGAUGAAGAGGUGAAAUAAGAGAGUUGAUUAGGAUAUAGAUGUGAAGAAGAAAGGGAUUCAAUAUAUAUAUAUCUUUCAAUUACCACAUUAAAACCCUGUGAACCUUUUAUAUGGUUUACUUUAUUUUUAUAUUCCUCCUUUAAUAUAUUUACAUUAAUGCUUCCAUUGGCACAACAAUAACGAAUUACAAAUACAAGCAACAAGUCCCAUGUUUUAUUACCAAAAGCAGGUAAAAUCCACCUAAUAUAUUACAAUAUAUUCAUCCAAUAUUUUAGACCAAUUCUUCACCAUAAAUAUCAUAAUGUGGCUUUUGUUCUUUCUUAAAUUUAAAUUGAAUUGUCUUAUAUCAAUUUGUUUGUGAUUUUUUCAUUAACUUCACUUUCAUUUGGUUAUCUUUGGUUUUUGAAAAGUAUUAAGGAAUUAAUUAACAAAAUAAUGUUAAGAAAAAUAAUUUUCUCUCUUUUGAUUUUGAUUUUGUAGUAGAAAAAUAUAAUUAAAAUUAUUUAAAAAGUAUGUAAUUUUAAAUUAUUUAAUAUUUAGAUAAAAAAAAUAAGUCUAAUGAGUUUAAAAUAACAUAUAAAAAUAAUUUAUUUAUUUUAAAUUUAUUUUUUAUUUUCCAUUAUGUUCUCUUUCUCUUUUACUUUUUCAUAUUUUUUCUUACGAAGAAUCAAACACAACCUCAUAUUAUAUGUCAAGUGUUUGUCUAUAUUUGAGCAAUGUUAGAUACGGCCAUGGAUUCAUCAAACUAAACUGAUUUUAAUAGAUACUUCACAAAUUGAUUUAUACACUAAAUCAUUGGAUAGCAAUGAUGCAUUGGAAUUAAACGUAGGAUGAAGCUCGAAGAACACUGUUUGUGUAACAACAUAUUUAUGAAAUUAUGCAAAGGAUGAGCUUCGGGGUAGUAGUACAAGGUCAUUAAUGGAGAGCCGUGUUAAACCUUGAUUGUGAUUGGAUUCCGUUAUCAGCAACAGCAACCUUGUUUGUAACCUUGAAAGUCAUUCUGUCCACAUCGAAACUCCAAUUUGACGUUUGUAAUUACCAUUCCUGGAGUGUUCCUUGAUUGAAAUUUAAAUAAUAAUUGCGGCCCACAAGGAAUAUUUUCGAUUCUGUGGGAAUUUGACAAGGUUUGUUAGAGAAGACUGGUGACAUGUUGACUUCAAUGGUUCAAAUAGGAGACGUAUGUGGAUUUGGGGGGUUUAAUUGAAACUGAGUCCCUAUGGCUUUUUAAUAUUUGCAUUGAGCAGUCUCCAUGUGACUUCCUAAUUCCCACCAACCCUCCUGUCCAUGCUGUGAAACUAAAUUGUAAUUUAUCAGCCUUUGUCAAUGGUUUCUAAAUUAAAGAUAUAGACCAUGCAUGUACUUUAAUAAAAGCAAAUCUAAAGUGUAGAUAGCAGCAAUGGUGACACCCAAUAUUCUCCAUAAAAUAGAAUUAGAAUAAGCAGUGUUACAUUGUUCAUGAUCACCUACAAGCAUACAAGAACUUCCAUGAAUAACUCAUAGCAAUUGCCAACAGGGCGUCGUAGAGACUCAUACAUAGAACACUAUCCACCCAGAGGAAAGGACAAGACCAGUGCGCUGCAGCUCUUAUUUUUCACAUGUAUACCACCACUCGUAAUAACCAAAUUCACUCAGUUGGGAUAGGUGGGAGAUGGUGGUUUGUGGGGUGGCUUGUGGGGAGGAGUUGGAGGAGGCUUUAUUUUCUGAGGCGGCUUGUAUGAGUGUGCAGGAGGAUGCCCGGGAGUGUGACCAUAAUGUGGUGGCUUCUCUCCCGUAGGUGGUUUGCCAAAUGGGCUUGGUGGCUUCUCUCCCUUAGGAGGUUUACCAAUUGGGGUUGGUGGCUUGUGUUCUGGGAGUGGUUUCUCUCCCUUGGUAGGUUUGCCAAUUGGGGUUGGCGGCUUAUGUUCUGGGAGUGGCUUCUCUCCCUUGGGAGGUUUGCUAAUUGGGGUUGGCGGCUUAUGUUCUGGGGGCGGCUUCUCUCCCUUGGGAGGUUUGCCAAUUGGAGUUGGCGGCUUAUGUUCUGGGAGUGGCUUUUCUCCCUUGGGAGGCUUGCCAAUUGGGGUUGGCGGCUUAUGUUCUGGGGGUGGCUUCUCUCCUUUAGGAGGUUUGCCAAUUGGAGUCGGCGGCUUAUGUUCUGGAAGUGGCUUUUUUCCCUUGGGAGGUUUGCCAAUUGGGGUUGGCGGCUUAUGUUCUGGGGGUGGCUUCUCUCCCUUGGGAGGUUUGCCAAUUGGAGUCGGCGGCUUAUGUUCUGGGAGUGGCUUCUCUCCCUUGGGAGGUUUUGUUGGUGGCUUGUGUUCUGGAGAUGGCUUCUCCCCUGGAGGCUUGUGCUCCGGAGGUGGCUUCUGAAAUGGCGGGGGCUUGGGGUAAUGAGCAAGAGAUGGAGUACUGGUGAGAACCACCAUUCCAAGCAACAAUACUAGCAAGCAUGUGGGAGACAUCUUUGAGUAGUUGUAGCUAAGAUGGCGCAACACUGUAGGCAUUGGGUGGCCUUUUAUAAAGGGCUGGACCCAACAGCCAUAUGACACGUGUCAUGAUGACAAAUGAAGUUGAGGGGAUCCAGAUGGGUCCUACUGAGUCGAAAACUUGCACUAAUUGAUCUGGUGAGAUGACUAUUUCUGUCCUUUUGCCCUUCUCGGCCACCCUGUGCUGUUUUCCUUUUGCACGAUUUUCGUUGCCAAACAAGCAAAUAAUAUUUCGCCAAGAAAGAGGAGAGUGAAUGUGGAAUGCAUCAAGUCCCAUCAAGGAUGGCAGAGAAGAAAUAGAAGAUUGCCCAACUGUGAUAAACAUAGCAUACACGUAGCACCAGGAACUUCAUUUACUUCCAUCUAAUGGAACAUAACAAUCUUCUAAAGUUUUUGCAUGAUUUUGUUAUAUGUCUCUUAGCCUAAAGUUGGAAAUGCGCAACAAAUUUUGUCACUUCUCUAUUUCCCACUGAUGAUGUUAAUUAGCCUUCAUAGAUAUCAUCCUUUCUACAAAGUGCUUCAUUUGUGUGUUAUUGUAAAGUGUAAGAAAAGUAAUUGAACAUGUUCUUUUUCCUUUCAUAGAUGACUUUUGAUGUGCAUUUUAAAAGCAGCGCUGUGAGUCGGUGACCUUGAUUCACACGGAAACUAAGGCUCCUAUAGGACCCACUUUUAGCUGGUUAGGGGUGAAGAAAAUAUCAACUUUUCAGAGUGAUUUAAGUCAAGGCCAAGCCUCACUGUGUCAUUACUCGUGUGAAUUUUAUAUGCACAUACAUACAUAAAUAAAGUAUGAGACCCAAAUAACACCUUCCCUUUACAAACUUAACCCCAGCCGCUCUCUUUCAAUUCUUUUCACACAAGGGUAUUGACUCUAUAAAGGUCAAGAAAAUCAUAAUUUCCUAGGGUUUACAAGGUAAUUGGCUUAAUGCUAAUGUGAAAACAUAAAAGAUAAUAGUAUAUUGUAAGCUAACGAAUAUUCUAUAGUUAUAAUUAUUUGUGAUGUGCAUAAAUAAAUCUUCAUAUAUAUAAUGGAACAAUGAAUAAAGAACCAAUGAAAAAAUACUAUAUAUCAUUGCUUGGCAUUUAAACCGUAUAUGCUGCUCUUUCUAGCUACUCCAUCCACUGAAAGACAACAAGGUAAUCCAUGUUAUAAUGAUAGAAGAUACUGUCUCUAGGCUUUUUGUGAUGAAAAAUAUAAGAUAUGGGUAGGGUUGACCCUUGUAUGUUUGUCCUAUAAACACUUCAAAGUAACAUAUUUUUCUUCUUUAGCAACUCAUAAUGAUGGGGUUCAUUUGCAUGUCACUGAGUUGAAAAGUUGGACAAUUGCCCAUGUCGCCUUCCUCCUAGAUUCCGUAGUUCACGGGAAGGUAACUCAAGUUUGACAUAUUUUGAAUUCUUUUCACUCGGACGUCUUCAUAACCUGACAAAACAAAAAUGAAAAACAGAGGAUUGGUAUAUUAUUCAUGGUAAGCCUCAAAUUAUAGUAGUAUGAGAAAGGAGAAAAAGAUUUUGGGAACUCCAAUCUGGAUAAUUCUCGUUUCUUCUCUUGAAUAAAAAUUUCACUUACCUAACUUCGUUUGGAGAAAUGGCAUAUUUUAAUUUUGUACGUCAUUGCUAAUAAAUGGAGCAAUUUAGCAUGUUUUGUGACUGAAACUGCAAAUGUCCAAUUGGCAUUUCUUCAUUUCCCACUUAGGAUCUGAUCUUGUAGACCAUAUAACGAUAUGUAUCUGUGCAAGCAUUGAAAACUAAUGUGAACUAUGAGGAGUUACAAGCCACUGGACUGUAGAGCGAGUGCCAAGAUUUAAAUCUUCAGGCUCUAUCUGGGUAAGGGGAGGAUAGCGACCUAACCUUUUACCAAAGGCUUAGAAUUUAGACUUUUGGAAAAAAAUUUCUCAUGUUUUGGCUGGAUUUCUUGUGCUUGGCGCAAAAAGGAGAUGGCCUCAAGAAAUAGCAGACUCACUUUUGUUUUCAGCCCUUAAUAAUUCUCCACUGCUUUCCAUAACUACAUGGGUUAUACAUGCAGUCUGCUGCAAUAUUCCAGUUAUAUUUAUUAUUUCAAAGAGGGUGAAUGACUUCACAUGCAAUAUGUUGCAGUAACAACCCAAAUUUUGGCACACCAUCUUAAGAAUAGAAAAGUAUAAUAAAAGAAAUCAAUCAGAGAAUCACUUUGCAUGCAGUUCAUAGAGUUCGCCCAAAAUGGAGCCACAUGUACGGACAACCCCACAAUAGACAAUCUUCUCUAUACAGUAAUAAAAUACAGAAAUGGUUAAUGAAGCUCUGUAUUUCCUUAUCAUAUAUGACCGGUUGAAAACUCAGCAAGUCUUCCUCAAUCACAGACAGUUGGAGUUGCUUCAUCAAAAUCAUGCCUUCAUUACUGGCUUCAUUUUGGUUUCAAUGUCUGUUCUACCCUUAAAUUGGGUCUCUGCUUACUACCGGGAUAUCCUUUAGCGUCCUGCAAUUCUACUAGAUUAAAGAGAAUGACUUAAUUCUGCAUUCUGCCGUCCCUAGUCCAAGUGGUACUAGAAUUGAUGUUUCCUUUAGUGUCCUUUCUUCAUACUUUCAGGUUCUUCCCUUGUUUCAAUAAUGCUGUUUUCCUUCAUGUUUAACCUCUGUUGAACCACUUAAAACAACACAAUUUGCACACCAAUGUUUCUUUACAGAAAAGACUGUUUGCAAAAAUGCACAUGUUAUAAGGUUAAUGGAAGAAUUAAUUUGGGGAUAAGGGACUAGGAUUGGGCCAAUGAAGUUUGGUGUUAAAUUUUGAUUAUGAUUGCUUUUCAUUAUCAGGUACCUUAUAUUUGCUGAUGCUAUCUGGAACUAAAUUCAAAUCAGACAUUAUCCGAUUACUAACAGGACAUAUCAUGUCCCUCUGCAGAGUUUCUAAACUAACAUGUAUCGAAAUGUGGCCCCAAAAGGAAGGCUAGGAAGAUGGAGGAUUUUGUAGGAAUCGACCAGAAUCAGAUGGAAGAGAGAUAGUCCUGUUGACUUUAAUGGUUGUGAUAGGAACAUGCAUCAUUAUAUGAGAAGUUGCAUGAAUUUAUGUAUCCUGUUAUCGUUCCUUGACGAUUUCCCAAUGCAAUUUCACUGUCCACAAGACUAACCUCUCCAUGCAGUCAAAUGAAUUGUAAUUUCUCUAUUGGUACCAGUAGUACAUUUCAUACCAAACAUAUAGUAAAUAUAAAAUAUAAAUAGAUCAAGGAAAUCUGAAUUGUAGAUAGCACUGCAAGUAACACUCAAUAUUCUCUAUAUAUAAUAAAAUAAACAGUGUCACAAUACUCAUCACCCAGUGGCAAGGGAGAAAAACCUACAAUGAGUACUCAAAUCACCAUUCUCAAACAGAAACAUAGCAGUGACUGAUACAUAGAACCUAUAUGCUCACAGGGAAAGAAUAAGAUGACCAGUGCACAGCGGGCAGCAGCUCUUAUUUUACGUACAACUCAAAUCCCAAACUAACCAAAGUCGCUCAGUUGGGAUGGGUGGGAGAUGGUGGUUUGUGGGAUGGCUUCUGGGUAGGAGCUGGUGGCUUCUGUCCCUUUGGUGGUUUGCCUAAUGAGCUUGGUGGCUUGUGCUCCGGGAGUUGUUUCUCUCCCUCGAGUAGGUUUCGAGUCUUGUCAGAUGGCUUGUGUUCUGGUGGUGGCUUCUCUCCCUGGGGUGGUUUGCCGAAUGGGCUUGGUGGCUUGUGUUCGGGGAGUGGCUUCUCUCCCUGGAGAAGGUUACGAGUUUUGUCAUAUGGCUUUUGUUCUGGUGGUGGCUUCUCUCCCUGGGGUGGUUUGCCGAAUGGGCUUGGUGGCUUGUGUUCGGGGAGUGGCUUCUCUCCCUGGAGAAGGUUACGAGUUUUGUCAGAUGGCUUGUGUUCUGGUGGUGGCUUCUCUCCCUGGGGUGGUUUGCCGAAUGGGCUUGGUGGCUUGUGUUCGGGGAGUGGCUUCUCUCCCUGGAGAAGGUUACGAGUUUUGUCAGAUGGCUUUUGUUCUGGUGGCGGCUUCUCUCCCUGGGGUGGUUUGCCAAAUGGGCUUGGUGGCUUGUGUUCGGGAACUGGCUUCUCUCCCUUGGGAGGUUCAGUUGGUGGCUGCUGUUCCGUAGGUGGUUUCUUCACCGGCGGCUUGUGCUCCGGAAGCGGCUUCUCUACCUGGAGAAGCUUACGAGUUUUGUCCGAUGGCUUGUGUUGUGGUGGUGGCUUCUCUCCCUGGGGUGGUUUGCCAAAUGGAGUUGGUGGCUUGUGUUCGGGGAGUGGCUUCUCUCCAUUGGGAGGUUUAGUUGGUGAUUGGUGUUCCGUAGGUGGUUUCUGAAGUGGGGGAUGCUUGGGGUAGUCAGCAAGAGACGAGGUAGUGAGAACCACCAGUCCCAGCAGCAACACUAGCAAGCAUGUGGAAGACAUCUUUGAGUUCAGGCUGAGAUCUGUGCAAGGAUAACAGAAUUAGGUGGCCUUUUAUAGAGGCCUGGACCCAACACCCAUAUGACACGUGUCAUGCACUCAUGGUGACACAUAAUUCUAUGGGACCAUUUGGGUCCUACAGAAGUUGCAAAGUUGGACUACUGAGGUGUGAUCACAACUUUUGUCCUUAUUGCUUUCUCUGCGGCCAUUGCACGAUUUCCUUUAGCAUCAUUUUCUUGGCUAAAUAAGCGUAUUAUAUUUGUGGCAGACCGUCCACGUGUCAUAAACAGAUAUAUUAUAAUAAUGUAGUAUGCUUUUCUCCAAUGGAACAUGACACUCUUCUAAGUCUUGUUUUAAAUAUUGUGCAGGAUUACUUUAUACGUUGCAGUUCCAAGUCAAAAUUGGUGGGCAAACGUUGGCCUUUUUUCAUUUCACCUAAGAUUAAUGCUCACCUGGGAUAGGCACUACAUGACUUAUCUGCUCUUUUACUGUAAAGUUGCUUUGUGUAUGAGAUACACCUCCCCUGCACACCCUCAACAUUCGUUGCUCUGUUUUCCUUGUGUCCAGACGAGGAUAUUAAUUGGAGGCUGACAAAACGACUGCUAGCCCAGGAUUUACAAGGUCCUGGUUUGAGGCUUCGGUGAAAGUAUUUUUGAAAAGACACACAUAGAGAUAGUGCGUUUGGUGCAAUGCAGCACUGUGAGCCAUUCUGACGCGUUCUUAAUUUCAAAACUAAUGAAUGCUUCAAAAUUUUAAGAAGUGACAUUUCCAAAUAUUUGAGUUCGUUUAAUUGAACAUUGGAUAACUAGUGAUCAUAGAUUAUUAUCUGUGCUUGGCACUAUAAGAGGGUAUAUGCUUCUUUUUCUGGCCCCUCCUUCAAGGGAGGAGGGACAAUGUGAUCUGUAACGUUAGAAGCUAUUCCAUGUCAUCUUUGGGCUCAGUUCAAAACUAAAAGAUAAUGGGGGGGGGGGGGGGGGGCAUAUCAUUUUAUAUUUCUUCUAGAAGGUUUGUUCUGGAAAUAUUUCACAGGAGCAUAUCUUUUUCUUCUAUUACGUCAUCCGCAGCCUCCAAUAGGUCGGUUAACAAGCCACCGAGUUGAAAAGUUGGAAAAAUGGGAACACAGCCCGCCUCUUGUAUUCAGUAGUUAAAUAAAAGGUCACUAGAAGUGAGAUCCCUUUUGGCGUCUUGAUUUUCAAUCCAGCACCUCUGUGACCUGACAAACCAAAAAAACUAAAAAAUAAAAAACAGUACGUGGGUUGGUGUUAAGCAUCAAGACAUGUUAAUGAAAGAAGGUAGAGAAUAGGAUAUUGAAAUCCCAAUCCUGAUAACAUGAUUUUCUUUGCUAACAACCAUAUUAUAUUUUAUCAAGAAAGAGUAAUGCAUGUGGCGUCCAUCAAGACCCAUUAGAGUUCCGCUAAAGCUAUAGUUCUGUCAACGUUAUCAUUUACGUUUCCUCUAGAUAAUGGCAUUUUCCUCUAAAGCUCUUGCACCAUUAGGCUUCAAGUCAAAAUUUCACAUGUGAACUUUGGAAAUUUUCUCCAUUUGCCCCUAAGGAUACAGUUAGAAUUGACUUAAAAUCCUGAUUGAUAUGUACUAUUAACCAAAGAAUAUUGUAUAUAAUAAUUGAAAUAUUGUUGAUUCAUCGUGGAAAUACAUUUUGUAAGGAAAGUUGUUGAGAAUUUAGUAUGCUAUAUGGAGAAAAAAGUCAUGACUUAAGGUUGUGUAUGUAUAUUCUAUAUCAAAUAUUAGGUAGGAAUGUGGGAAAGAGCAGAGUGUAAUGAUAAGAAACAAAGAAAUAUAAGAUAUUCUUGAAAGUGGAAAAUAUAAAAUGGCUAACGAGUCAAAUUUAUGAUGCGUAAGGGGGAUCAUGUCACAUAAGAAAACCAUGGCAUACUAAAGACGUACGUGUGGUAUGGAGUAAUAAUUUUGUUAAAAUAAGUUUCUUGUUGGAGUACAUUAGGUGACUAUUCAUAACGUAUCAAAUUAAAGAGUCAAGUGCAUCAAUGAAGGCAUAUGUAGAAAAUUUGUUUGUGACAUGUACCAUAAAGAUAAGAUUGACUUGAUAGAAUUUAGUCUAAGUAGGAGUUGUUAAAGGUGUCUUAAAUUUCUAAUUGAUGUAUAUUUUUUUCUAAAAAAAUAUUAUAUAGAUAUUUUAAUAAAUGAUUAAUUCUUUGUAAAAAUACUUACAUAAUAAAAAACAUCAUUAAAAAUAUCUUUAUAAAUAUUUUAAGUUACAAGAAGGAAAAAAACCACUGUGAGAUAAUGAUGAACAUGCAACACUGUACCAAGUAAAUAAAAAUGUGAUAAAAAAAAAAGAGAAACACUCGAUAAAGGAAGGCUCGUAUAUAAAGAGUAAUAUUUUUAAUCAUAUGAUAGAAUGAUUUUCUCUCAUUCAUGAAUAUAGGCAAGAUUGGGGAACCAUUAUAAAAUUUUGUACACCUCGUGUAAAUUGAUGUUUGUCUUCAUAUUUUACACCAACAAAUGACAUUGAAGUUGUCAUUGAUAAAAGGGAAAAGGCAUGCCUCCACACCAUGUGCUUGAUUCGAAUGGUUCAAGUUUGAAGAAUUUUCUCCGGAAGAUCUAAAACAUUUUCGCCUUUAAAUUUCAUUUGAUUAUUAAUAUCCGAAAAAAUAGUUAAAUACUCUUUCUAUUUUUGAGUUGUUGAAUUUUUUGAAAGUUUUUAUAUUUGUUAUCAAGAAUUUCUAUUUUAUUAAGGGUGAAUAUUUAUAAAUAAGAUAUUAUAUAAUAUUUGGAUAAGAGAGAAUGGUGGAAUAUAAUAAAGUUUUAAUCCUUCCCAAUUUUGAACCUUUUUUUUUUUUUUUGAUAUAAUCGCCUUUCUCUUGCAAUCCUAUUAUCAGGUACCUUAUAUUUGCUGAUGCUAUCUGGAACUAAAUUCCAAUCAGGCAUUGUCCAAUUACUAAUAGGACAGAUCAUAUCUCUCUGUUUCUAAACUAACAUGUAUCGUAAUGUGACCUCAUAAGGAAGGCUAGGAAGAUGGAGGAUUUUGUGGGAAGCGACCAGAAUCAGAUGGAAGAGAGAUAGCCCUGUUGACCUAAUGGCUGUAAUAGGAGAAGCGUGUGGUUUUAUGGGACUUAACUGAUACUAAACCUGUAUGAUGCUUGGAGUGGUGUUUCUUUCAUUUUGUUAAGAAAAUAUGGCAGCAUACAUGCUUUCAACUGAGUGCAUCAGAGCAUCCAUAACAGAUGGUCUGCAACCCUAGGUGCAUGCCACUUUCUGACUGAUAAUGAAAUUGUCAGGUACCUGGCCUUGACUAAGCUCAACAGCAUCACAUAAAGAGAAGCUUUCAUACUUAGAUUACUGUUUAAAGUUUUUGCUUAUUUGAUUUCUUAAUGCCAUUAUGACAUUAUUGAUUCAAUUCUGCUUCCGAUUUUCGAAGUUCUGGGCAUCUACUGAUUGCAUCAUUAUAUGAGAAGUUGCAUGAGUUUAUGUAUCCUGUUAUUGUUCCUUUGCGAUUUCACUGCUCACGGGACUAACCUCUCCAUUCAGUCGAAAUGAAUUGUAAUUUCUUUACUGGUAGCAGUAGUACUUUUCAUAGCAAAGAUAAUAGAAAAUAUGAAAUAUAAAUAGAAGGAAAUCUGGAUUGUAGAUAGCACCAUAAGUAACACUCAAUAUUCACUACAUAAUAAAUAGACAGUGUUACAUAGGUAGAGAAACCUACAAUGAGUACUCAUCACCAUUCUCAAACAGAAACAUAGCAGCGACUUAUACAUAGAACCUAUAGGCUCGCAGGGAAAGAGUAACAUGAUAAGUUCACAGCGGGUAGCAGCUCUUAUUUUACGUAUUACUCAAAAUCUCAAACUAACCAAAGUCACUCAGUUGGGAUGGGUAGGAGAUGGUGGUUUGUGGGGUGGCUUCUGGGUAGGAGCUGGUGGCUUCUUUGUUGGAGUUGAAGGAGGCAUAUUCUUCUGAGGUGGCUUGUAUGACUCUUCGGCACUCUCUGCAGGAGGGUGCCCAGGGUUGUGACCAGAAGGAGGUGGCUUCUGUCCCUUUGGUGGUUUGCCUAAUGGGCUUGGUGGCUUGUGCUCCGGGAGUUGUUUCUCUCCCUCGAGUAGGUUUCGAGUUUUGUCAGAUGGCUUGUGUUCUGGUGGUGGCUUCUCUCCCUGGGGUGGUUUGCCGAAUGGGCUUGGUGGCUUGUGUUCGGGGAGUGGCUUCUCUCCCUGGAGAAGGUUACGAGUUUUGUCAGAUGGCUUUUGUUCUGGUGGCGGCUUCUCUCCCUGGGGUGGUUUGCCAAAUGGGCUUGGUGGCUUGUGUUCGGGAACUGGCUUCUCUCCCUUGGGAGGUUCAUUUGGUGGCUGGUGUUCCGUAGGUGGUUCCUUCACCGGCGGCUUGUGCUCCGGAAGCGGCUUCUCUACCUGGAGAAGCUUACGAGUUUUGUCAGAUGGCUUGUGUUGUGGUGGUGGCUUCUCUCCCGGGGGUGGUUUGCCAAAUGGACUUGGUGGCUUGUGUUCGGGGAGUGGCUUCUCUCCAUGGGGAGGUUUAGUUGGUGGUUGGUGUUGCGUAGGUGGUUUCUGAAGUGGGGGAUGCUUGGGGUAGUCAGCAAUAGACGAGGUAGUGAGAACCACCAGUCCCAACAGCAACACUAGCAAGGAUGUUGAAGACAUCUUUGAGUUCAGGCUGAGAUCUGUGCAAGGAUAAAAGAUUUAGGUGGCCUUUUAUAGAGGGCUGGACCCAACACCCAUAUGACACGUGUCAUGCACUCAUGGUGACACAUAAUUCUAUGGGACCAUUUGGGUCCUACAGAAGUUGCAAAGUUGGACUAUUGAGGUGUGAUCACAACUUUUGUCCUACUUGCUUUCUCUGCGGCCAUUGCACGAUUUCCUUUAGCAUCAUUUUCUUGUCUAAAUAAGCGUAUUAUAUUUGUGGCAGACCGUCCACGUGUCAUAAACAGAUAUAUUAUAAUAAUGUAGUAUGCUUUUCUUCAACGGAACUUGACACUCUUCUAAGUCUUGUUUUAAAUACUGUGCAGGAUUACGUCAUAAGUUGCUUGUUCCAAGUCAAAAUUGGUGGGCAAACGUUGGCCUUUUUUCAUUUUCCCUAAUAUUAAUGCUCACCUGGGAUAGGCACUACAUGAUUUAUCUGCUCUUUUACUGUGAAGUUGCUUUGUGCAUGAGUUACACCUCCCCUGCACACCCUCAACAUUUGUUGCUCUGUUUUUCUUGUGUCCAGACGAGGAUAUUAAUUGGAGGCUGACAAAACGACUGCUAGCCAAGGAUUUACAAGGUCCUGGUUUGAGGCUUUCACGAAAGUAUUUUUGAAAAGAUACACAUAGAGAUUGCGCGUUCGGUGCAAUGCAACAAUGUGAGCCAUUCUGAAGUCUUAAAUUUCAGAUUAAUGAAUGCUACAAAAUUCUAAGAAGGGCCGUUUCCAAAUAUUUGAGUUCAUUCAUCCGAACAUCGGGUAUAUGCUUCUUUCUCUAGCCCCUCCUUGAAGGGAGGAGGGACAAUGUGAUCUGUAUCGUUAGAAGCUAUUCCAUGUCGUCAUCUUUGGGCUCAGUUCAAUACUAAAAGAUAUGGGCGGGGCCCUUAUCAUUUUAUAUUUCUUCUAGAAGGUUUAUUCUGGAAAUCUUUCACAGAAACAUAUCUUUUUCUUCUCUACGUGAUCCGUGGUUUGAAAGUUGGAAAAAUGGGUCCGUUAACAAGCCACCGAGUUGAAAAGUUGGAAAAAUGGCAACACCGCCAACCUCUUGUAUUCGAUAGUUAAAUAAAAGGUCACUGGAAGUGAGAUCCCUUUUGGCCUCUUGAUUUUCAUUCCAGCAUCUCUAUGGCCUGAUAAAUUAAAAAACUAAAAAAAAAGACAGUACGUGGGUUGGUGUUAAGCAUCAAGAGUCAAGACAUGAUAAUGGAGAGAAAGGAUAUUCAAAUUCCAGUUCUGACAACAUGAUUUUCUUUGCUGAACUACCAUAUUAUAUUUGAUCAAGAAAGAGUAGUGCAUGUGGCCAGGAUCAAGACAUACAUUAAUUUCCACAUGAUGAAGACAGUUUCUGAGAGUUUCUUCUAAAGCUCUUGCGCGAGUAGGCUUCAAGUCAAAAUCUCCCAUGUAAACACUGGUUUUUCUUUCAUUGCCACUAAGGAUGCAGUUAAUAUUGACUUAAGAUCCUACGUGAUAUAUUUUUUUAAAAGAGCUAUAUUGUAGAUAAUAUUUGAAAUAAUGUUGAUUCGUUGUGGAAAUAUAUUUGUAAGGAAAGUUGUUGACAAUUUAAUAUAGUAUAAGAAGAAAAAAGUUAUCAACUAGCUAGAGAUGAGUAUGUAAAGUGAGGCUCACGAUUCAACGCGUAAAUAUAAGAUAUUUUAAGGCUCAAUAGUUAUGAUAUCUAUUUUAUUUUUUGUAUCUCAUAUAUUCAAAGAUAUAGUAAAAUGAUUUUACAUAUAUAUAUAUAUAUAUAUAUGAACAUAACUAUUUGUGCCAAUUGAUUUUUAUCUUUAUUUUGUAUAUUAGUAAUUAUAUUAAAGUUUUUACUAAUAUAAUAACUAAUAUAAAAGCUUUUUCUAAAAGAGUCAACAGAGCAAAACACUUAUUAUAAAAAAUAAUUUUGAUUGAAGGUGGAGUCAAUUAUUCUUUAUUUAACAUGUAAUGCAUACGGCGUGUACUUCAUAACUAAAGUAUAUAAGUGUAACAUCUCUUAUAUAUUCUCAUUCAAUCUCGAAAGUGGAAAUUUUAAAAAGAUUAAACGGUUCAAAUUUGUCGUGCAUAAAGGGGAUCAUGUCACAUAAGCAAACCAUGGCAUACCAAAGACAUAGGUAUGGACUAAGAAUUUUUUUCAAAUAAGUUUCUUAUUAGGGUACAUUAAUAGGUGACUUUUUAUGACAUAUCAAAGGAGUCAAGUGCACCAAUAAAAACAUAUAUAGAAAAUUCAUGCAUGACAUGUAUCACUAAGAGAAGAUUGACUUGAUAGAGUUUAAUCCAAAUAGGAGAUUGUUAAAAGGUGUCUCAAAUUCUUGAUUGAUAUAUAUUUUUUUUAUUAAAAAGGUUAUUAUAUAGAUAUUUCAAUAGACUAUUAAUUCUUUGUAAAAAUAGUUAUAUAAUGAGGAUGGUGAUUAAAAAUAUCUCUAUCAAUAUUUUGGAUUAUAAAAAGAAAAAAAAUGAGAUAAUGAUAAACAUAUAAAACUUGUACAAGUAGAUAAAGAUGUGAUGAAAGACACUUGAUGAAUGAAGGCUUUGUAUUUCAAGAUAUAAAUAUAUGGAGCAAAACUCUUAAUUAUAUGAUCAAAUGAUUCUCUCAUAUUCAUGAAUAUAAGCAGGAUUGGGGAACCAUGAUAGAAUCUUAUAUGCCUCUCCAUGUAGAGUGAUCGAUGUUUAUCUUCAUAUUUUACACCAGUGAAUGACAUUGAAACUCUUAUUGAUAAAAGGGAAAAGGCAUGGCCUCCACCCCAAGAAAAACAAGUAACCUCGGUUUAAAUCACUAGUCUACACCCCGAAGAGAGAACUAGCCAAACCUACUAAAAGAGAAACUUAACAAUUUAGAAAGAAACCGUCCAUGAUAAAGGGCCCCUAAAGGUCCAAUUCAGUGAGGUCGUGAACAAAAACACUUUCAUGUCAAAACAGAGAUAGGUACCACCAAAAUGUAAAGGGAAAGAUGUAAACCACGUCGAACUUUGGUAAUCAAUGGUAAAGAUAGCAUGAUAGCUAAAAGCACUAAAGCUGUGCUUGGUAUGCAAAAAUGAAAAGUGGAAAUCAGCGUCUUAUUCUUUUUCACCUUUAUUCACAUAUUAGGAUAACUAAUAUCUAAUGUUUUUUAUGUCUCAAAUUCUAUUCCAUGUUAUGGUAAACUUUCAUCUUGUUUAGAUCACUUUUGUCUGGUUUGGGCUCAAGACGAUAAGCCUAUAGAGACUUCAUAUUGGGUUGAAUCGAUGCCCUUGAUCUGAUCUGUUCGUUAGAAAAAUCUGAAUUAUUAUAAGCAUUUAGAUAAAAAAUAAAUAAAUGUGAAACACAAACUACUCCCUGCACAACCUUGACCCUAGUUACUCAGUUUCACUGCUCACAGGACUAACCUCUCCAUUCAGUCGAAAUGAAUUGUAACAAGAAGAUUUUUGACAGGAGGACGGUAGUUUAAAAUAAUAAUUUCUAAAGUACUUUUGUGAAAAAAAAUAAUUCCAAACGUGGAUUUUAUCAAGUAAAAAGAAAAAAAAAAGUUAUUUUCUUUUAAAAUCUGUUCUUCUAAAGAUGAUAUAUAUACCAAAAAAAAAAAUUGUUUUCUGAAGGUAAAAUUUUUAAAAUUCAUUUUUAAAAAAAUUUACACACUAAAAUUAUCUUUUCAAGAGAAGAUUUUUUUAAUUUUAAAUAAUUAUUAAUUUAUAAUUAAUUUGUUAUUAAUUAUUUAUUAAUUUUUUUAUUUGAAAAAUGCAUUUAUAAAAAACAAAUUUGUUAUUAAUUUAUUAAAUAAUUUUUACAAAAUAAAUAAUUUUUUUUUAUUUUAAUUUUAAAAUUAAUUUUAUUAUAUAAAUUUUAAAAUUAAAAAUAUUAAUAUUUAAUUUAAAAUUUAACUAUAAAAGGAAUAAAAUAUAGAAAAAUAAAUUAAUUUAUUAUUCAAUAAAUUAAUUUUCAAUAAAAUUUUCAGCAUUAAGAGAUAAAUUUUUAAGUAUUAAUCAAUUUAAAAAGAAAUAAUGAUCAUUUGUAUAUUAAGAUAUUUUAUUUAGUAAUUAUGAAUGAUAAACAACUAAAGUAAUUUGAAAAAAUAAUAAAAUAUUUAAAAAAUAAUAAUUUAAUACACGUAAAAUUAGAAAUGAUUAACUAUUUUUUAUUAAGAAAAAAUUGAGGAAAUAUUUUGUUAUUUAAAAUUUUUUAUUUGUUUUCAAUUUUUAAUGUUAUAGGUUUCAAGAAAAUUGAUCAAAUAAAAAUUAAGAAGUCAUUUUUUCAAAAACUAUAUAUCUAAAUAAAAGCCUUGAAAUUCAAAUACACAAUAUCAUAAAUAUAAACACCAAGUCAAUCCUUAAUUAUCAAAUGUUUUUAAUAUUAAAGAAUCAAAAUCACCUACUAUCAUGAUAAUAAGAAAACCAAUAAUAUUGUUCAUAUAAAUACUAAAAAGCUAACAAAUAUCCCAAACAAUUAAUAAAGUAUCAAACAUGAUAAAAAGUCAAUUAUUAUCAUGAAUGCAAAAAAUCAAUAAUUUUGUUUAUAUGAACCAUCAACAAAGAAAAAAAAAAUCAAUAUCUAAAUAUUAAACAUAAUUUAUAUUUUUAUAAAUAUUAUUGUUGAUAAAUAUCUUAACAAUUAUAAUUUUAGUAAAUAAAAUUAAUUAAUUUUAGUUUAAGAAUUAUUUUUUUAUACUUUCGUAUUCUUAUCAAAAAUCCCCAUUUUGCAUGUCUCCUUUGGCAUGACUUUCUUACCUAAACAAGCAUAUAUAUAUAUAUAUAUAUAUAAAAUAUUUGGUUAAGAAAGAGUACUAAAGUUUAUAUGGCACACAUCAAGAUAGAAACAGAAGUGGAAGAUAAUCCAAAUGUAUGAACAGAUAUAUUAUAUCCAUGUAGUGGUAGUGACUUCAUUAUUUACUUUUAUCUAAUGGAGCAUGACACACUUCUUCUGAAUAUUUUGCACGAUUAUGUUAUGUGUCAGCUUGUUCUAAGUCAAAACUAGUGAUAAAAAUCGGUUUUUUUUGCAUUUCCUUCAUGAAGAUGGCACCUGGAUGGGGCACUACAUGAGUGGCAUAGCACGAAGUGAUUUAUCUGCUCCCUUUACUAUAAAGUGCUUUGUGUAUAAGUUACACCUCCCCUGCACUGCCUCAACAUUUGUUGUUCUGUCUUCCGUCUGUCCAAACGAGGACAAACGUAUGUUGUAGGUUGACAAAACCACAGCUAGCCUAGGAUUUGCAAGGAUCUAGUUUGAUUCGUAUGCAAAAGGAUUGGUGAAAAGAUUCACAAAGAUAAUGCUUUUUGCAAUGCAAUCUUGUUCUAAUUCAACAGUGUGGACCAUUUUCAUGUAAUGCUUCAACUAGAUGUCAGUUUCAUGAAUUUUUGUUCAUCUAAUUGAUCACUGGAUAGGCCAUAACCCGAAGAAAUUCAAAAUUCCCUUCAGUACUGUAGCUAAGGAAAGAUCCCUAUCUACCACUGGGAUUUUAAGAGGGUAAAAAUGUAGGUGGGUGCCUAUAUCAUUUGCACUUCACUAUAGGCCUCUUUGGGAAGAUUUCUUCUGAAGACAUUUCAAAGAAACAUAUUUUUCUCUUCUCUCCGUAAACGGCAGCUGCAAGUCAGUCCAUUCACAGGCCACCGAGUUGAAAAGGCUGGAAAAUUGGCCAAAGCACCCGCCUCCUGGAUUCCAUGGGUAAGGAAAAGGUCACUGGAGGUGUGAUCCCUGUUGGCCUCUUGAUUUCCAUUCCGCCAUCUAUAUGACCUGAUAACCCAAAAACACAGAAGGAAAACGUCACCUGGGUUCAUAGUAAGCAUCAAGUCAUGAUAGAGACCAGACAACAUGACCAACAAAGAGUAGCGAAUGGGGCCAACAUCAAGCCCCAUUACGGUUAGAAGAUGGAAGAAGUAGAAGACAAUCCAAUUCUGAUAGAUUCGGGCAAAUGUAGUGCUGUUCAAACUUAAUCAUUUACUAUUUCUUCAUGAAUCACGGCAUUUUUCUUCUGAAAAUUUUCCAAGAUUAGGCCUCUGAAGAAAAAUUUCAUAUGUAAAUUGGUAUAUUAAGGAAAAGGCGUUACAAAGGUGAAAAAAAACCAAUCAAAUCUUAUAUAUGACAUCUCAAAAAUAUGAACUUGCUAUAAAUAUUUAAAAUCAAAAUCUUGCACAUCACCUCGUAGUACGAACUUGCUAUAAAACUUGAAAAUCAAGAAGAAAGGGGCAGUAUUGGACGAGACUACUUAGCACAUAUUAUUAUGAUGUUUUUUCAUUUUCUUAAUGUUGUUUUUAUGUCUUAAAUUCUAUUAUUCUAUGUUACGGUAAACAUUCAUCUUGUUUGUGUGGAAUAGGAUCACUUUUCUCUGGGUUGAGUCGAUGCCCUUAGUUAAUUUGUUCAUUUGAAUAAACUAAAUUAUUAUAAGUAUUUAGAUAAGAAAAACGUGAUACAUAAAUUACGCCUCUCGGCACAACUUCAACACUGGUUACUCUGUUUCAGUUUCCUCACACAAGAUUAUUGGUUCUAGGGUUUAUUUGGUUUUGGUUUGAUUCUAAUUGCUAAACUUUCUCAAGGAAGAUGUUAUAUAGGGAGUGAGAAACCUUCACUCUUGGCUACCUCCAAGAGAAGAGCAAGUGGUCUGAAUCAAAGAUAUACUGCUCACUUUUUCUUCUUCUAAGGACAGCUAUGACCUUGCUUUAAGGUUCGAAUAGCCUAAUGCAACCUCCCAUUUCUCAAGUCAGCUGAUGAUGUAAGUCACCUUGGCUUUCCACAUUCAUACGGUGAGGACGUUUGUGGGUGUAAUUCUCUUAACAGUUUUCAUUUUAUAUGGAAAAAUUCAUAAUUAAGGGUAAUUACUGAUUCCAUUUGACAGUGACCAAGUUUAAAAUAUUAAUUCAUAUAUUAAAUGCACAUUAAAAAAUCAUGGAAUAAAUAUAUUUACUAAUAUAUAGUUCUUUUGCCAUGUUCUGUCACAGAAGCAUCGAACUUUCCCUAGAAAUUUUUGCAUGGUAUUCUACUUAUGAUUUUGAAAACUCUAGGCACCUGAGGCCACUAAUUGCAUGGUUGGAUGAGGAGCUGCAUGAGAUUAUGUAUCGUGUUGUUCCUUAACUACAAAUAUCAGUUUUAAGUAGCAUCUCCAUGUGACAUUUUCCUGAUGCAAUUUCGCUGUCCACCAACAAAUUUCACCAUGCAGCAAGAUGAAUUGUAAUUUCUUUAUUGUUAUCAACAGCUUUAAUUAAUCUUGAUAUAUAUAUAUAACUUAGUAGAAGUAUAUUAAUCUAGAUUGUAGUUGCACUAAGAUAAUAGGCAAUAUUAUAACAGUGCCACAAUGCUCAUCGCCAAAUAGAAAGGUAGAAAAACUACAAUGAGUAACUCACAACAUUCUCAAACAGGACAUAGCGGCGACUGAUACAUAGAACACUAUUGGCACUCAGGAAAUGAUAAGAUCAGUGCCCAGCAGGCAGCACGUCUUAUUUUACAUACUACUUAAAACUAACCAAAGUCAUUCAGUUGGGAUGGGUGGGAGAUGGUGGUUUGUGCGGUGGCUUUUGGGUAGUUGGUGGCUUCUUUCCUGGAACUGAUGGUUUUUUUGUUGGAGUUGAAGGAGGCUUAAUCGUCUGAGGUGGCUUGUAUGAGUCUUCAGCACUCUCUGCGGGAGGGUGCCCAGGGUUGUGACCAUAAUGGGGUGGCUUCUCUCCCUUAGUUGGUUUGCCAAGUGGGCUGGCUGGCUUGUGCUCCGGGAGCGGCUUCUCUCCCUUAGGUGGUUUGCCAAAUGGGCUUGCUGGCUUGUGCUCUGGGAGCGGCUUCUCUCCCUCAAGAAGUUUACGGGUUUUGUCAGAUGGCUUGUGUUCUGGUGGUGGCUUCUCUCCUUGGGGUGGUUUGCCAAAUGGACUUGGUGGCUUGUGUUCGGGGAGUGGCUCCUCUCCCUUGGGAGGUUUAGUUGGUGGCUGGUGUUCCAUAGGUGGUUUCUCAACCGGGGGCUUGUUCUCCGUUGGUGGUUUAUGAACUGGGGGAUGCUUGGGGUAGUCAGCAAGAGACGGGGUGGUGAGAACCACCAGUCCCAGCAGCAACACUAGCAAGUAUGUGGAAGAGUACAUCUUUGAGUUCAGGCUGAGAUUUGUGCGAGACUUGAAGAAUUAGGUGGCCUUUUAUAGCUGGCUGCACCCAACACUCACAUGACACGUAUCAUGGUGACACAUGUGCUAUGGGUCCAUUUGGGUCCUACAGAAGCUGAAAACUUUUGACUAUUGAGGUGUGGUCACAACUUUUGUCCCUAUUGCUUUCUCCGCAACCGUUUUACAUGUUUCCUUUGGCAUAAUUUUCUAAGCUAAACAAGCAUAUAUCAUAUUUGGUUAAGAAAGAGUAAAGUGUAUAUGGCACACAUCAAGGAAGAGAAACAGAAAAAGUGGGAGACAAUCAAUUGUGAUAAACAGAUAUAUUAUAUUCAUGUAGUACUAGUGACUUUAUCAUUUACUUUUAUCCAAUAGAUCAUCACUCUUUCUUCUAAAUAUUUUGGAGGAUAAUGGUACAUGUUGCUUGUUUCCAAGUCAAAAUUGGUGGCAAAAAUCGGCAUGAUACGAAAGGAUUGGUGAAAAGAUUCACAUAGAUGGUGCUUUGUGCAAUGCAGUCUUGCUCUAAUUCAACAGAGUGGACCAUGGUGAUGUAUUUUAAAUUUUAAAUUUUAAAUUAAUGCAUGCUUCAAAGUUUUAACUAGAUGUCACUUCCAUGGAUUUUUGUUCAUUUAAUUGAGCACAGGAUAGGCUAUCAAACUUGAAGUAAUAUAAAAAUCCCUUCAUUACUGUAACUAAUGAAAGAUCAUUAUCUGCGCUUGGUAUUUUGCCAAGGUAUUUGCUGCUCUUUCUAGCCCUGUCUUACAGUUAAGGACAAUGUGAUCUAGUUAACCUUAGAAGCUAUUCCAUGUCAGAUACAAGAGAUCAAGCACAUUAUCUUUGGGCUCAGUUCAAAACUAUAAUAUAUGGGUGGGGUGGAGGCCCAUAUCAUUUGCAUAUCACCACUAUUGGUUUAGUUUGGAAGGUUUCUUCUGGAAGAUUGCUGCUUUCUGGAAUCAUUUCAAAGAAAUAUAUCUUUUUGUUCUCUUGGUGACGAGCAGCGGCAAUCAAGUCUGUUGACAAACAACCGAGUUGAAAAGUUUGAAAAUUGGUCACAGCCCACGUCCAUGGUUAAGGAAAAGGUCACUGGAAGUGAUCCCUUCUGGGCCUCUUGAUUUCCAUUCUGACAUCUAUAUGACCUGAUAAAUAGAAAGAAAAAAAAACAGAAGAAAAGCGGCACCCGGGUUCAUAGUAAGCAUCAAGACAGGAUACUGAAAGAAGGGAGAAAGGAGAUUGCAAGUCCAAUCCUGAUAAAAUGAUCAACAAAGAGUAUCAAAAUGGGGCCAACAUAAAGACCCAUUGAGGUUAGCAGAUGGCAUGGCAUUUUUCUCCUUAAGUUUUCCAUGAUUAGACUUGAAGUCAAAAUUUCACAUGUAAAUUUGUAUUUCUACAUUUCCCACUGACGACACCCAACUUCAACUUGAGUUAGAAUAACAUUGUGUGAACUUAUCUGGCCCUCAAAAUUUACUGUGAAGUGCUUUCUGCGUGUGAAGAUUCAGAAAAGCACCAAGGGAACAUGUAUGGUCUGCCUUUUUCUGAUGUUAUGUUUGUCUCUAAUUCUGUUCCAUGUCAUGGUAAAUGUUCACAUUGCUUGUAUGGAACACACCAGGAUCACUUUUUCGGGUUUAUUUUGAGGCUUCAUAUUGGGUUCAUAUUGGGUUCAAUGCUUUUAAUGUGUUCAUUAGACAAAUCUGAAUUAUCAUAUGCAUUUAGAUAAGAACAAUAAUGUGAAACCCUAGUUACACCUCCCCUGCAUAACCCCAACCCUGCUUACUCUAUUUCAGUUUACUCACACAAGUUUUACCGGUUCUUAUAAGUCAAGAAAAGGCAACUGAUGUUGGAUUGACUCUCUUCCAUGUAUAAAAAGCAACUUUUAUAUAUACAUAAAAUAACUUCUUCCCCUCACCAAUGUGGGAUAUCAUGGAUUUAUUCUGGAAACACAUCAAAGGAACAUCUUUUCUCUUGGGUGACCCUAAGUGGUGAGUCAGACCAUUUGCAUGCCAUUGAGUUGCACAGUUGGAUAAAUGCACCUACCUCCUGGGCUCCAGAGUUAAAAGGGUGGAUCCCUGGAUCGCAACCCUCUUGGCAUCUUGGUUUCCAUUCCAACAUCCACAUGACUUGACAAAACAAAAAACAGAAUAAAAUCAUCACUAUUUUCAUGCUAAGCACCAAUACAUGAUGGAAAUCAUUGCUUAAAGAUUUGGGGUCAUUUAGGUUUUGACUGCCUCCUAACACCUCACCUAAUCACAAGUUUUUAUGCUUACAAAUCAAAUAUCGUUCUUCAUUAUAUUAAAAUCAUUUUAAGAUUUCAGAUCCAUCUGCUAAUUAUGAUUAUGAUAACAUUAAUUCACCUGUGCUUCUCAUUUUCGACACACAAGGCAUCUAGGUUUGCAGGAUUUCCUUAUUAGAUGAGAUAAAUGAGUACGCAUGGUUAUGUAUGCAGCAUUCAUUAACCAUGGUAUGUGACAUUUAGAAUUAAGAUAGCAAGCAAACUUUCCCUGCAGCUUGAGUAAAUUGUGAUUUCUUAGCCUCUAUGAGUGGUUCCCAAAUCAAAUUAACAUAGUGAAAUAUACGUAGUCCAGUGAAAGGAAAUGUAAAUUAUAAACUAACAGCACUACACUACUGGUAACACUCGAUACUCUCUAUAUAAUGCAAUGAAAUAUACGUUAUACGUUGCUUGUUCCAAGUCAAAAUUUGUGGCCAAACGUUGGCCUUUUUUCAUUUUCCCUAAGAUUAAUGCUCACCUGGGAUAGGCACUACAUGAUUUAUCUGCUCUUUUACUGUAAAGUUGCUUUGUGUAUGAGUUACACCUCCCCUGCACACCCUCAACAUUUGUUGCUCUGUUUUCCUUGUGUCCAGACGAGGAUAUUAAGUGGGGGCUGACAAAACGACUGCUAGCCAAGGAUUUACAAGGUCCUGGUUUGACGCUUCCGCGAAAGUAUUUUUGAAAAUAUACACAUAGAGAUUGCGCGUUCGGUGCAAUGCAACAAUGUGAGCCAUUCUGAAGUUUUUAAUUUCAGAUUAAUGAAUGCUACAAAAUUCUAAGAAGGGCCGUUUCCAAAUAUUUGAGUUCAUUUAUCCGAACAUCGGAUAAGUAAUGAUCAUAGAUUAUUAUUAUUAUCUGACGUUCUUAUAAUGGUUGGCAUUAUAAGAGGGUAUAUGCUUCUUUCUCUAGCCCCUCCUUCAAGGGAGGGACAAUGUGAUCUGUAUCGUUAGAAGCUAUUCCAUGUCGUCAUCUUUUGGCUUAAGUCAAUACUAAAAUAUAUGGGCGGGGCCCCUGUCAUUUUAUAUUUCUUCUAGAAGGUUUGUUCUGGAAAUCUUUCACCGAAACAUAUCUUUUUCUUCUCUACGUGAUCCGUGGUUGGAAAGUUAGAAAAAUGGGUCCGUUCACAAGCCACCGAGUUGAAAAGUUGGAAAAAUGGCAACACCGCCAACCUCUUGUAUUCGAUAGUUAAAUAAAAGGUCACUGGAAGUGAGAUCCCUUUUGGCCUCUUGAUUUUCAUCCCAGCAUCUCUAUGUCCUGAUAAACUAAAAAACUAAAAAAAAAACAGUACGUGGGUUGGUGUUAAGCAUCAAGAGUCAAGACAUGAUAAUGGAGAGAAAGGAUAUUCAAAUUCCAGUUCUGACAACAUGAUUUUCUUUCCUGAACAACCAUGUUAUAUUUGAUCAAGAAAGAGUAGUGCAUGUGGCCAGGAUCAAGACAUACAUUAAUUUCCACAUGAUGAAGACAGUUUCUGAGAGUUUCUUCUAAAGCUCUUGCGCUAGUAGGCUUCAAGUCAAAAUUUCCCAUGUAAACACUGGAUUUUCUUUAAUUGCCACUAAGGAUACAGUUAAAAUUGACUUAAAAUCCUACGUGAUAUAUAUCUUUAACAAAAGUAUAUUGUAUAUAAUAUUUGAAAUAAUGUUGAUUCGUUGUGGAAAUAUGUUUGUAAGGAAAGUUGUUGACAAUUUAAUAUAGUAUAAGAAGAAAAAAGUUAUCAACUAGAGAUGAGUAUGUAAAGUGAGGCUCACGAUUCAACGCGUAAAUAUAAGAUAUUUUAAGGCUCAAUAGUUAUGAUAUCUAUUUUAUUUUUUGUAUCCCAUAUAUUCAAAGAUACAGUAAAAUGAUUUUAUAUAUAUGAACAUAGCCGAUAGUAUCAUGUUAAAACCUUAUAUGACUCUUUGUGCCAAUUGAUUUUUAUCUUUAUUUUGUGUAUUAGUAAUUAGUAUUAAAGUUUUUACUAACAUAAUAAUUGAUAUAAAAGCUUUUUCCAAAAGAGUCAAACAGAGCAAAACACUUAUUAUAAAAAGAAUUUUGAUUGAAGGUGGAGUCAAUUAUUCUUUAUUCAACAUGUGAUGCAUACAGCGGGUACUUCAUAACUAAAGUAUAUAAGUGCAACAUCUCUUAUACAUUCUCAUUCAAUCUCGAAAGUGGAAAAUUUUAAAAGAUUAAAUGGUUCAAAUUUUCCGUGCAUAAAGGGGAUCAUGUCACAUAACCAAACCAUGGCAUACCAAAGCCAUGAUAUGGACUAAGAAUUUUGUUAAAAUAAGUUUCUUAUUAGGGCACAUUAUGUGACUAUUUAUGACAUAUCAAAGGAGUCAAGUGCAUCAAUAAAGACAUAGAAAAUUCAUGCAUCACAUGUACCACUAAGAGAAAAUUGACUUGAUAGAGUUUAGUCCAAAUAGGAGAUUGUUAAAAGGUGCAUCAAAUUCUUGAUUGAUAUAUAUUUUUUUUAUUAGAAAGGUUAUUAUAUAGAUAUUUCAAUAGACUAUUAAUCCUUUGUAAAAAUAGUUAUAUAAUGAGGAUGGUGAUUAAAAAUAUCUCUAUCAAUAUUUUGGAUUAUAAAAAGAAAAAAAAUAUGAGAAAAUGAUAAACAUAUAAAACUUGUACAAGUAGAUAGAGAUGUGAUGAAAGACACUUGAUGAAUGGAGGCCUUGUAUUUCAAGAUGUAAAUAUAUGGAGCAAAACUCUUAAUUAUAUGAUCAAAUGAUUCUCUCAUAUUCAUGAACAUAAGCAGGAUUGGGGAACCAUGAUAGAAUCUUAUAUGCCUCUCCAUGUAGAUUGAUCGAUGUUUAUCUUCAUAUUUUACACCAAUGAAUGACAUUGAAACUCUGAUUGAUAAAAGGGAAAAAGCAUGGCCUCCACCACAAGAAAAACAAGUAACCUCGGUCUAAAUCACUAGUCUACACCCCGAAGAGAGAACUAGCCAAACCUACUAAAAGAGAAACUUACCAAUUUAGAAAGAAAUCUUCCAUGAUAAAGGGCCCCUAAAAGUCCAAUUCAGUCAGGUUGUGAACAAAAACACCUUCAUGUCAAAACAGGAAUAGGUACCACCAAAAUGUAAAGGGAAAGAUGUAAACCAAGUCGAACUUUGGUAAACAAUGGUAAAGAUAGCAUGAUAGCUAAAAGCACUAAAGCUGUGCUUGGUAUGCAAAAAUGAAAAGUGGAAAUCAGCGUCUUAUUCUUUUUCUCCUUUAUUCACAUAUUAGGAUAACUAAUAUCUAAUGUUUUUUUUAUGUCUCAAAUUCUAUUCCAUGUUAUGGUAAACUUUCAUCUUGUUUAAGUGGAAGAGUAGGAUCACUUUUGUCUGGUUUGGGCUCAAGACGAUAAGCCUAUAGAGACUUCAUAUUGGGUUGAAUUGAUGCCCUUGAUCCGAUCAGUUCGUUAGAAAAAUCUGAAUUAUUAUAAGCAUUUAGAUAAAAUAAAUAAAUAAAUGUGAAACAGAGACUAUUCUCUGCACAACCUUGACCCUAGUUACUCAGUUUCACUGCUCACGGGACUAACCUCUCCAUUCAGUCGAAAUGAAUUGUAAUUUCUUUACUGGUAGCAGUAGUACUUUUCAUAGCAAAGAUAAUAGUAAAUAUGAAAUAUAAAUAUAUAGAAGGAAAUCUGGAUUGUAGAUAGCACCAUAAGUAACACUCAAUAUUUACUACAUAAUAAAAGAGAUAGUGUUACAAAGGUAGAGAAACCUACAAUGAGUACUCAUCACCAUUCUCAAACAGAAACAUAGCAGUGACUUAUACAUAGAACCUAUAGGCUCGCAGGGAAAGAGUAACAUGAUAAGUGCACAGCGGGUAGCAGCUCUUAUUUUACGUAUUACUCAAAAUCUCAAACUAACCAAAGUCACUCAGUUGGGAUGGGUAGGAGAUGGUGGUUUGUGGGGUGGCUUCUGGGUAGGAGCUGGUGGCUUCUUUGUUGGAGUUGAAGGAGGCGUAAUCUUCUGAGGUGGCUUGUAUGAGUCUUUGGCACUCUCUGCAGGAGGGUGCCCAGGGUUGUGACCGGAAGGAGGUGGCUUCUGUCCCUUUGGUGGUUUGCCUAAUGGGCUUGGUGGCUUGUGCUCCGGGAGUUGUUUCUCUCCCUCGAGUAGGUUUCGAGUUUUGUCAGAUGGCUUGUGUUCUGGUGGUGGCUUCUCUCCCUGGGGUGGUUUGCCGAAUGGGCUUGGUGGCUUGUGUUCGGGGAGUGGCUUCUCUCCCUUGGCAGGUUCAGUUGGUGGCUGGUGCUCCGUAGGUGGUUUCUUCACCGCCGGCUUCUCUCCCUGGAGAAGGUUACGAGUUUUGUCAGAUGGCUUCUGUUCUGGUGGCGGCUUCUCUCCCUGGGGUGGUUUGCCAAAUGGGCUUGGUGGCUUGUGUUCGGGAACUGGCUUCUCUCCCUUGGCAGGUUCAGUUAGUGGCUGGUGUUCCGUAGGUGGUUUCUUCACCGGCGGCUUGUGCUCCGGAAGCGGCUUCUCUACCUGGAGAAGCUUACGAGUUUUGUCAGAUGGCUUGUGUUGUGGUGGUGGCUUCUCUCCCUGGGGUGGUUUGCCAAAUGGACUUGGUGGCUUGUGUUCGGGGAGUGGCUUCUCUCCAUUGGGAGGUUUAGUUGGUGGUUGGUGUUCCGUAGGUGGUUUCUGAAGUGGGGGAUGCUUGGGGUAGUCAGCAAGAGACGAGGUAGUGAGAACCACCAGUCCCAGCAGCAAUACUAGCAAGGAUGUGGAAGACAUCUUUGAGUUCAGGCUGAGAUUUGUGCAAGGCUAGAAGAAUUAGGUGGCCUUUUAUAGCGGGCUGGACCCAACAACCAAAUGACACGUAUCAUGAUACACAUAUGUGUUAUAAGAUCCUUGUGGGUCCUACAGAAGUUGAAAACUUUGACAAUUGAGGUGUGAUUACAACUUUUGUCCCUAUUGCUUUCUCGUCAGCCGUUUUGCAAGAUUUUUGACAGGAGGACGGUAGUUUAAAAUAAUAAUUUCUAAAGUACUUUUGUGAAAAAAAAUAAUUCCAAACGUGGAUUUUAUCAAGUAAAAAAAACAAAAAAAAGUUAUUUUCUUUUAAAAUCUUUUCUUCAUGAUUCAUAUACCAAAAAAAGAAUUGUUUUCUGUAGGUAAAAUUUUUAAAAUUCAUUUUUAAAAAAAAAAAAUUACACACUAAAAUUAUCUCUUCAAGAAAAUAUUUUUUAAAUUUUAAAUAAUUAUUAAUUUAUAAUUAAUUUUUUAUUAAUUAUUUAUUAAAUUUAUAUGUGAAAAAUGCAUUUAUAAAAAACAAAUUUUUUAUUAAUUUAUUAAAUAAUUAUUUACAAAAUAAAUAAUUUUGCUUUAUUUUAAUUUUAAAAUUAAUUUUAUUAUAUAAAUUUUAAAAUUAAAAAUAUUAAUAUUUAAUUUAAAAUUUAACUAUAAAAGGAAUAAAAUAUAGAAAAAUAAAUUAAUUUAUUAUUCAAUAAAUUAAUUUUCAAUAAAAUUUUCAGCAUUAAGAGAUAAAUUUUUAAGUAUUAAUCAAUUUAAAAAAUAAUAAUAAUCAUUUGUAUACUAAGAUAUUUUAUUUAGUAAUUAUGAAUGAUAAACAACUAAAGUAAUUUGAAAAAAUAAUAAAAUAUUUAAAAAUAAUAAUUUAAUACACUUAAAAUUAGAAAUGAUUAACUAUUUUUUAUUAAGAAAAAAUUGAAGAAAUAUUUUGUUAUUUAAAAUUUUUUAUUUGUUUUCAAUUUUAAAUGUUAUAGGUUUCAAGAAAAUUGAUCAAAUAAAAAUUAAGAAGUCAUUUUUUCAAAAACUAUAUAUCUAAAUAAAAGCCUUGAAAUUCAAAUACACAAUAUCAUAAAUAUAAACACCAAGUCAAUCCUUAAUUAUCAAAUGUUUUUAAUAUUAAAGAAUCAAAAUCACCUACUAUCAUGAUAAUAAGAAAACCAAUAAUAUUGUUCAUAUAAAUACUAAAAAGCUAACAAAUAUCCCAAACAAUUAAUAAAGUAUCAAACAUGAUAAAAAGUCAAUUAUUAUCAUGAAUGCAAAAAAUCAAUAAUUUUGUUUAUAUGAACCAUCAACAAAGAAAAAAAAAAUCAAUAUCUAAAUAUUAAACAUAAUUUAUAUUUUUAUAAAUAUUAUUGUUGAUAAAUAUCUUAAUAAUUAUAAUUUUUUAUAUAUUAAAUUUAGUAAAUAAAAUUAAUUAAUUUUAUAAUAUAAGAUAUAUAUAAUAAUUAAGAGACUAUUUGUCCCAAACAAUUUAUUUAUUUUUUUUUUAGGAAAUUGUCUCUUCAAGAGACGACUUCUCCCAACAUUUUUAAAAAAAAAAAAAAAAACAUCUAUUCAAAAGACGAUUUCUCCUCAUUUUUUAAAAAUGAAUUUUAGAAAUCAUAUUUUCAAAAAUGAAUUUUAGAAAUCAUAUUUUCAAAAGACGAUUUUUUUUUAUAUAAAUUAUUUUUUAAAAUGACGAUUUUAAAAGGAAAUAACGAUCUCUCUCCUACUUGGCAAAAACUAUGGUAAAUUUGGAAUUAUUUCUUCCACAACCAUAGUUUAAGAAUUAUUUUUUUAUACUUUCGUAGACUUAUCAAAAAUCCCUAUUUUGCAUGUCUCAUUUGGCAUGACUUUCUUACCUAAACAAGCAUAUAUAUAUAUAUAUAUAUAUAUAUCACUUUUGUCUGGGUUGAGUCAAUGCCCUUAACUAAUUUGUUCAUUUGAAUAGUCUAAAUUAUUAUAAGCUUUUAGUUAAGAAAAAUGUGAAACAUAAAUUACACCUCUCGGCACAACUUCGACACUGGUUACUCUGUUUCAGUUUAUUCACACAAGAUUAUUGGUUCUAGGGUUUAUUUGGUUUUGGUUUGAUUCUAAUUGCUAAACUUUCUCAAGGAAGAUGUUAUAUAGGGAGUGAGAAACCUUCACUCCUGGCUACCUCCAAGAGAAGAGCAAGUGGUCUGAAUCAAAGAUAUACUGCUCACUUUUUCUUCUUCUAAGGACAGCUAUGACCUUGCUUUAAAAUGUUCGAAUAGCCUAAUGCAACCUCCCAUUUCUCAAGUCAGCUGAUGAUGUAAGUCACCUUGGCUUUCCACAUUCAUACGGUGAGGACGUUUGUGGGUGUAAUUCUCUUAACAGUUUUCAUUUUAUAUGGAAAAAUUCAUAAUUAAGGGUAAUUACUGAUUCCAUUUGACAGUGACCAAGUUUAAAAUAUUAACUCAUGUAUUAAAUGCACAUUAAAAAAUCAUGGAAUAAAUAUAUUUACUAAUAUAUAGUUCUUUUGUCAUGUUCUGUCACAGAAGCAUCGAACUUUCCCUAGAAAUUUUUGCAUGGUAUUCUGCUUAUGAUUUUGAAAACUCUAGGCACCUAAGGCCACUGAUUGCAUGGUUGGAUGAGGAGCUGCAUGAGAUUAUGUAUCCUGUUGCUCCUUAACUACAAAUAUCAGUUUUAAGUAGCAUCUCCAUGUGACAUUUUCCUGAUGCAAUUUCGCUGUCCACCAACAAAUGUCUCCAUGCAGCUAGAUGAAUUGUAAUUUCUUUGUUGUUAUCAACAGCUUUAAUUAAUCUUGAUAUAUAUAUAACUUAGUAGAAGUAAUUAAUCUAGAUUGUAGUUGCACUAAGAUAAUAGGCAAUAUUAUAACAGUGCCACAAUGCUCAUCGCCAAAUAGAAAGGUAGAAAAACUACAAUGAGUAACUCACACAACAUUCUCAAACAGGACAUAGCGGCGACUGAUACAUAGAACACUAUUGGCACUCAGGAAAUGAUAAGAUCAGUGCCCAGCAGGCAGCACGUCUUAUUUUACAUACUACUUAAAACUAACCAAAGUCAUUCAGUUGGGAUGGGUGGGAGAUGGUGGUUUGUGCGGUGGCUUCUUUCCUGGAACUGGUGGUUUUUUUGUUGGAGUUGAAGGAGGCUUAAUCGUCUGAGGUGGCUUGUAUGAGUCUUCAGCACUCUCUGCAAGAGGGUGCCCAGGGUUGUGACCAUAAUGAGGUGGCUUCUCUCCCUUAGGUGGUUUGCCAAGUGGGCUGGCUGGCUUGUGCUCCGGGAGCGGCUUCUCUCCCUUAGGUGGUUUGCCAAAUGGGCUUGCUGGCUUGUGCUCUGGGAGCGGCUUCUCUCCCCCAAGAAGUUUGCGGGUUUUGUCAGAUGGCUUGUGUUCUGGUGGUGGCUUCUCUCCUUGGGGUGGUUUGCCAAAUGGACUUGGUGGCUUGUGUUCGGGGAGUGGCUCCUCUCCCUUGGGAGGUUUAGUUGGUGGCUGGUGUUCCGUAGGUGGUUUCUCAACCGGGGGCUGGUGCUCCGUAGGUGGUUUAUGAACUGGGGGAUGCUUGGGGUAGUCAGCAAGAGACGGGGUGGUGAGAACCACCAGUCCCAGCAGCAACACUAGCAAGUAUGUGGAUGACAUCUUUGAGUUCAGGCUGAGAUUUGUGCAAGACUAGAAGAAUUAGGUGGCCUUUUAUAGCUGGCUGCACCCAACACUCACAUGACACGUAUCACGGUGACACAUGUGCUAUGGGAUCCAUUUGGGUCCUACAGAAGUUGAAAACUUUUGACUAUUGAGGUGUGAUCACAACUUUUGUCCCUAUUGCUUUCUCCGCAACCGUUUUACAUGUUUCCUUUGUGGUGUUUAAUAGUGUUUUUUUCCUUAAUUCUAAAUAAACCUUAAUACUUAAUAAUGUUAAAUAUUAGGUUAUUUAUUUUUAUAAUAUUUUAUUUAUAUUAAGUAUUAAAAAGUAAAGAAAAAUCAAUAUAUUUAUUUUUCUAUUUAGAAAAAACUAUAUAUUUUUAAUUUUUUUAUUUAAUAAAAAAUUUAUAAUAAAUCAUGAAAAAAUAGAAAAACAAACAACCUAAAUUUUAAAAAUAAAUUGUUUUUAGUAAAAACCCAAAAAAACAAACACCACCUUAACUAAACAAAUAUAUAUUAUAUUUAGUUAAGAAAGAGUAAAGUGUAUAUGGCUCAAAUCAAGGAAGAGAAACAGAAUAAGUGGAAGACAAUCAAUUGUGAUAAACAGAUAUAUUACAUGCAUGUAGUACUAGUGACUUUAUCAUUUACUUUUAUACAAUAGAUCAUCACACUCUUUCUUCUAAAUAUUUUGGAGGAUAAUGGUACAUGUUGCUUGUUGCCAAGUCAAAAUUGGUGGCAAAAAUCGGCAUGAUACGAAAGGAUUGGUGAAAAGAUUCACAUAGAUGGUGCUUUGUGCAAUGCAGUCUUGCUCUAAUUCAACAGAGUGGACCAUGGUGAUGUAUUUUAAAUUUUAAAUUUUAAAUUAAUGCAUGCUUCAAAGUUUUAACUAGAUGUCACUUCCAUGGAUUUUUGUUCAUUUAAUUGAGAACAGGAUAGGCUAUCAAACUUGAAGUAAUAUAAAAAUCCCUUCAUUACUGUAACUAAUGAAAGAUCAUUAUCUGCGCUUGGUAUUUUGCCAAGGUAUUUGCUGCUCUUUCUAGCCCUAUCUUACAGUUAAGGACAAUGUGAUCUAGUUAACCUUAGAAGCUAUUCCAUGUCAUAUACAAGAGAUCAAGCACAUUAUCUUUGGGCUCAGUUCAAAACUAUAAUAUAUGGGUGGGGUGGGGGCCUAUACCAUUUGCAUAUCACCACUAUUGGUUUAGUUUGGAAGGUUUCUUCUGGAAGAUUGCUUUCUGGAAACAUUUCAAAGAAAUAUAUCUUUUUGUUCUCUUGGUGACGAGCAGCGGCAAUCAAGUCUGUUGACAAACAACCGAGUUGAAAAGUUUGAAAAUUGGUCACAGCCCACGUCCAUGGUUAAGGAAAAGGUCACUGGAAGUGAUCCCUUCUGGGCCUGUUGGAAGCAGGGGAGGUUAACACACCAAGCAACAAAGAACAGAGAUAUGCUGCUACUGAUCUAUAUUUUUUAUUUGAUCAUAAGGCUAAAUUUAUACAGAUUGUGUAACAGAUAUGACCUCAAAAAAAAGCAUCAAAUCAAGCUACUUGUUGAACAAACAACUACCUUCUACAAAAUAACAUCAAAAUUUAACUUAAAAGCAAAAACAUAAAAAUAGCAACAGCAAAAAUAGAAACAUAAAAAUAGCUUCAGCAUUCUAGUAAUCUCGUUGACUUCAAUUGCAUGUGGUUGACGAUUUCAGCCUUUUCCUCAGCAGCUACUAAGGCAUAACUCUCAACACUCCUCCUUGACUUAGGAGGUGCAAACUCCAAGUCUUUCUCAUAGAAACUCAAAUCUUAUUUUAGGAAGAGCUUUAGUCAGAAUAUCUACAUUUUGACUGUCUGUAUUGCAGUAGACUAGUUGUAUAUCUCCUUCUUUCUGUACUUCCCUCAAAAAUUACAAUUUAAUCUUGAAGUGCUUUGUUUUACCAUGAAAAACUGGAUCAUUUGCAAUAGAUAUAGUGGCCUGGUUGUCUACAAACACCUUUGUACUCACUUCUUGCUUCAUAUCCAAAUCUGUCAGCAACUUUCCAAGCCAUAAGGCUUGAUUUACAGCUGUAACAGCAGCAAUAUACUCUGCCUCAGCUGUGGAUUGAGCCACGACUUCUUGCUUCCUUGAACUCCAUGAAAAAACACCAGAACCAAAACUAAAACAAUAGCCUGAAGUACUUCUCAUAUCGUCAACACAACCAGCCCAAUCACUAUCAGAAAAUCCAUGAAAAUUGAAACUUUGAACUUGACUGAACUUAAUGCCAUAAUCCACAGUGCCUUUAACAUUUCUUAUCACACGCUUUGCUGCCUGGAAAUGAAUUUCACUAGCACAAUGCAUGUAUCUCGAAAGUAGACUUACAGCAUGCAUUAUAUCGAGUCUUGUUGCAGUCAAGUACAUUAAGCAUCCAAUCAUGCUUCGAUAAAGUCCUUCAUCUACCUUUUUAGCACCGUCCUCCUUACAGAACUUCUCUUUCUGGUUCAUAGGGGUAGAUGUAGGUUUGCAUUCCUCCAUUUUGAAUUUCUUCAUAAUUUCUUUGGCAUAUUUUUGUUGGCAGAUGAAAAUCUCAUUCUGCUUCUGGUGUACUUCCAUUCCCAAGAAGUAAGACAUCUCAUCUAGGUCUGUCAUCUCAAAAACCUGCUCCAUUUCAGCCUUGAAUUUGUUCACAAACCCUGCAUUACUUCCUGUUACAAGCAAAUCAUCAACAUAUAGAGAAACAAUUAAUAUAUCUUCUUCAAUCUUCUUAAUGUAGAGUGUAAAUUCACUCAAGCUCUUGUGAAAGCCUAAAGUUAGCAGGUGAGUGUCAAUCCUGCUGUACCAAGCUCUAGGGGCUUGUCUUAACCCAUACAAGGCCUUCUUAAGAAGGUAUACUUUUUCUUCUUUUCCUUUGAUAGCAAAACCUUCUGGUUGUUCGACAAAAAUCUCUUCCUCUAAGUAGCCAUUCAAAAAUGCUGACUUCACAUCUAGUUGAUAAAUCUUCCAUUUUCUUUGAGCUACAAGAGCCAACAACAUCCUGAUUGUAUCCAAACGAGCUACUGGUGCAAAGGUUUCCGAAAAGUCAACACCAAACAUUUGUGCAUACCCUUUGACAACCAGCCUUGCUUUAUGUUUGUUUAUAGAACCAUCAGAGUUGAGUUUGGUUCUGUAAACCCACUUAACCCCAAUAGGUUUUUUGUGUGAAGGUCUAUCUACUAGCUCCCAAGUGUUGUUCUUGUCAAUCAUAUCUAGCUCCUCCUGCAUUGCAACCCUCCAUCUUUUAUUUUCAGCAGCUUCAACAAACCCUGCAAGUUCAAGAACAGCUAUAUUACACCUUUGAUAAAUAUCAAAAAGUGUCAUGAAACCUCUAACUGGAAGUUCAUCAACAUCUUCAUCAAUAUAUUGCUGAUUCUGCUCAUCCCAACUCCAUUUCUCCGUUUCCAAAAACUUAACAUCUCUACUUACCACAAUUUUACUAUUUUGUGGCAAGUAGAUUCUGUAAGCUUUUGAGGUGCUGUUGUAUCCAAUGAAAAUUCCUGGUUCUGACUUUUUAUCUAGCUUGUCUCUUUUCACCUGAGGAACAUAAGAGAAACACAAGCAACCAAAGGUCUUUAAAUUCAUUAGCAUAGGCUUAUAAGCAAACCAGGCCUCAAAAGGUGUCUGUUUCUGCAAUGCUUUUGUUGGUAGUCUAUUUAGCAAAAAUACUACUGUAUUUGCAGCUUCAACCCAAAAACUUUUUGGCAGCUCUUUCUCAUGCAAAAGACAUCUUGUCAUUGAUUACUACUCAAAAAGUGCUAUUUGAUAGCCUUUAAUUAAUCCUUUUUAACACUUUUGAGUAGUAGUUUAGGCCUUUUAACUCAAUUGGCAUGUUAAGGAUCCUUUAAAGCAAUUUUGAUCACUUUGUGCAAGUUUUGGUGUUUUUGUUAGUAUUUCGAUCACCAAAGCAAGUCAAGAAUGAGGAGAGCUAUGAGGAAUCUUGGGCAAAGCUUAGAAUUCAAUUGCCAAGAGUGAAUCCGGAUUGCAAGGAGAAAAAGCAAAGAGGAUCAGUCAUGGAGCAUAUUCUUGAUGACAGUCGUAGCAGCCACUUUUGGAUCACUUUCUGAAGUCCAAAUGAUGCAAGCUAUAUACCAUUUCAAAGCUCAGGAAGUCAACAAUCCAAUGCUUCAAACGGUGUGCGAUUCGGAAUUGAAACGAAGAAGUUGCAGCCAUUACAAGCCAGACACUCUAAAGUGUUGCGGAAUCAGCCAUGUGUUGCGAGAAUUUCGCAGCACUUUUGUACAGUAAGGUGUUUCUCCUUCUAACGAUGCACGAACCAUGCCGCGAGAAGGGAGCUGGAAACUUCAAGAUGGAAGCCAACUUUGCAGCCUAGUGAAGAUAGCUCGGUCUUGCAAGAUAAUUUCGCAGCCCUCUUGGGUGUCUGCGAAAUUUCGCAGGCCUCAUUUUUCACCUGCGAAAUGGCUCUUGAAGCCUCCCGAAGCUUGCUACCGACAUUGGGAGAUAUUUUCCAUUAGAUUUUUGUUGUCUAAAUCCCAAAAUACUCCUUGUAAACCACCAAUUACAUGAUUCCUUAGUUUUUAAGUUAGUAAAAAGACCAAAUAUCUUUGUAACAAUUAGUUUUAUAUUUUGUUGUUAUAAAUACCUCUCGGGAGCCUGUUCUCAGGGAGGAGUUCCUUCUGUAAACGUUUGGUAAGCAAGUAAAGUCUAUUUUCUUUCUACUGCCUUACCUUCUCACUUUGUAUUUUCAUUUUAUUUCUAAGUUAUGAAUUCUCUGAGGAGUUUUCCCCAAAGAAUGAGUAACUAAACCUCCAAUUCCUUGGAGCUAAGGUUGCCGGGGAAGGUUCCAAGUGCAAGAAUGCAAAGCUCUGUGGUUUUAGCUAGUAAUGAAGAGGAAGUGAAAUCCUUUAGUGAUUUCAAUGUUUUUAGUUAACUUAAAACACUUUGGAGUCACCUGGGCCAACACUUGGUAAGGCAAGUGAUUUCCAACCAUGGAAAUGCACUAGUUUACCCCUUGCGAGCCUCUGGUAGGUGACUUCAAGGUAGGAUUUUCUGGAAUUACCAACACUUGGUAAGCUUUUGGACUCCUAGGAGACAUCCAUUAGUUAUCUCUUGCGAGUUUGUGAAGGGAAUCCAAGGUUAAAGAUCACCUUGAAUGGUAAGUGCUCGUGAGAGGCAUGAACCAUUGCAAGUUGUAUCAGUGAGAGAAUUAAAGUGAAAUCUAAUUGAAGGAGUCUUUGUACAUCACCGGUUAGAGAAUUGACUAUAAGUUGAAUCUCUAAUGCGAGGAAAUGAACCAACUGACCAGAGCCGUGUCUUUUGCAUGAGGAACCACCCCAGUGAACCUAAAUCUCCAAGGAAUGUUUUUUUCUUCCUAAAUUAUUCCAAACUUCUGUUAAGUUAGUUAGUUUAAAUCUCAACCUUUACAAAUCAAAGUUUGUGUUUUAUUCCUUAAGCUAACCGUGAAAUGAAACAAGACCAAUUCACUUGGAAUUGGUAUCAUUGAUUGCCUGCAAAUCAUUCCCAGUGAACGAUCCUAGAGCCACUAUACUAUAGUAGCUUUGUAUUUGCUACCCUAGUGUAUGGUGUUAUAGGUAUAAAUUUUGUUGAUCACUUCCUCAAUCAAGGAGCACCAGCUGAACACAAAUCAGCUGAGACACCAAUUAGGCAUGAGUCAAAUGGCGCCGUUGCCGGGGAAUGAAUGUCAAGUUCAUUGUGAUACCAUUGUUGAGCACUUGUGAUUUUCAUCACAAGUUGGUAAAGUUUCUUUCACUUUACUAAUUUUCAUUCUUUCUUUGUUUAUUUACAAUCUAAGUUUAUCUUUUUAAAUUUUAGUCUAGUUUAAUUUUGUUGUUGUAGCCCUGUUUUUCUUGUUGUCCUCUGUUUUCAUUUUUUUUUUCAGGUAGAUACUAGUUGUGUAUGCCCAAGUGGAUACGAGACAUAGGAGGUAGGCUUGUUAAGUGUGAUACACCUCAGAAAGGAGAAUUUGAAGUAAUCUUGAAUAUCAUGGAGGCUGCACCUGAAGAUCAGCAUAGUCACCAAGGUCGUCAAGACAAUCUCAAUGAAUUCAGAUCAAUGAGGGACCGUAUGCAUCCACCUCGUAUGAGUACACCAUCAUGUAUAGUGCCCCCUACAGAGCAGCUAGUGAUCAGACCAUAUCUUGUUCCACUUCUACCAACUUUCCAUGGGAUGGAAAGUGAGAAUCCGUAUGCACACAUCAAGGAAUUUGAAGAUGUUUGUAAUACAUUCCAAGAAGGAGGAGCUUCAAUUGACUUGAUGAGGCUUAAGUUAUUUCCUUUUACUUUAAAGGAUAAGGCCAAAAUUUGGCUUAAUUCUUUAAGGCCAAGGAGUAUCCGCUCUUGGACUGAUUUACAAGCUGAGUUCCUUAAGAAAUUUUUUCCUACUCAUAGAACAAAUGGCUUGAAAAGGCAAAUUUCAAACUUCUCAGCUAAAGAGAAUGAGAAAUUCUAUGAGUGUUGGGAAAGAUACAUGGAAGCUAUAAAUGCUUGUCCUCACCAUGGCUUUGAUACUUGGCUAUUGGUGAGCUAUUUUUAUGAUGGUAUGUCCUCCUCAAUGAAGCAACUCCUCGAGACAAUGUGUGGAGGAGAUUUCAUGAGCAAAAAUCCAGAGGAAGCUAUGGAUUUCUUGAGCUAUGUAGCUGAUGUUUCAAGGGGAUGGGAUGAACCAACUAAAGGAGAAGUGGGAAAGAUGAAGUCUCAGUUGAAUGCUUACAAUGCAAAGGCUGGGAUGUAUAAUUUGAAAGAAGAUGAUGACAUGAAAGCAAAGUUGGCAGCUAUGACAAGAAGAUUGGAGGAGCUGGAGCUGAAAAGAAUGCAUGAAGUGCAAGCUGUUGCUGAAGCACCAGUGCAAGUGAAGCUGUGUCCCAAUUGUCAAUCAUUUGAACAUUUGGUGGAGGAGUGCCCUGCAAUUUCAGUUGAAAGGGAAAUGUAUAGAGAUCAAGCAAAUGUUGUUGGACAAUUUAGGCCCAAUAACAAUGCUCCUUAUGGAAAUACCUACAAUUCAAGUUGGAGGAAUCAUCCAAAUUUCUCAUAGAAGGCCAGAGCAACUCAAUACCAACAGCCGGAUCCACCAUCUCAGCAAUCUUCAAGUAUUGAACAAAUAAUAGCCAAUCUCAGCAAGGUAGUGGGAGAUUUUGUGGGAAAGCAAGAAGCCACCAAUGCUCGAGUUGAUCAAAGAAUGGAUAGAAUGGAGAGUGUGUUGAACAAAAGAAUGGAUGGAAUGCAAAAUGAUAUGAACCAAAAGUUUGAUAACAUCCAAUAUUCAAUUUCAAGGCUUACAAAUUUGAAUACACUGCAAGAAAAAGGAAGAUUUCCUUCUCAACCUAACCAAAAUCCCAAAGGUGUCCAUGAAGUGGAAAGCCAUGAGGGAGAAUCAUCACAGGUGAAAGAUGUGAAAGCUUUGAUCACUCUAAGGAGUGGUAAGAAAAUUGAGCAGCCAACACCCAUGCCACAUGUUGAGAAAGAAGAAGGGAUAAAGAAAGGAAAGGAAAUAGAAGAUAAAGACAGUGAGAUCAGUGAAGAAAAGAAGGACUCUGAUUCAACAAUCAAAGCAAUUCCAGAGAAAGAGCUUCUGAAGGAAGAAAUGCUGAAGAAAUCAACUUUUCCACCUUUUCCUCAAGCAUUACAGGGGAAAAAGGGGGUUAGAAAUGCAGCUGAAAUCCUUGAAGUCUUAAGACAAGUAAAAGUUAAUAUUCCACUGCUGGAUAUGAUCAAACAAGUUCCAACGUAUGCAAAAUUCCUAAAGGACUUGUGUACUAUCAAAAGAGGGGUUGACUGUAAACAAGAAAGCCUUCUUGACUGAGCAAGUAAGUGCAAUCUUACAAUGCAAGUCUCCUUUGAAGUACAAAGACCCUGGAAGUCCUACCAUUUCAGUCAUGAUUGGAGGAAAGGUAGUGGAGAAAGCCUUGCUAGACUUGGGAGCAAGUGUGAAUUUGCUUCCAUACUCUGUCUACAAGCAACUGGGACUUGGAGAGUUGAAGCCAACAGCAAUCACUUUAUCUUUGGCAGAUAGAUCAGUGAAAAUUCCAAGAGGAGUAAUUGAGGAUGUAUUGGUUCAAGUGGAUAAUUUCUACUAUCCAGUAGAUUUUGUUGUUCUUGAUACUGAUCCAACUGUAAAGGAAGCUAAUUUAGUUCCUAUCAUCCUUGGAAGGCCAUUUCUUGCAACUUCAAAUGCAAUCAUCAACUGUAGAAAUGGGCUUAUGCAACUCACUUUUGGUAACAUGACACUGGAUCUCAAUAUUUUCUAUAUGUCUAAAAAGCAAAUCACUCCUGAGGAAGAAGAAGGUCCAGAAGAGCUAUGUAUUAUUGAUACUUUGGUGGAGGAGCACUGCAAUCAGCAUAUGCAAGAUAAGUUGAAUGAAAGUCUUGUGGAUAUUGAGGAAGGUUUUUCUGAAUCUCCUAUUGGGCUUGCUACUCUACAAAGUUGGAGAAAGAUAGAAGGAAUUCUACCUUUGUUCAAUGAAAAAGAGGAGGCAACUGUUGAAGAAGAAAUUCCAAAACUCAAUUUGAAGCCUUUACCUGUGGAGCUGAAAUAUACAUAUCUUGAAGCAAAUAAUCAAUGUCCUGUUGUGAUAUCCUCAUCUCUGACCAGUCAUCAAGAGAAUUGUUUAAUGGAAGUUCUCAUGAGGUGUAAGAAGGCAAUAGGAUGGCAAAUAUCUGACUUGAAAGGCAUUAGUCCUUUAGUUUGUACUCAUCAUAUAUAUAUGGAGGAGGAAGCAAAGCCAAUUCGUCAAUUUCAAAGAAGGUUGAAUCCUCAUCUACAAGAGGUGGUGCGAGCUGAGGUGCUGAAGCUACUUCAAGCAGGAAUCAUUUACCCUAUUUCUGAUAGCCCUUGGGUGAGUCCUACUCAAGUGGUACCAAAGAAGUCAGGGAUCACAGUGAUUCAAAAUGAAAAAGGGGAAGAAAUUACUACACGCCUCACUUCAGGUUGGAGGGUGUGUAUUGAUUAUAGAAAGCUGAAUGCUGUCACCAGGAAGGAUCAUUUUCCAUUGCCAUUUAUUGAUCAAGUGCUGGAGAGAGUCUCUGGACAUCCAUUUUAUUGUUUCUUGGAUGGGUAUUCAGGCUAUUUUCAAAUUGAAAUUGAUUUGGCAGAUCAGGAAAAGACCACUUUUACAUGUCCAUUUGGAACAUUUGCUUAUAGAAGAAUGCCUUUUGGUUUAUGCAAUGCACCUGCUACAUUUCAAAGAUGUAUGUUGAGUAUUUUCAGUGAUAUGGUGGAGAGAAUUAUGGAGGUUUUCAUGGAUGACAUCACCGUAUAUGGAGGUACAUUUGAGGAGUGCUUGGUUAAUUUGGAAGCAGUUCUUCAUAGAUGCAUUGAAAAAGAUUUGGUGCUGAACUGGGAGAAAUGCCAUUUUAUGGUACGUCAAGGAAUUGUCCUUGGCCAUAUCAUCUCUGAAAGAGGCAUUGAAGUUGAUAAAGCAAAGGUGGAGCUUAUUGCCAAAUUACCAUCUCCAACAACUGUGAAAGGAGUAAGACAGUUCCUUGGCCAUGCAGGGUUCUAUAGGAGGUUUAUAAAAGGUUUUUCAAGUCUUUCAAAACCUCUUUGUGAGCUGUUAGCUAAGGAUGCUAAGUUUAUAUGGGAUGAAAGGUGUCAGCAUAGCUUUGAUCAACUGAAGAAGUUUUUAACAACAACUCCAAUAGUGAGAGCCCCUAACUGGCAAUUACCUUUUGAACUGAUGUGUGAUGCCAGUGACUUUGCUAUAGGAGCUGUGCUUGGCCAAAGAGAAGAUGGGAAGCCCUAUGUGAUUUACUAUGCAAGUAAAACACUAAAUGAAGCUCAGAGGAACUACACAACUACAGAGAAAGAAUUGUUAGCUGUGGUAUUUGCUUUGGACAAAUUUCGAGCUUAUUUAGUGGGGUCUUUCAUCAUUGUCUUCACUGACCAUUCAGCCUUGAAGUAUUUAUUGACAAAGCAAGAUGCAAAAGCAAGGUUGAUUAGAUGGAUUCUAUUGUUACAAGAGUUCGAUCUUCAAAUCAAAGAUAAGAAAGGAGUGGAGAAUGUAGUAGCUGACCACUUGUCAAGGUUAGUUAUAGCACAUAAUUCCCAUCCCUUGCCUAUCAAUGAUGAUUUUCCUGAAGAAUCACUCAUGUUCCUAGUGAAAACUCCUUGGUAUGCUCAUAUUGCUAAUUAUUUAGUAACUGGGGAAAUUCCAAGUGAGUGGAAUGCACAGGACAGGAAGCACUUCUUUGCCAAAAUUCAUGCUUAUUAUUGGGAAGAGCCCUUUCUCUUUAAGUAUUGUGCAGAUCAGAUUAUUAGGAAGUGUGUCCCUGAAGAUGAGCAGCAAGGGAUUCUAUCUCAGUGUCAUGAGAAUGCAUGUGGAGGCCACUUUGCCUCUCAGAAAACAGCCAUGAAGGUAUUACAAUCAGGGUUUACUUGGCCAUCUCUUUUCAAAGAUGCCCACAUCAUGUGUAGAAAUUGUGAUAGAUGCCAAAGGCUUGGAAAGCUAACAAAAAGAAAUCAAAUGCCUAUGAACCCCAUUCUGAUAGUUGAGAUAUUUGAUGUUUAGGGCAUUGACUUCAUGGGACCUUUCCCAAUGUCUUUUGGUAAUUCUUACAUUUUGGUGGGGGUAAAUUAUGUUUCUAAAUGGGUUGAGGCAAUCCCCUGUAAGCAAAAUGAUCACAGGGUGGUUCUCAAGUUUCUUAAAGAGAACAUUUUCUCAAGAUUUGGGGUGCCCAAGGCCAUAAUCAGUGAUGGAGGAGCUCAUUUUUGCAACAAACCUUUUGAAGCUCUGUUAUCCAAGUAUGGAGUGAAGCAUAAGGUAGCCACACCUUAUCAUCCUCAGACAUCCGGGCAAGUUGAGCUAGCUAACAGGGAAAUAAAGAACAUUUUGAUGAAAGUGGUGAAUUCCAACAGAAAAGAUUGGUCUAUUAGGCUUCAUGAUUCAUUGUGGGCAUAUAGAACAGCUUAUAAAACUAUUCUUGGGAUGUCUCCCUAUCGUCUUGUCUAUGGCAAAGCAUGCCAUCUCCCUGUGGAAGUUGAAUACAAAGCUUGGUGGGCAAUAAAGAAGCUGAAUAUGGACUUGAUCAAGGCCGGAGAAAAGAGAUUUCUAGACCUUAAUGAGAUGGAGGAAUUAAGAAAUAAUGCUUAUAUCAAUUCCAAAGUUGCAAAACAGAGGAUGAAGAAGUGGCAUGAUCAACUCAUCUCCAACAAGGAAUUUCAGGAAGGGCAAAAAGUUUUGAUGUAUGACACAAGACUCCAUAUCUUUCCUGGGAAGCUCAAAUCAAGGUGGAUUGGUCCAUUUGUUAUUCACCGAGUAUAUUCCAAUGGAGUGGUGGACUUAUUGAAUUCCAAUGGCAAGGAUAGCUUUAAAGUCAAUGGAUAUCGUCUCAAGCCGUUCAUGGAGUCAUUCAAAUCAGAAAAGGAGGCAAUCAACCUCCUUGAACCUCAAAAAGCCUAAGUGAAAAGGGUUUGCUGGACGUGGCUUUACCACAGUCCAAAAUUUUUGUAAAUUUUGUAAAUUUUCAAGUUGUUUCUAUACUUUUGAUUUUAGUUUUUGAUCUUAAAUCAUGUUUUUAGGUGUGUUUUAAUCGUUUUAAAUGAUCCCAGGUGGAAGAAAUUUCAAGGGGAUUGAAAGAAAAAAAAUCGGGUCGAAAUUGGAGCCGAAACAGAGCAAAAACAGGGGAAAAACAGAGCUCUGCGAAAUUUCGCAGGGUGAAGGAAACCUCUGCGAAAUGAGCAUUUUGUUGCGAAACCAUUCCGCAGCACUGUAGAAGCCUCUGCGAGUGUAUUUCGCAGCUGCGAAAGUGAAUUUGGCACACGAGUGCCACUUCGCAGUACAGUAGCAUCCAUUUGGCAGCUGCGAAACUCAUUGCGAAAUGGAAAAGCGUGAUUUCGCACCAAAAGUCCCAUUCCGCAGGGUAUUUCGCAAUUGCGAAAGUGGUUUUGGCACACGAGUGCCACUCCGCAGCACAGUAACAUCAAUUUCGCAGCUGCGAAACUCACUGCGAAGUUGCUGCGAAAAUGGCAAGUUGCUGCGAAAUUGGCGUUUAGUUGCGAAACUUAAACUGACCCCUGAGCUUCCGUUUUUCCUAUUUAUACCGGUCAAAAGUGCUGCGAAAAGGGUUUCAAAAAUCAGAGCACCAUUCUCGCAGCCCCUUCAUCUUCUUCGCCAAGCCACGCCGUCCGAACCUCCGGUCGUCUUCUCCGUUUAGCAGCGCCGGCCAAAGAUCGAUAUUCCAAAAUGGCACGAACGCGAGGGGCAAAAUCUUCAUCCCCUUCGAAUCGCAAAAGGAGUCUGCGAAAGGAGCCAAGUCCAGGUUCUGCUCCAGAACCUGCUCCAAAGCCUUCGCCGUCGAGACCACAACCUUCUCCAGUGAAGCCGGCGCCACUAAAGCCGCCGGCAAGACGAUAUUUGACAAGGUCAGGCGGUUGGCCAUUGAAGAAGAAGCCCAGGGUUGAGAGCUCUGAACCAAUUGAUUUGACUGAGCAAUCCCCUGAGCAGUCCCCAAAUCCUUCACCAGUUCAAACUCCAGUGCCGUCACCGGUUCCCUCGCCAAUUCCCUCACCUGAAGCAACUCCAAUUCCAUCGUCGGUACCAUCUCCGGCACCCCAAGAAAAAGCUCAGGAGCCUCAAGCGCCAAUUCCAGAGCCCCAAAUUGCAGCUGAAGCACCUCUGGAAGAAGUGAUCCGAAGGCCAAUGCUGCCCCAGCCCCCAAUCGAAGGAAACUUGGAUUGUCGAACACGGGCAUUCCAUUCUGAGCUUUGCUUCGAUUUAACAGCAUUCAGAGUGAGGCCAGAGCUUGCCCAAUCCUUCCAGCUGCUGAGGAGAUAUCAUAUGGAGCAUCUGCUAGCUCCAAGGGAUUUUUUCUAUCCCCGGGUAGUCACGGACUUCUACCAGACCAUGACAACCAAAGAAGUAAGAAAUCCAACUCUGAUCCAUUUCAUAAUUGAUGGAAGGCAUGGUAUUUUGGGAGCAAGACACAUUGCUGAAGCUCUGCAAAUUCCUUUUGAGCCAACCCAAUUCGACAAUUUUAAAGCUUGGGUAAAUCCUACUGAGUUAGAGAUGGUUCGCACACUAACCAGAGGAGCUGCAAAUCGAUCACACCUGUUGAGGGGGGAGCUACCUCCAGUGAUGUUUUUGAUUGAUGCCUUUUUGAGGCAUAAUAUCUAUCCCCUGCAGCAUUGGACCCAAAGAAGGGGAAUUCUCCUGGAAGCUUUGUACAAGAUGUCAGAAGGAUUCUUCUUUGGGCCCCAUCAUCUUAUCAUGGCAGCCCUUCUAUACUUUGAGGAAAAGGUUCACAAGAAGAAACUUCAAAGAGCAGAUUGCAUUCCACUCCUCUUCCCAAGGCUGCUAUGCCAAGUUUUGGAGCAUCUCGGAUACCCCUCUGAGCCUCAGCAGGAAAGAAAGAGAAUAUGCCGUGAGCCAUUUACUCUUGAUAAAUGGAAUAAUAUGACGGCCUACAAAAUUGAUCAGCCUGGGCAGCCUCAGCCAGCAGCAAGGAGAGCCUCCCCAAGACAUGCACCUGAAGGUAUAACACUUGCUACUCCUGCCAUCCCUCGAGCUUCACCAGCUGCACCUGCUGCAUCACAGCCAUCCACAUCAGCUGAGCCGAGGAUGGCCAUCCCUAUAUCCGAAUAUCGAGAGCUGUGCCGAGCAUUGGAGACUCUUACAGCUUCCCAGAGCAAUCUUGCUCAAGAGUUGGCAGCCAUCAAAGCAUGCCAGGAGCAGAUGUUAGCCUCUCAGGCUCAACAAGCUGCCAUCCUAAGGCAGCUUCAAGUCCAUUUCGAUCUGCCACAAGCUGUAGAGCCCUCCACUGAGACUCCACCAGAGCCACACUCUCAGCCUUCAGAGUCUCUUCCUCCAGAGCCAGAAGCCCCAACUGAUCCACCUACAGAGGAGGCGGAUCCUUCUGCUUAGCACCAUCACCCCACUCAUCAGACAUUAUAUAUAUUUGCUGUUUAUGUUUUUAUGCAUGUUUGUUUUGUUUUAGUUGAAAUGAAAUCCCAGUAUUUUGGUACUAUAUAUGGGAUUCCUUGUGAUUACUUGUCCUUAGCAUUGUACUCGAAUGAAUUGAAAGUAAUACAAGUUGAAUUUUUCUUGUUAAAAGUUAGCAUUAAAAUUCUCCUUAUUUCCUUUUCUCACAUAUUCUAUUCUUUUUGAAACAUGUGGUUUUCCCCAAUCAAUAUUCGAAUUUGAUAUCAGCAUGGAGGUACCACUUCCUCCCUUUUAUUACAGUCACUCAAAUCACAUUGAGGACAAUGCUCAGUUCGGUUGGGGGGUAUGAGGAAGGAAGUAUUCUAAAUCUUUUUGGUAUUGCAAUUAUAUUGGUUAAUUAGUUGUAGAUUUUACGUUUUACUCUUGUUACUCUAUUCUCCAUGAAUUUUGAGGAAAAAUUUUCAAAUUAAACCAAGAGAAAUUGAACUGUUGUUUUUCACUUGACUUAGAGUAUGGAUUAUGCUUACUAAAGUGGUUCAAUUGUUGAAACUUCUACUGAAAUUGAAUUGAGUUCUUCCAUUUUAAGCUAUCCACACACUGUGCACAUUAGUUUCUGAUUAUAAGAUGAAAAGCUAUUUCCCUCUUGACUUAGGAUAAUUUUGGGACUUGGUAUAUUUGACCUCAUUUGAUAAAAAUUGAAACACCCUGCAAAAGGCCAAUGAGCCUUUGAAAUAAAGAAAGAUGUUUGCUUGCCUUGAAACCCGAGCAAGGUCUGAGGGGCAUAUGGUGAAAGCCUUUAAAGCCUGGUGCCCUAAGCCUUAAUUGGUUGGGAGUCACCGACCUCAAUGCUCGUUACAAGGGUGAAUAGGUAGAGCUAGCAUAUGGUAGAUGCUUGGGUAUUAGAAAUUCAUUCUUAAAAGUCCAGGGAAAAAUCCGAGGAGUUAGUGGUUGAAAGAUCCUUAAAACUUGGUGCCCUAAACCUUAAUUGGUUGGGAGUCAUCGAUGGACCCCCAUUACAUGGACAAGUCAGAAAGAGUACCCCAUAAAGCUACUUUAAAAAAAAAAAAAAAAAAAAAAAAAAGAUGAUGAAAGUGUGUUCUUUUCUUAUUGAUUUUGGUCAGAUUGCUAAAGUGUUGAAAAGAGAUAGGUUGGGGGGGGAGACUAGUUUAGCAUAUUAUUCUCGGAAUCUAAGGAACCAAUACACAUAGAUUUUUGUGGAAGAUUGAAGUUUAGUUCUUAGAAAGUGAAAUGAUUUUAAAACUUCAGUUUGCAUAAUGCACUCCCUUGAUUGACAGUGUUUAGCAUAGGUGUUAUGACUCUUGUUGAGAUUUGGGUUUGUAUUUCUUUAAUGAUUCAUGUGAGAAGUAAAUCAUCAUGCCACUUAAGAAUUAUUUUCCUUUCAGCAUGAUGUUGUAAAUUUUAGAUUAGUUUGCUAUUUAUUUUUAUUUUUCUCUCCUUUAUUGCUAAGGGACUAGCAAUAUGUCGGUUGGGGGGAGUGAUUACUACUCAAAAAGUGCUAUUUGAUAGCCUUUAAUUAAUCCUUUUUAACACUUUUGAGUAGUAGUUUAGGCCUUUUAACUCAAUUGGCAUGUUAAGGAUCCUUUAAAGCAAUUUUGAUCACUUUGUGCAAGUUUUGGUGUUUUUGUUAGUAUUUCGAUCACCAAAGCAAGUCAAGAAUGAGGAGAGCUAUGAGGAAUCUUGGGCAAAGCUUAGAAUUCAAUUGCCAAGAGUGAAUCCGGAUUGCAAGGAGAAAAAGCAAAGAGGAUCAGUCAUGGAGCAUAUUCUUGAUGACAGUCGUAGCAGCCACUUUUGGAGCACUUUCUGAAGUCCAAAUGAUGCAAGCUAUAUACCAUUUCAAAGCUCAGGAAGUCAACAAUCCAAUGCUUCAAACGGUGUGCGAUUCGGAAUUGAAACGAAGAAGUUGCAGCCAUUACAAGCCAGACACUCUAAAGUGUUGCGGAAUCAGCCAUGUGUUGCGAGAAUUUCGCAGCACUUUUGUACAGUAAGGUGUUUCUCCUUCUAACGAUGCACGAACCAUGCCGCGAGAAGGGAGCUGGAAACUUCAAGAUGGAAGCCAACUUGGCAGCCUAGUGAAGAUAGCUCGGUCUUGCAAGAUAAUUUCGCAGCCCUCUUGGGUGUCUGCGAAAUUUCGCAGGCCUCAUUUUUCACCUGCGAAAUGGCUCCUGAAGCCUCCCGAAGCUUGCUACCGACAUUGGGAGAUAUUUUCCAUUAGAUUUUUGUUGUCUAAAUCCCAAAAUACUCCUUGUAAACCACCAAUUACAUGAUUCCUUAGUUUUUAAGUUAGUAAAAAGACCAAAUAUCUUUGUAACAAUUAGUUUUAUAUUUUGUUGUUAUAAAUACCUCUCGGGAGCCUGUUCUCAGGGAGGAGUUCCUUCUGUAAACGUUUGGUAAGCAAGUAAAGUCUAUUUUCUUUCUACUGCCUUACCUUCUCACUUUGUAUUUUCAUUUUAUUUCUAAGUUAUGAAUUCUCUGAGGAGUUUUCCCCAAAGAAUGAGUAACUAAACCUCCAAUUCCUUGGAGCUAAGGUUGCCGGGGAAGGUUCCAAGUGCAAGAAUGCAAAGCUCUGUGGUUUUAGCUAGUAAUGAAGAGGAAGUGAAAUCCUUUAGUGAUUUCAAUGUUUUUAGUUAACUUAAAACACUUUGGAGUCACCUGGGCCAACACUUGGUAAGGCAAGUGAUUUCCAACCAUGGAAAUGCACUAGUUUACCCCUUGCGAGCCUCUGGUAGGUGACUUCAAGGUAGGAUUUUCUGGAAUUACCAACACUUGGUAAGCUUUUGGACUCCUAGGAGACAUCCAUUAGUUAUCUCUUGCGAGUUUGUGAAGGGAAUCCAAGGUUAAAGAUCACCUUGAAUGGUAAGUGCUCGUGAGAGGCAUGAACCAUUGCAAGUUGUAUCAGUGAGAGAAUUAAAGUGAAAUCUAAUUGAAGGAGUCUUUGUACAUCACCGGUUAGAGAAUUGACUAUAAGUUGAAUCUCUAAUGCGAGGAAAUGAACCAACUGACCAGAGCCGUGUCUUUUGCAUGAGGAACCACCCCAGUGAACCUAAAUCUCCAAGGAAUGUUUUUUUCUUCCUAAAUUAUUCCAAACUUCUGUUAAGUUAGUUAGUUUAAAUCUCAACCUUUACAAAUCAAAGUUUGUGUUUUAUUCCUUAAGCUAACCGUGAAAUGAAACAAGACCAAUUCACUUGGAAUUGGUAUCAUUGAUUGCCUGCAAAUCAUUCCCAAUGAACGAUCCUAGAGCCACUAUACUAUAGUAGCUUUGUAUUUACUACCCUAGUGUAUGGUGUUAUAGGUAUAAAUUUUGUUGAUCACUUCCUCAAUCAAGGAGCACCAGCUGAACACAAAUCAGCUGAGACACCAAUUAGGCAUGAGUCAGUCAUCUCCAUUAUUGUUUUAUUUUUUCUUUCCACCACCCCAUUUUGUUGUGGGGUGUAUGGUGCAAUGAGCUGGUGAUCUAUGCCUGCAUCUUCACAAAAUUUGUUGAAUUUUUCUGAAGUAUAUUCUGUACCAUUAUUCGACCUUAUAACCUUGAUUCUGUAUUCACUUUGAUUUUCAACCAUGGCCUUAUAUCUCAAAAACACAUCAGCAACCUCAGCUUUGUAAGUGAGAAAAUAAAUCCAACAAAAUCUUGUGAAGUCAUCAAUAAAUGCAAUAUAGUACUUACUCCCUUUCAAAGAUGGUGUCUUUUGAGGUCCACUCACAUCUGUGUGAACCAAUUGUAGUUUCUGUGUUGAUUUCCAUGCUGCUUUUUGAGGAAAAGGAAGUCUUGUUUGCUUCCCAUAUUGAUAGGCUGCACAUAUAGGAAGUUCUUCUUCCAAAUCAGGGAGUCCUUCUACAAUCUAAUUCUUCUUCAUGUAGAGCACGGUAUUGUGGUGGAAAUGCCCUAAUCUUUUAUGCCAAAGCAUUGUAUUGUUCUCGUGUUGUGCAGCAGUAAUUUGCUCAUCUUCUAACAUAUUUAAGGCAAAACUUUUGCCUUUCAUUUUUAUGUUGAACACCUCUUUGCCUUCAGCAUCCUUGAUUAUGCAAUUUUUGUCUUCAAAACAAACUUUAAACCCUUUCUCAACAAGCUGUCCAACACUUAGCAAAUUUUGGUCAAUGUCAGGCACAAACAAAACAUCAGAAAUGAGCUUUAAACCUGUUAGGCUUUCAAUAGCUAAUGUUCUUUUACCUUUUACUGGAAUAUACUCACCAUUUCCUAUUCUAACUUUGGAAAUAGUUGUCCUAUCAAUCUCCCUAAAGCGAUCUUGAUCAUGUCAUGUGGUUUGUGCAACCACUGUCCACGAGCCAGCUUUCAGAGGUGCUACCGUUUGCAAAACAUGUUGCUGAAAAUAGUUGUUCCUCCUGGUAUUGUUCAGCUGCUACAUUGGUUUCUCCCUGCUGCUGCUGAGUUCUACAGAUCCUUUCUAUGUGUCCAUGUCUACCACAUUUGUUGCAUUUCACAUCUGGUCUCCACCAACAUUUUUGUUGAGGAUGAUUUGUUUUCUUGCAAUGAGGACAGGGUGGAUAGGUUCCAGUUUUUUUAUUGUUGUUGUUGCUUGGCUUAUUGUUGUUCUUUUUGUUCUUCCUCCUUCUUGUGUUACCUUCAUUGGUCUGUGUCUUUGCUUGAAAAGCUCCUUCUACAGAACUUCCUUGCCUCAUGAGUCUUCUUUGUUCCAAAGCUUGUAAAGCAUUUAGUAGUUCUGCCAAGGUGAUACUUGACAAAUCUUUUGUGUUUUCCAAAGAAGAAAUUGUAGCUUCAUAUUUUUCAGGAAUUGUGACAAAAUUGUUUUGAACAACUCUUUCAUCAGAAAACUCUUUACCUAGCAACCUCACCUUGUUUGCUAUGGUAAGAAGUUGUUCUGCAUAAUCUUUUAUGGUUUGAGACUCUUUCAUCCUCACCAUUUCAAAUUCUCGAAUUAGAUUCAUUACCUGCACAUUUCUGACUCUUUCAUUGCCUUGAUAUUCUUCCCGUAGAUGCUUCCAGAUUUCUGCAACAGAUUCAAGUUGCAUGAUUCUGGUGAGAAUUAAUGGUGAGACUACAGAAAAUAAGCAAGCCUUGGCCUUAGCCUUCCUCGUCUUUUUCUCCUUAUGGUUUUUCAUCUGUGACACAGUUGGAUUGGCUCCAAGUGGAGAAAUUUCAUAAUCUUCCUCUAUUGCUUCCCAGACAUCAAGAGCCUGUAGAUGAACAGUCAUCCUGACAGCCUAAGUUUGGUAAUUUUCUCCAUUGAAGACUAGUGGUGCUGCUGUGAAGCUUGCUUCUUCCAUUUCUGCAAGGUUUUCAGAUUCAGGUUUGGUAUACGGUGUUUAGGCUCACACACCUCACUGGUCCCUCAAGACAAAAAUUGCUCUGAUACCAAACUGUUGGAAGCAGGCGAGGUUAACACACCAAGCAACAGAGAACAGAGAUAUGCUGCUACUGAUCUAUAUUUUUUAUUUGAUCAUAAGGCUGAAUUUAUACAGAUUGUGUAACAUAUAUGACCUCAAAAAAAGCAUCAAAUCAAGCUACUUGUUGAACAAAAAACUACCUCCUACAAAAUAGCAUCAGAAUUUAACUUAAAAGCAAAAACAUAAUAAUAGCAACAGCAAAAACAGAAACAUAAAAAUAGCUUCAACAUUCUAGUAAUCUCAUUGACUUCAAUUGCAUGUGGUUGACGAUUUCAGCCUUUUCCUCAGCAGCUACUAAGGCAUAACUCUCAACAGGGCCUCUUAAUUUCCAUUCUGGCAUCUAUAUGACCUGAUAAAUAGAAAGAAAAAAAAACAGAAGAAAAGCGGCACCUGGGUUCAUAGUAAGCAUCAAGACAGGAUGCUGAAAGAAGGGAGAGAGGAGAUUGCAAGUCCAAUCCUGAUAAAAUAUCAACAAAGAGUAUUAAAUGGGGCCAACAUAAAGACCCAUUAAGGUCAGCAGAUGGCAUGGCAUUUUUCUCCUUAAGUUUUCCAUGAUUAGGCUUGAAGUCAAAAUUUCACAUGUAAAUUUGUAUUUCUACAUUUCCCACUGACGACACCCAACUUCAACUUGAGUUAGAAUAACAUUGUGUGAACUUAUCUGGCCCUCAAAAUUUACUGUGAAGUGCUUUCUGCGUGUGAAGAUUCAGAAAAGCACCAAGGGAACAUGUAUGGUCUGCCUUUUUCUGAUGUUAUGUUUGUCUCUAAUUCUGUUCCAUGUCAUGGUAAAUGUUCACAUUGCUUGUAUGGAACACACCAGGAUCACUUUUUCAGGUUUAGGGGGAUACAAAAGGCUUCAUAUUGGGUUCAAUGCUUUUAAUGUGUUCAUUGGACAAAUCUGAAUUAUCAUACGCAUUUAGAUAAGAACAAUAAUGUGAAACCCUAGUUACACCUCCCCUGCAUAACCCCAACCCUGCUUGCUCUAUUUCAGUUUACUCACAAGUUUUACUGGUUCUUAUAAGUCAAGAAAAGGCAACUGAUGUUGGAUCGACUCUCUUCCAUGUAAAAAAUGCAACUUUUAUACAUAUAAAAGAACUUCUUCCCCUCACCAAUGUGGGAUUUCAUAGAUUUAUUCUGGAAACACAUCAAAGGAACAUCUUUUCUCUUGGGUGACCCUAAGUGGUGAGUCAGAUCAUUUGCAUGCCAUUGAGUUGCACAGUUGGAUAAAUGCACCUGCCUCCUGGGCUCCAGAGUUAAAAGGGUGGAUCCCUGGAUUGCAACCCUCUUGGCAUCUUGGUUUCUAUUCCAACAUCCACAUGACUUGACAAAACAAAAAACAGAAUAAAAUCAGCACUAUAUUCAUGCUAAGCACCAAUACAUGAUGGAAAUCAUUGCUUAAAGAUUUGGGGUCGUUUUAGGUUUUGACUGCCUCCUACCACCUCACCUAAUGACAAGUUUUUAUGCUUACAAAUCAAAUAUCGUUCUUCAUUAUAUUAAAAUCAUUUUAAGAUUUCAGAUCCAUCUGCUAAUUAUGAUUAUGAUAACAUUUAUUCACCUGUGCUUCUCAUUUUCGACACACAAGGCAUCUAGGUUUGCAGGAUUUCCUUAUUAGAUGAGAUAAAUGAGUACGUAUGGUUAUGUAUCCAGCAUUCAUUAACCAUGGUAUGUGACAUUUAGAAUUAAGAUAGCAAGCAAACUUUCCCUGCAGCUAGAGUAAAUUGUGAUUUCUUAGCCUCUAUGAGUGGUUCCCAAAUCAAAUUAACAUAGUGAAAUAUACGUAGUCCAGUGAAAGGAAAUGUAAAUUAUAAACUAACAGCACUACACUACUGGUAACAAUCGAUACUCUCUAUAUAAUGCAAUAAACAAUGUCACAAUUGCCUACAAGCAAGGCACAAACACUAGAACAAGUAAAGCACAAACCUUUCCCAACAGUUCCCAGUGACUGAUGCAUAUCAUACCCUCAACUCACAGAAGGGGAUGAUAUCAGUGCACUGCAGCACUUAUUUUACACAUACUACCACUACUACUACUACUACUACUACUCAUUAGCCAAAGUCACUCAGUUGGGAUGAGUGUGAGGUAGAGGUUUGUGGGGUGCUAUGUGGAAAGGAGUUUGGCUUCUUCUCAGGAGAUGGUAGCUUCUUUGCAGGAGUUGAAGGAGGCUUAAUCUUCUGUGGUGGAUUGAUUGUAUGAGUCUUUGGCACUCUCUUCUCUAGUACAGGUGAAUACCCAGGGGUGCAUCCAUAAUGCGGUGGCUUCUAUCCCUUAGGUGGUUUGCCAAAUUCAAAAUCGAAGGAUUUUUUUUUUUUAAGUAUACGUAUCUUUGAAAGCUUUUAUUUUGUAUGGCAAAUGGAAUGAGAGGAGCAGUCAUAUUCUAUUUGGCCAGAGCAACAUAUCACAAAUGAACAAGCUAUUUACUGCCACACUGGGCAAAACAUACAUAAUCCUUGUACUUCAAACAUCCAUGAAUUCUCAUCAUUUUCAGGACACGUUGCAUGGUCUAUCAUUCUAUAUGUCGGCAUAGUAAGUGCAGCUAAUAAGCCUAUUCAGAGCUGAAAUUCAAAAUCUAUUCACAGGAUAAUGACCUUAUUAUUGGAUUUUGCUCACUGUCAUACACACAUAUCAGAUAAAGCCCCACAUGCUCAUAAGCUACAAGCAACCUACAAGCACUAAAAUGAGUGUUAGACGUAUGAAACAUUCCCCAAUACUAGUAGUAUUACCUGUUCCAUAGAACACUAAAUUAGAAGAGAGAAGAUGUGAGACUCCAGCUUUUCUUUCUACAUAUUACUCAUAUCAAGUUGGAAUAGUUAGGCGGUAGAGGCUUGGGGUGGCUUGUGUAGGGGACUAGGCAGCUUCUCUCAGGAGUUGAUUUCGUCUUAUUCUGGAUGUCCAGGUUUCGUCCUUUCGAAUUUCCCAUGCAAAUCAGCAUUCUCCUUGGGAAACUUCACUCCGUUGGGAAACUUGUGUGAAUCUUUGGCAUUCUCUACCAGAGAAGGCCCAGGGCAGUGACCAUAAGGUGGUGGCCUUUUUUCAGGUGGUGGCUCCUCUCCCACUGGAGGCUUGUGGUAAUCAGCAAGAGAGGCAGUGGAGAGAAUCAUCACCCCAAGGAACAGCACUAGCAAGUAUUUGUGAGCCAUAUUUGGGAUCUGAUGAUGAAGACUAGAAGAUAGGAGUUGCCUCAUAUAAUGGGUUGGAGACUAUAUCUCAAGGGGACGUGUAUUUAUGCAUAUGAUCUAUAUAGGACCAUCCUCCUAAUAUUUUCAAAAUAAUGUUAUUGUCUCUCUUGGGUGACAGUUUGAUUUGGUCUAUUUCCAUGCCACUGAGUAGAAAAGUUUGACAAUUGGCUACACCACCUACCUGGAUUACAUGGUUGAAAGUGAAGAUCAGUACAGUGUGAUCACACUUGACCUCUUGUUCCCCAUUCCAGUAUCUAAUUAACCUGACAAAAGUAAAAGGAAAGGAAAAAGGGAAAAAAUAGAAUAAUGUUCAAAUAAAAACGAGAAAAAAUAGCAUAAUGUUGAUGAAUCAUGAUAAGCAUCAAGGCAUGAUAGUGAGAGAGAGGAAAGAAGACAGUGUAAUUUGCAAUCCUGAUAAUCAUUAUAUAGCAGUAACUUUAAUCAUUUUUCUAUCACAGGGAACAUGACACUCAUCUUCCUAUGGAGAUAUUGCAUAAGUUUUUUUCUUUGUAUGUCAACACUAACCAAUGAAGCAUGUUAGCUGGUUUGAAACUGAAACUGUAGCCCUCUGUUUGGUUCUUGAAAAACUUGAGAGAAAAUGGAAGUAAAGUUAAAAGGAAAGAAAAAGUGAAAAAAAAUAAAAAUAGAUUGAAAGUUAACAAAUUAUUUUUACAUGUUCCCUCAAAUUUCUUUCACUUAUUUUUCCUUUUCUAUAUAAAGAUUAAAUGAUUUAAAAAUCAUAAAUUUCUAACUAAUUAUAACUAUAUUUGAUUUUCUUUCAUAUUUUCCAAGAUAAAGUCAGACAUGAGAAAAUCAUUUUCCUUAAAAAAGAAAUUCUUUCCUUUACAGUUUCUUAGAACCAAACCUGGCACAAAAGUCCAAAUUGGGGUUUCUCCAUGUUCCAUUUUUUAUGGCUACCUUUAUGGACCAUAUAAUAUAGAAUGUACUUCUGCAUACCUUCAAGAUCAAGCUGAACUAUAAGAAAAAGACAAGCCAUGGCCCACGGAGCAGGGAUACCAAGCUGCCUUCUCCUAGAUUAAGUUCCAAGAUUUCAGUCUUCAAACCUGCUAAAAGCUAAAGGCAUGUUUCCAGCCUGCGGCAGAUAACAUGCACUGUCCAACAAUAAAUUGCAAACACAUUCGAUGCAGUUUAUUAGUACAAUAAGAUUAAAUCCACCAAAUCUUUUACAGUUCAACCAACACUUGAACUAGUAGCUAGCUUCACUACUGGGUAAUAAUAUAUAAACCAAACUCUUGAUAGGAACCAACCUAUCGCAGAUCGAACUUCUUACAUCCACCAUGAAUUACUGAACCAAAAGAAGAAUCGAAGAGACUGCCAAGGAGGAAAGCCUUCCUAUAACUAGAUAUUUAUAUUCCAAAUUAGGGAGAGCACCCACUGCCCAGGCCUCGCCCAGCAUAAACAGAUAGUAUACAUAUACAUGCAAAAAGCUCCAACCUUCAAGAUUUUAACUAUUAACUUAACACAAUUAAAAAUGUAUCCAAAAAGCAAAUCCCCUUGAACUCCUGAAGCAAUUACUCCAACCAAAUAAAGAUUUUAAGAGUUCCAUGUUCAUAUCCUGCAAGGAAAUCAUUCAAUGUUCAGACCUCUAAUUUCUGUCUUUCUAAAUGCCCAGCCAAAAGGCAUAAAGUAUCAUCCAAAUUGGAUGCACAGCAUAUGUUCUUAAAUCAUGGGAUUUCACCAUAAGUUACUACACUCUAACAGGGCCCAGAAAUUGACCUCCAGAUAUGCCUAUCAAAAAAUUAUCCCCACAUACAUUUUUCUGCUGAAAAGACAAUAUUGUUACAUUUGACAUUCAACCACUACUUGAACUCAACAACCAGGGAAAAGAAUAUAGUAUUUCUACCAAUGAGGAUGAGAGGGGCUGGUGAAUUAACAGGUAAAAGUUUGUUUUGGGUUCAUUGUUUGCAUAAUAAUGUAAAAAUGGAGUAGUAUAUUAUAAAUUAAUGUAAAAAUGGAUUAGCAUAACAUAAAUUGCCAUAAGAGAACCACAAACUACAAAGAAACUUAUUUUCCAAACAAGGAAAAUUAUUCAUAGCCAUUAUUACAUAAGAAAGGAAAUUGAUAAAAUUAUUAUCCAGUUCCCCAUCAGGAAAUAUGAAAGUACUCCUAAAAGCCUCAAUUCUAACCAGAAAACCAUAGAAAUGUAUUAGAAAUAUUGUACAGGGUUCUCUCCAAUAUUAGCUUCAGUUGCUAAGGAGAUCAGAACCUUGAAAGUAAGUCACAAAGGUCGUGUGGGUUUCCCAGAGUCUUCAACAACCAGUAUUCACAUAUGUACACAUUAAAAUUAAAUAAAGCAGGUAUCAAUUCCACAGGCUUUAAGAUUUGAAUUGCUUCUCCCUGGAAUCAUACACCACUCAUAUUGUCACUGACUUUCAAUUACUUCUCCCUGCGAUCAUAUGCCACUCAUAUUGUCACUGCCUUAGGGAACAAAGUGAAAAUCUGCAAUUUCAAUUAAUUCCAACAUAAAAAUAAAAAUCAAUCCUCAAAAAAUGGAUUGCCAGGAGGUAAAUAUAAUAGAAGACGAACAACUCUCACAACCAAGUUAAAGAAACCAGCCGCUAGGUACCUUUGAGUUCUAUACUACCAGGAACAAAUUGGAUGAGAUUAUUUAAAGGCUAUUCCACAGUGGAAAUUCAUUCGUUCAAAAAACAUUUGUCAUGCAUAUAGGCAAUCUAUCCUAUGCAUUCAUACAUCAUGGUCUCAUGCAAUCUUAAUAAAAGUGGUCCUGGAAAAAGAGAGAAAAAAGUAAUUACAAGCCUGUGCGACCAGAUUUCUUUUGUUUUUUUUUUUUUUUUCCUUUGCCAAACAACCAUGUUCAUAGUUUCAGAAGUUCAUUCUGUCUUUAAGAGACCAUGGCAGUGACUUGGCCAUUCAGCUAAGANNNNNNNNNNNNNNNNNNNNNNNNNNNNNNNNNNNNNNNNNNNNNNNNNNNNNNNNNNNNNNNNNNNNNNNNNNNNNNNNNNNNNNNNNNNNNNNNNNNNUCACCAAGGACUCCUCAACCUCAAAAUAAUAGAGAAAGUCUAGGACACCAUGUCACUACUGAGGACAACCCAACACCACAACAUUUCAGUCCGUUCAAAAAGAGUAAUUGGAAUUGUUGCAAAAAAUGUUCAACUAGUCCCAACAGGAGGCAAAUUCCUCCAUUUCUUCAUCGGGUCCGGAUCCUUUGCUCAAAAAGGUAAUUUUCUUACUGCCCUAAAAGAAAAAGGGAAAAUGUGAGUCAUUGGAUUGUUGACUCAGGAGCUUUUGAUCACAUGACUAGAGUGCCACAAUUUUUCAAAAUUAUACACCUUGUUUUGGGGAUGAUACAAUUCGUAUGGCUGAUGGUUCUCUCUCAAAGGUGACUGGUACAAGUUUUAUUGUCAUCUCUAAGGACCUAACUCUUGACUCUAUUCUUUUGGUUCCAAACUUGGAUUGCAAUCUAUUGUCCAUUAGUAAACUCACUUAUGAAAAGAACUAUGUUACUAAAUUUUUCCCAAACCAUUGUGUUUUUUAGAAUUUGAAUUCGGGGAAGACGAUUGGCAAUGUUGAAGUGUGUUUAGGACUCUAUGCCUUCAAAGUGAAUUAUUAUAUUGAAAGACAAUCUUAACCAACAGUUGGUGAAAAAUGGUGUCUUUUUGUCUUUAGUUCUAAUAAAGAUAGUGAUGUUAUGUUAUAGCACUAUUGUCUAGGACAUCCUAGUUUCUUAUAUCUCAAAAAACUCUUUCCAUGGUUUUCAGUGUGAAAUUUGUCAACUAUCCAAGCAUCUUUGCAAGCCCUAUCCAUAGUUUUAAAAGACUUAAGGCACACCAAGACGCAAAGUCCUCUUGGAGCCUUAGGCGCAAGGCACACCUAAGGCGCGAACUUUAGUAAAGUGAGGUGCAUCCUGUUUUACAUAUAUAUUUUUAUAUAAUACAAUCAAGUGCCCGAAAAUUUUCCUCUAAUUUUCCCCUUCUUCUUCAUCCUCUUCUCUUCUUCACAUUGUUCGGGAGGCUAGGACAUUUUUUUUUUUUUACAUGUCUAAAACAAGCAUAUAUUGGGUUUUGGAAGAAGAACAAGCCAAAAUGACAUCGUUUUGGAGCCUAAUCUUUUAAAUAAAUAAAUAAAUAAAUAAAAACCAGCCAAAAAUGACACCGUUUUGGCCCCUGUUCUUUUAAAAGAACAAACCAAACAACGUCAUUUUGAUCUCAGGAAAUUAAAAAAACAAAACCCUCGUCAUUCUCCCUUUGCUACUCUACAACUCAUCGUCAAAGGGUAAAAAGAUGACCAAAAGAAGAAGAAGAAAAAAAAAAAACGACGACAGAGGAUAGAGGUGCACCUGUUGAGGGCGUUGCGCCUAGCCAAGAGGCGAGCGCCUUGCACACUUAAUCAACGCCUCUGUGAAGGGGCGGCUCCUGCAAUCAGGCGAAGCGCUGAAGGGUGAUGUCACAUCGUCUAGAGCCUAGGCGCACCUUUCACAACUAUGACCCUAUCCAACUCAACCAUACAAACCAUCUCAUCUUUUUUCCAUACAUAGUGAUGUUUGGAGGUCAUCUAAAAUAAAGAACAUAACAGGGACUAGAUGGUUGAUGAUCAUACUAGAAUUUCUUAGAUAUUUCUAAUGAAAAAAAAAUCAAAAAUUAGUCAAAUUUUCUAAAAGUGGACCAGAAUUUCUUUAUUGAAUUAAAAAGUUGAAAUUAAUAUUUUGGAAAAGUUAGGGCCGCUCAAGAGGUAGAAAUAGCGCUCGAGUGGUAGAAAUAGCGCUCGAGUGGUAGAAAUAGCCCUCAAGUGGUAGAAAUAGCGCUCAAGCGCUAGGACCGCUCAAGCACUUAACUAGCGCUUGAGCGCUCAUAUAGAAUCUGCCAGAAUAUGGAAGAAUAUUUUUUGGAUAAUCAUGAAAAUUGGAUUUGGAAACUUUAGAAUAUCAAUCUCCUUCGGCCUAGAGGUUUAUAUAAACCCUAUUAUAACCCUUUAGGGUUAAGAAAUUCACCAAGUGGUUUACCCUAACUUGUCAUACCAUUCCCGAUCUCUCAUCAAGGAAUCAAAGUGUUUAAUCUUGGGUUGUUUGAAGACCUGCAUCCCUUCAACAAGGCUAAGGUGUAUUCACUAGAACAAUUGAAAUUGUUGCAUUGCGGACAUGAAUCAAGUUGCAGGUUCUAGAGAGUAAGUCUUUAGAAUAAAGCAGACAAAGAGUUCUAUGUGACUUUAUCUCAUAUAGUGGAUUUAGCUUUGAGGUCUUAGACCUCGUGGGUUUUUAUCUCCAUAGUUAGUGUGGGGGUUUUCCACAUAAAAAUUAUUGUGUCUCUUGAUCUUAUGUUUGAUUUUAGAUAUUCUAUUUAUCCCUGAUAUCUCACAGGUUAACUUUAGGUUAAAAAUUCAACUCCCUAUUUAAUAAUUUUUAAAAUACACCCAUUCACGAGUGUUAUCCUACUGGACAUUGGUUUUUCACCAUAUAUAACACUCAUACCAAAACCCAUGCAACAUGGACUCCAACCUUAAGCUUAACUUUCUACGAAUGGAAAAAAAAAAAGACAUAACAUAAAUAGACAGAUUUAACAACAUGCUCCUAAUCAAGGUGAAUGUCCCUCUUUUUGAAAGAUAUGACCUUUUCCAUACGAGGAGCUUUCUUUAAAAUUUCACCUCUACCAAUUCCCAUGCCUUUACAAAGUUGUGGAAAGCUCCAAAGAGAAGGCCCAGACAUGUAAUGGGUAGAUUCCCUACCUUAGAACCUUACACCAAAGCUAAACCCCUAAUAUUUGUGACUUCUAUAAGAAUCAAUUCAUUUUUUUCCAUAUUUAUUUCUAAAUCAGACAUUGCCUCAAACCACAUGAAGUUAUAACUUGGAUGUUACAGAUGCUCUUAAUUAGUGUCACAAAAAAAUAGGGUAUCAUCAUCAAACAAGAAAUGUGACACUUCCAUCCCCUCCUCCUGUCUUCCUCCCACUUUGAAACUUGAGAUGUAACCCCUUUUAUCUAAUUCUCCUCAAAAUUCAAUUGAAAGCCUUCAUUGCCAAUAUGAAAAUGUAAGGGGAGAGAGGAUCUUUCUACCUCAAAUCCCUUGAGCUCUCAAAGAAACUGAAUAGGACACUAUUUACUAGAAUAGAGAAUUGAGUAGUGGAAAUGAACCAUUUGAUCCACCUCACCCACUUAUGAUCAAAGUCCAUUUUAUCCAACAUCAUUAACAAAAAGUUCCAAUUUACAUGGCCAUCGUCCUUUCCAAUGUCUAACUUGCAAAUUACCCCACUAUUGGGACUCUUUAACCUUGAAUCUAGAGCAUCAUUUAUGAUUAGAACUGCAUCUAGAAAUUGUCUGUCUUCCACAAAAGCAUGCAAAUAAACUAAAACUAUUUUACCCACCACAUUUUUUAGUCUUUUAGCCAAGACUUUUUCCAAUAGCUUGUACAAAAAAACCCCCAACUAAGCUAAUCAAUGUAAAAAAUUUUAGGUUCUCUGCUGCACCUAUAUUAGGGAUCAAGACCAAGAACAUGACAUUUAAAUUUUGCUCAAAGGAACAAUUAUCAAAAAACUCCCCAAGCUCAUUUGCCAAAAUAUUAUAAUAAAUCCAUUUGGCCCCUACAGCUUUAUCCCCACUCAAGCUAGACAAGGCAACAAGAAAUUCCUCAUCAAAGAAAGGUAACUCCAAUUUCCUAGAAUCAGCACAUAGCAUAACUUCAAAGGUCAUCCCAUUAAUGUUGAGUCUCCACUCGCCCAUAUCAGAUAGGAGAUUUUGGAAGGCCCUAAACUCCCCUUCCUUUAUAUUUGCUUCCCAAGCAACCAUUUUGCAUUCACUCAAAUUUUAAACAUGAAGUUUUUUAUUCUUUGGGCAUUGACCAUUUCAUGGAAAAUUUUGGUGUUUUUAUCCACCCCCUCUUUUAACCAAAUUUCUCUUUAUUUUUGCCCCCAUACAUAUAGAUUCUUCUAACAAGGCCCACUUGCUAAACUCAAUCACCACUAACCUUUGGCCUCAACGAUUUCAAGAGAUAAGGUAACUGCUCUCUACUUUGAGUCCCAGAAGUUGAUCCAGUUUAGCACCUCUAGGUUUUUUGUUGAGACAUUCCCAAAACCUUCUUCAUUCCAAGAUUUUAAAUCUCGUUUGACAGCCUUUAGUUUAACUUCCAAAAUAUGACCAUACAAGCCAUCCACAUUAUAACCAUCAACCAACUCCUCACAAAAUCUUUUAAGCCUUUUGUUUUAGGCUACAUAUUUUAAAAUGUAAACUGUGUUUUCCCACUCCUUAUCCUACCUCCAUCUAAAACUAUGGGGUAAUGACCAAAAAUUGGUUUAGGUAAAAUACUCUAGAUUAAAGUAGAAAAACGAUUCUACCAAUCAUCUGACACUAGGAAAUGGCCAAGCUAGCCUUGAAGAAGACAAAAGAUUAUGAACACCACUCCAAGUGAAUAGCCCUCCAACUAGCGAAAGAUCCCAAGGUCAAGUCCUCUAUGUCCUCUGAAAAGAACCUCAUAUCAAACAACAUUCUAAGGCAAUUCCUCCUUUUCAUGGGGAACUUGACCAUAUUAAAAUCCCCUCUGAAGCACUAGAGGUCAUCCCAAAGGCCUCUUAUGGCACCCAACUCUACCCAGAAAUCCACUCUUUCUCCCCUUUAAACCAACCCAUAAACUCUUACGUAUACCUAGACAAAGCUAUCUUCACAAUUCAUAGACAAGCAAUAGAGAAUGCUUCCACCUCCUUACCAAUUAACUCUAAUACCCUACUAUCUUGGAAAACCAAAAUGCCUACUAUCAAGCUUCUAACUUCCAAUACCAUUUCAAAAAUUUUCCUACUCCUAAACUCCUUACCAGUUGAACGAACAUCUAUCGAACCUUGGUUUCUUGUUAACAAACUAGAUCAACCCCUUGAGACCUUAUCAAUGACUUUAUUAUCAUAUACUUUUCCUCAUCAUUUGCUCAUUUGACAUUCCAAGACAGGAUUUUUAGCUUCAUCAUGCAACCUAUGUUGGAUCCUAACUGCUACUCUUGGAGCCCUUUUCCUUUUUGUUGAGCUUUUAUAAUUGACUAAGCAUCCCAACUUGUUGAGGUCCCUCUCAAACCAAGAUAUCGAGGUUAACUUCCUCUUCACCUCCAACGAAAAAACAGAAACCCCUCUCCUUAGCCUGCCACACAAGGGAAAAGAUCUCUUUUUCAAAUCCAUCAACUGGCAUUCUUGAGAAACUAUUGAAAUUUGCCAACUUACAAGAUAUACAAUUGGAGGAGUGCUUCUCUACCAAACAACUACUAAAAUUCACCUCAAAGGUGACCUUUUCCCCUGAUCUCUCCCCGGCCUCCAUACCCACUGACCCUUUCACAAAAUUUUCUAGAAUUUCCACUAUCAAGCCGUUACGGAGAACCAUCCUCAACAAACUCCUUUGACUAAUGUGAAAAACCCCACCCAAGAGCAUCUUCCAGAAGUUAACUUACAAGAUUAACUAUAAUCUUGUGAAGACUCGUUACCUAAUGGGUAAAAAAUUUGAAAUUCUAUUAGUAUAAUUCUUUUUAGGCACAAAAGCUGUGAAAAUAGCAUUGGUGCUCUAAUUAAUAACCCCAUAAUUAUUAAGCAAUAAAACAACUUUUAAUAAAUUCUCUUUCACCACAUCCCACCAAUCCUAAUGCAAAAAAGCUAGGAAAAAGUCAUCAUUGCUCUAAGCAUUUCUCCUCACUAGUUGAAAGACUGCUUUAUGAACUUCCUCUUCGACAAAAGGACAAUCCAACCAAUUAGCACCAUUUUCCAAAAUGAGAGACCAACCCCCACUCUUCUAUCCUCUAAGGAUCUUCAUAUAACCAUUAAUGCCUUUCUAUACCAGCUAGUAUAUAUCGGGUUUUGGGCAAGUCCUAUAAAUUGGUUUGAGUAAGAUUUUUAAUUACCCUGUUCUUUCUUUUUAGUUGAUAAAUAUGCAUAUAUGUAGUAAUUCAUACAUCAGAAAAGAUUUUGCUAAAACAAAAGAAUUGACAUGCAGAUAGUGACUUCUUGAUAAGAGUAAUAGCUUAAGGGAGGAAAAUGAACUCCUCCAGUGGCCCCAAAGUGGUAAGUUCCUUCAGAUCCCAUGUUGCUAUUCUGCAUUUCUUUGUGUUUUGGCAUCAGCCCUCUUAAUUAAUUCACUAUCCAGCUUCUCAAAUUCCUCGGAUUCUUCCCUUGUUCUUGUGGAAACAUCUGCAUCUUGUCCUUGCAUUGUUAUGGAUUGGUGAUUAUCAUUCUUUGAGAACUGUGUGGCAGCUGCUCGUGCACCAGCUAUGGCUGCAAGGAGACCUUCUGGUUUCUUGUCUUCAGCAGCUUUGGAGCCAUCAAAGCAAGAAACAAGUAAUCCUGGUUUCAAAGAGAGGGGAUCUUGUGGUUCUGGAAGCAGAAACUUGACAGGUAGUGGAGCUUGAACAGGACGAAGACCCCUAACUGCUGCCUCAUAUAUCUGCAACAAUUUCAGGGGGGAUAAGUAAUUAAAAAUCAGUCACUCUAUUGCAUUAGUUAGACUUGCUUUCAAUGCGAUAGCAAAGAAAGAAUCAUCAAUGAAAAAAGAAAAAAUAAAUGAAAAAGAACAAAAAGGAGAGGGAAAAAAAAAUGAUGGGUGCUCAAUUUGUACUUUUCUUUCCAGGUUAUAAAUACGUUGGUACCCGCGCAUCUCAAAUGGUAUGAUUAAUUUCUGCAUCAGGUCAGGAGAACUAAGUCCAUCAAUAUACUAAAAAGCAAAUAUACCAAAAGGCAAGCAAAAAUGUUUAACCAUCUUGAGUGUCAAACUCUCCAAGAAACUAUAUACUUUUAGCUGAAUGAAAACACAUGCCUGUGGUUGCUCACAGAGCCAGCAAAACUCUGUUUGCGCUUCUAGCCUUACCUACAAAUAGAGUUUAGGUUAUCCAACCAAAAUGGAGAUACAUCACACAAAACAAACUGUACCUAAUCAGUUUACGAAGGGGACGGGGGGAAGCAAAAAGCAAAAGUAAAUUUCUAAGAUGCCCACCCCUUCAGGUACCUCCUUCCAGCACGCCAGCUCUUCACAUUUAACACAACCAACUACUUCAAUACAACCUGUGGCAAGAAUAGAGUUUGUUGGAUUUAUUGUAGCAUGCCAUACAGAAAAAUUUAGCAUUUCAGUAAGAAUAAGAAUAAGAGAGCUACUUUCCACUAAAAUACGAAUCACCCAUCAACUGUUGCAAACAGACAACAAUGUGAAUAACAGGUUUUAUAUAUAUAUAUAUAGAGAGAGAGAGAGAGAGAGAGAGAGAGAGAGAUAGAUAGAUAUAGAGAGAGAGAGAGAGUCAAAUAAUAAUAAAGGACAAAAAUAUUUCUUUGAGAAAGACUAAUUAGAAAGAAGAAACAAAGAACCCACAUGAAAUCAAUUUAGAUAAGAGAAAUACCUUUAAGAAUCUAGUUCUUUUUGCAAAUUGCAACUUAGAAUUGGAAUGCCACAUAUUAUUAUAAGGUAUCACAAGAGAUUAUUGCUUCAUUUUUUUUCUUUGCCAGAUCAGUUUUAAUAAAUAUAAAUAUAAAAAUAUAAGCAUGUACACACACACACGCAAACACAUUAUGUGUGUAUGUUUAUGGAUAUGUAGAUAUAGGUUUUUAAUAAUAGAGCAUGAAAACAUAUCUAGUCAGAAAUUCCAAAAAUCCAAAACCAUUAGCAACACCUAACAGUCUUGAAACUGGGUAAUGUUCUGGAAACUUGAGGUCUGCUAUCCCAUUCACAGCAUAGAUCUCCCUGUAGAAAUUCUCCAUUGCUUUGAUUGUGUCUGAAUCUGGGACCUUACUAGCAGCAUGAAUCCAGAGUCGGCCUUCAUAAAACAAAACAUGUAUAUUAAGAAAUAUCCUUGUAGAACAGUAACAUUUUUGCCAGCAUGCAAUUCGUGUUAAUAAUCCUUGGUUCUCACCACUCAUUGUACAUUACAAUGUAAAGACCUAAUAAGCCCUAAUAUAGGUAGGUGUCUGUGCAGAGAGAGAGAGAGAGAGAGGGGAGGGGGGUGAAAGGAAAGAUGAUUAUAGAACAAAUACAAGUUGAAUCUCCUGAAAUAAUGUCCAUCAAGUUAUUUCCUAGCAACAAGUACUGAUUAUGCUUUUCCUGAUAACAUGAUUUUCUUUGCUAACAACCAUACUAUAUUUUAUCAAGAAAGAGUAGUGCAUGUGGCGUGCAUCAAGACCCAUUAGAGUUCCGCUAAACCUAUAGUUCUGUCAACGUUAUCAUUUACGUUUCCUCUAGAUAAUGGCAUUUUCCUCUAAAACUCUUGCACCAUUAGGCUUCAAGUCAAAAUUUCACAUGUGAACUUUGGAAAUUUUCUCCAUUUGCCCCUAAGGAUACAGUUAGAAUUGACUUAAAAUCCUGAUUGAUGUAUACUUUUAACCGAAGAAUAUUGUAUAUAAUAAUUGAAAUAUUGUUGAUUCAUCGUGGAAAUACAUUUUGUAAGGAAAGUUGUUAAGAAUUUAGUAUGCUAUAUGGAGAAAAAAGUCAUGACUUAAGGUUGAGUAUGUAUAUUCUAUAUCAAAUAUUAGGUAGGAAUGUGGAAAAGAGCAGAGUGUAAUUAUAAGAAACAAAGAAAUAUAAGAUAUUCUUGAAAGUGGAAAAUGUAAAAUGGCUAAAAGUCAAAUUUAUGAUGCAUAAGGGGGAUCAUGUCACAUAAGAAACUCAUGGCAUACCAAAUACGUGUGGUAUGGAGUAACAAUUUUGUUAAAAUAAGUUUCUCGUUGGAGUACAUUAGGUGACAAUUUUUUAAUAUCAAAUUAAAGAGUCAAGUGCAUCAAUGAAGUCAUAUGUAGAAAAUUUGUUUGUGACAUGUACCAUAAAGAUAAGAUUGACUUGAUAUAAUUUAGUCCAGGUAGGAGUUGUUAAAGGUGUCUCAAAUUUCUAAUUGAUAUAUAUUUUUUUCUAAAAAAAUAUUAUAUAGAUAUUUCAAUAAAUGAUUAAUUCUUUGUAAAAAUACUUACAUAAUAAAAAACAUCAUUAGAAAUAUCUCUAUAAAUAUUUUAAAUCACAAAAAGAAAAAAAAAAUCACUAUGAGAUAAUUAUAAACAUGCAACAUUGUACCAAGUAAACAGAAAUGUGAUAAAAAAAUUUUGAGAAACACUAAAUAAAGGAAGGGCUUGUAUAUCAAGAUGUAAAUAUAGAGAGCAAUAUUUUUAAUCAUAUGAUAGAAUUAUUUUCUCUCAUUCAUGAUUAUAAGCAAAAUUGGGAACCAUUAUAAAAUCUUGUACACCUCGUGUAAAUUGAUGUUUGUCUUCAUAUUUUACACCAACAAAUGACAUUGAAGUUGUCAUUGAUAAAAGGGAAAAGGCAUGGCCUCCACACCAUGUGCUUGAAUCGUAUGGUUCAAGUUUAAAGAAUUUUCUCCAUAAUUUGAAGAUCUAAAACAUUUUCACCUUUAAAUUUCAUUUAAUUAUUAAUAUCUACAAAAAAUAGUUAAAUACUCUUUCUAUUUUUGAGUUGUUGAAUUUUUUGAAAGUUUUUAUAUUUGUUAUCAAGAAUUUAUAUUUUAUUAAGUGUGAAUAUUUAUAAAUAAGAUAUUAUAUAAUAUUUGGAUAAGAGAGAAUGGUGGAAUAUAAUAAAGUUUUAAUCCUUCCCAAUUUUUAUCUUUUUUUUUUUUUUUUUUUAUAAUCGCCUUUCUCUUUCAAUCCUAUUAUCAGGUACCUUAUAUUUGCUGAUGCUAUCUGGAACUAAAUUCCAAUCAGACAUUGUCCAAUUACUAAUAGGACAGAUCAUGUCUCUCUGUUUCUAAACUAACAUGUAUCGUAAUGUGGCCUCAUAAGGAAGGCUAGGAAGAUGGAGGAUUUUGUGGGAAGCGACCAGAAUCAGAUGGAAGAGAGAUAGCCCUGUUGACCUAAUGGCUGUAAUAGGAGAAGCGUGUGGAUUUAUGGGACUUAACUGAUACUAAACCUAUAUGAUGCUUGGAGUGGUGUUUCUUUCAUUUUGUUAAGAAAAUAUGGCAGCAUACAUCCUUUCAAUUGAGUGCAUCAGAGCAUCCAUAAUAGAUGGUCUGCAACCCUAGGUGCAUGCCACUUUCUGACUGAUAAUGAAACUGUCAGGUACUUGGCCUUGACUAAGCUCAACAGCAUCACAUAAAAAGAAGCUUUCAUACUUAGAUUACUGUUUAAAGCUUUUGCUUAUUUGCUUUCUUAAUGCCAUUAUGACAUUAUUGUUUCAAUUCUGCUACCGAUUUUCGAAGUUCUGGGCAUCUACUGAUUGCAUCAUUAUAUGAGAAGUUGCAUGAGUUUAUGUAUCCUGUUAUUGCUCCUUUGCGAUUUCACUGCUCACGGGACUAACCUCUCCAUUCAGUCGAAAUGAAUUGUAAUUUCUUUACUGGUAGCAGUAGUACUUUUCAUAGCAAAGAUAAUAGUAAAUAUGAAAUAUAAAUAGAAGGAAAUCUGAAUUGUAGAUGGCACUAUAAGUAACACUCAAUAUUCACUACAUAAUAAAAUAGACAGUGUUACAAAGGUAGAGAAACCUACAAUGAGUACUCAUCACCAUUCUCAAACAGAAACAUAGCAGCGACUUAUACAUAGAACCUAUAGGCUUGCAGGGAAAGAAGGGAAAGAGUAACAUGAUAAGUUCACAGCGGGUAGCAGCUCUUAUUUUACGUAUUACUCAAAAUCUCAAACUAACCAAAGUCACUCAGUUGGGAUGGGUAGGAGAUGGUGGUUUGUGGGGUGGCUUCUGGGUAGGAGCUGGUGGCUUCUUUGUUGGAGUUGAAGGAGGCGUAAUCUUCUGAGGUGGCUUGUAUGAGUCUUCGGCACUCUCUGCAGGAGGGUGCCCAGGGUUGUGACCGGAAGGAGGUGGCUUCUGUCCCUUUGGUGGUUUGCCUAAUGGGCUUGGUGGCUUGUGCUCCGGGAGUUGUUUCUCUCCCUCGAGUAGGUUUCGAGUUUUGUCAGAUGGCUUGUGUUCUG